rnacentral:lncRNA from 1 species
UUUUUUUUUUUUUUUGUACAAUAGAAUUAUAGUACUACUUCACCUCUAUUCUUCAAACAUUUUGUCAUAUUAAACAACCCAAUUAGCUACUCCAUAUAUGUUUUUUUUUUUAAAAUCACCCGGAUCUCGUUUAACUCAUUUUCCCUCAUCUUCUAUUAGAAAAAACAAUGAAAGAUUAAAAAUUCAAGGCUUUCCUCUGAGACCAAUAAGUUCGAUGUUUUUACUUAUUAUUAAUAAUUCAAAUCAAAUAAAAACAACAACAACAACAACAUUCCUGGUGAAGUUCCACAAGUAAGGGUAUAGUAUCUAUAAACCUUACCUGAGACGGUUUCCAAAGACCUUUAGCUCGAGUACACUAAAAAAGGAAACCAAAAUCACAUAGGAUUUUAUUACCAGCCUUCCAAAAAGAAAAUGUAAGCAAACAUACAUCAAAGUACUUUUUUUUUAAGCCAUAUAGAAGAAGUGGCCAGGUUGGGCUCAAUGCCUUUAAAAUGAGGCAUCUGUUUUCGGCCCACAAAUUUGAGGGCCCCAUUUUUAUAAAUUUUUUACAAAAAAAAUUAUAUUAUGUUUUUCUUUUAGUUCGUUUCAAAAUAUUAAAGAAUGUUUUUUUUUGUCAAUUAUUAAAUUUAACUUCCAUAUGACAAGAUUAAAAAAUAUUUUGGUAUAUUAUAUAUAUACAUAUAUUUAUCUUUAGGUUAAGACCAUAGAAAACAUAAAGUUUUUUCAUUAAAAAAAAGAGAAAGAAAUAACUUUACAUCUCACAAAUAAAAAUAUUAAAAAUCAGAUCUUCGAUUUAUUUUUGGCUUUCCACUCUACCAAAUGGAUUUACUUUUGGCUUUCCUCUCUACCAAAUGGAUUGGGUGGGUUUUAAAAAUCUUGCCCAUCCUCCACUUUGGGCUCCAAAGUAAAUGGUGUUUCACUGUCGUUAAAUCUGUCUAAAUGAUCAAAAAAUUCUUGUUCCAUCCGAAUUUGUAGAACUACAAAAAAGAUAGGUUAGAAAAUAUCGAUAACUUUAUUACGGAUCAAGAAAUGAGUAUUGUGCAAUUUAAAUUACCUUCCUCGGCAUUGAUGCGUAUAUCAUCCCGAAAAUUCAAAUAAGUGACCUACUAACCAGCCAAUUGAAGUAGAGAAGGAUAGUGAUUAUGUUUGAUGGGUUCAACGACCCAACUCCUCUUAUACGAAGGUUCCUAUAUUGGAACCAAAAUGAUGUUAAUGUUACAUUUUUUUUUGUUUUCAUCUUAUUUCAAAUUACAUUCUAUAACUAUUUCCUUAUAAGAUGUUUUCAAUAAAAAAUACGUGUUUGCUAGCAUGCAUUAUCAAAGAUCAUCAAAGGAAAAAAUGAAUGAUUUGUUAGAAAGAUGAUUGUCUUGUUUGUAUGCUUAAAGAUUUGAUUGCUUUUUCUUUUUGUGGGCGGGCUUAGCAGUAUCUAGAGUUUGACUUGGUACUUCAAAAUUUACAUAUACGAAAAGAAAAAUUAAUAGUUUUGCUCAAUAAACAAAUAAAUCUCACAUUAUAGCUAAAGAUUGAUAGUUAUAGACAUAAUAAUGAACAACUAUAGAGUUAGAAUUUAAGAACGCACUCAAUAAGAAAAUGUAGAAAACAAAAUCGUUACAUGACAUAUGAUACAUAAAAAUACGUAAAAAUGUAAUUUAAUUAAAUCGUUACAUGACAAGUGAUACAUAAAAAUAUGAAAAAAUGUAGUUCAAUAGUUUAACAAAAGGAAUAAAUAGUUGAAACUAGGAGUGUCAAAUGGGUGGGUUGAGUUGAAAUUGGAGAUAUUAAAAUGGUUGAAAUAGGAAUUGGGUUGGAUCCUAAGUCCUAACCCGCCCAAGUUUACUUUGGGGUCAAAUGGGCUGAAAAACGGGUUGGGUCUUGACCCGCUUAAUCUCAAUUAUUGUAAUAUAUUGUUAUUUAAGUUUUAUUACCACAAUUUGAAUUUUAACUCAACAAAAUUUUAAAAAAGAAGUUACAAAUGGAUAGAUAAAUCUUAAAAGAUAUAAAAUAGAUAAGAACUCAUACAUUCAAUAUAGGAACAUACAUUAUAUCAAUGCAAACAAAAAGUCUUAAAACGGGUUGAAACUGAAGAUUAAAUUGGAUUCAAUUGAGAAUUCUCUAAAAAUGGGUUGAGAUUGAACUCAAUUCAAAUUAUCUUGAGCCCAACCCUUAAAAUUCUGGACGGAUUGGACGAAUUACCUAUAAUUGGGCUCAUUUUUGACACCCCUAGUUGAAACUCUUACAACAUCCCAUAUUUAUAAUUUUUCAUGCCAACAAGUCAUACUCUCUAUAGCAAAGGGCUAAACAUCUAUGAUUUCCAAAGAGAAAACAUUAAACACAUUCUUCCAAUGCUCGAAUGUAACCCUUUUUGGAAAGACAUUGAUAUUGUUUACACGAUUUAUAUGCGAACCUAAUUGACGCGUACAGGUACUUAAUGUUGUUCAUCCUGUAUUCCUAAGAUAUUUAGAACAAAAAAAUUGGAGAGCUUGGUAAGAAAUAACAAAGUUUAAAGAGUAUGUUCAAAACUAGAAAAUUAAAACCGGUAAAGAAAAUAUAAUCAGAAACAGAUUAGAGACAAUAUACAAAAUAUUUUUCUCAAAGAAGAAAAUCGAGCCCACUGAAUGCACAGUGUCCCCUUAAGGAAAUUAUUCCCCUCAAGUAUCCAGGGUUAAUGGAAUAUAUCCUCCAAGGAUAGAAUGAUCAUAUUCACCGGUGUAUCGGUACCUAUAACCAGGGUGUCAGCGAACCACUCAACAACAGUAAAGUACACUUAGAAUACUACAUUCAGUAGUAGAAAAAGAAGUCCGGAAAAUUGGUUUUUUUCCUUCUUUUUAAAAAAUAAAAGGAAACCCUCUAUUUAUAGACAACAAAGGGUAGUGUGAACAAAUGUUUAUUGUGCCUUAUCGGAAAGGUCACAACCCUUUGAAAAGUUACAACCCUUCAGAAAGGUCACAACAUUUCAUAAAAGCCACAACUCUUCAUAAAAGUCACAACUUUUCAUUAAAGUCACAACUGAUCUUCAUAAAAGUUGCAACUCUUCAUUUUCCAUUCACACCUUUUAAAACCCAACAAUAUAAUCUCCCCCAUGAAUGGGGAAUGACUAUAAGACAAAGAAACAAACAAGUGUGUAUACUUUACAAGCAAGAAUUAAUCGCAUCUGGAUAAGUAUGUUUCCCUUUGAACUUUCCGUAGUAAAUAUAUGUCGGAUAUACUCGGUCAAUCGAUACAAUAUAUUUAUGGUGACAAAGCGAACUCUCAAUUUAAUUAGGAGAUCAGCUCUCUAUCUUUCCUUGAAUUUCGAUCCAAUUCGCUUUCUCACAGUAUAUUAGGAAAUGUGUGUGAUCAAAAGCAUAUCUUUUAUAGCCAAACAAAACUAUAACCUUACUGAACUUUUCAAACCACGUCUUCGGGAUUGCUUCGGUUCAUAUAUGAUUAUUUUUCAAUCUCAUACAUCAAAAAAGUUGUUUGUUGUUUCGAUGCUAGAUAUGUCACAACUUGUGGGAUUUUAGAUACAAACAUUUGCUAAUUAAAAAUAUUACUAGGAAAAGAACGUGUUAAAAAAAAUGGAUAAUAUAUAAAUUUGGAAAAGACAUUUUUGACACACAUUAAGUAAUAAGAGGGACAUUUUGGACCAAAGUAUUGAUGACCAAACCAUAAAUCUAGCUAGAUAGAAAUUUUGAAGAGAUUAAAGCUGCUAUCUACACUUGUACCCCAGAUAAAAGUGCAGGAAUUGAUGGUUUGACAGUGUUUUUUACGAUAGUGCUUGGGAUUUUGAUCAAACCAGAUAUUAUUAAGCAUCUCAAUCUCCUUCUUCUUCUUCUUAUCACUACUCGUCGUCGUUUUCUAGGGCACAAAAACACAGAGUAGAAUUGGAUCAUUUAGGAGCUCGUCAAUUCGGAUCAGAGCCAUAAAAUUCGCAACUUCAAACAAUAUCUCUUGGAUCAUUCCACGGGUCGUAGGCCAUGUAUACUACAUGUGUAUCAUCAUGUAUAUCAAAUUUUUCAGAUUUCAUAAAAAUGUUAUUUUGAGUCAUGUACUUUCAAUGUUCUUUAUUGUGAUUUGUGUGUGAGUCAAACUCAUUCACGUUUGAUUUGAUUGGUCCAAUAAAAUUACGAACCAAUUUCAUUAUAUUGUACCACAUGUCUUAACAAGUCCAUUUGACAAAUUAUGUCACAUCCCUUGACACAUGACAUGAUAUUAAAAUUAUAUAAAAUAACAAACUAUUAAUUCAAAUUAUAAAAAAAUUUUAUUUGUAAUUCGCAUCAAACAUCCCCUUUUUUUGCCAUCUGAUUUGGUAUACAAUUAGCCAUUUUCGAUAUACAAUUACUCAUUCGGUAUACAAAUGUAUAAAAUGCGUUUGUGUUUGUAUAAAAUGAGAGAAAAGUGUAUAUACAAAUACAAAUACAUAUAUUUUCGUUCUAUACACGUAUAAUUAUACAAAUACAGAUCUUAUUAUACAAAUUACAAUGUAUAAAUGAAUUUAUACAAAACUGAACAAUUUAUAUAAAAUUGGAUAUAUCUAGUGAAUUACACAAAUCAAAAGCUUUAUAGCAAACAUAAAUUUGCUAUGGAGCACAAUUAUACAUACUAUAGCUAUAACAUACAAAUAUGAUUUUUAUGUUUGUUAUGUGAAAGUUGUUCUAUUAUUAACUACUUCGCUCCACAUAACGCUACAAAUUAGAUAUGUGACAUUAGUAUAGGCUUUUAAGAUGGACCAUUGGACAUGGGCUUGUGAAAUGAGAUGGCAACUCAAUGGACUAGUCCAAAUAAAGUUGGUAUGGGCUCAUUCAUGUUUGGAUUUGGGCAAUUCAUCUUUCUUGGGUUUGAUAUCUCUUAAAUUAAUAUAUAGUAUAGUAAUUAUCAAAAUCUAGAUAUGAAUUUAAUCACAUCCAUGAACAACUUGGGUAAAGGGAGGAAGCUAAUGUAUGAUUUCUUUGAGGAGCGAGGGUUAACGUUUAAUUCGAUAAUGAACCUAUCUAUUUAUAUCUAUCAAAGAAUUCCUUCUAUGCAAGCUAUUACUCUAUCUAAACCCUCUAUAUGUCUAUAUAUCAAUCAAAGUAUACUGAAAAACAAUCAAUAUGUAUGAUUCAAUCAAAUUAAUUUAUCAAUAUAAUCAAAACAUAUAAAAUUUCUAUAUUGAUUAUGUACAUUAUAUAAAUAUAUUAUACUUAAAUAUACAAAACCUAUAUAUUUGAAAUACCAAAGAUUAUGAUAAAGUUAUAAGUCUCAUUCAUACAAUCGUCCUAAAAAAAAGAUUUUAUCCUCUCAACGUCUAAUUUAAAUUAAUCUAACCUCAAAACUUGAUUAUUUUUUUUUGUCCAUAUACAUGAUAAAGAAGAUUUGAAGAAAUAUCUAUUCCUCAAAAGGGUUUAAGCAGAGGUUUUUGUUGUGAGCUUCACUCACUUUAGUUACCUUAUCCUCUCUUUCUCUCUUCUCUUUUAUCAAUUAUCAUCCAAUUCCACCAUUAAAGCUGGCUUCUUCAGCCUCAUACUCUCCAAGCCCACCAUCUUCUCAAUGGAGAAAAACUCAAAAAUCCCAAAAAAACUGCUUUUUAUAUGGCAUUCACAGUCAAGAAUUCCUCAAAUUAUCCCAAACUUCUUCAUUUCCUAAAACACUAAAAUUACCUGUAAUUCAAUUGCCAAUUACUGUUCAUUCCGAAGUAGUAUGUGUAUCCACUGAUGAGAAUCUCACUGAAAAUCUUGAAGAAUUGGUGAAUUUGCAGAAAAUCCCAAAUGGGUAUCCUUUGGUUUUGCAAAAAGAAUCUAAUAAAAGGGUGUUUAUUCAAGACCCACCUUGGGUUUCUUCGCUUUUUAUGAAUAGUUUGUUUGUUAGAGCUAAACAGGUAAAAGGGGUUAGAAGGGAAUUUCGAGAAAUUGAGAGGAGGAGAAGGUAUGCUAUGUUGAGGAGGAGACAGAUAAAGGCGGAAACCGAGGCGUGGGAGCAAAUGGUGGAGGAAUAUAGGGAGUUGGAGAGGGAAAUGUGUGAGAAGAAACUAGCACCCAAUUUGCCCUAUGUUAAGAAAUUGUUGUUAGGUUGGUUUGAGCCAUUAAGGCAAGCUAUAGAAAAGGAGCAGAAUGCUGAGAUGACACAGAAACAUAGGACGGCUUAUGCGCCACAUAUUGAUUCACUGCCUGCUGAUAAAAUGGCUGUGAUUGUGAUGCAUAAGUUGAUGGGGUUGUUGAUGAUGGGUGGUAAAGAAGAAAGGUGUGUUCAGGUGGUCCAGGCUGCAGUGCAGAUUGGCAUGGCAGUUGAGAAUGAAGUGAGUGUCACAUUUUCAAAAUGUUGGUGCUUUUUGUUGCCUGUUUGUGAUGUUGUGUUAUAUUAUGCAUCCGAAUUAUGUUUUUUGCAUAAUGUUUUGUAAUGGAACUAUGGAACUAUGCUAUAAUAGUAACUAAAGAGGUGAUUUUGCAUGUUACAUUAGAAGUAUGGAAUGUAUAAGGUAUACUCGAUGAAUAGCGAGAAGAAGUAAAAGAAAAAAAAAACUAUUAACCAAGGAUCUAUAGAUUAAAAUAUAUACCAUUUGAAUGAUGUCUACUCAAAAAGAAAACCUACUCUGUAAUUAUCUAAAGGUUAUAUCUAGACUCUAGAGAUAUAAGUUGUGGUUUCAUUCGGAGACUAAUUCUUCCAAUUGUUCAAGGGUUUAGGUAAUGAAUCCUCUCCUCUUUGCAAGUUACUGUUUGACUGAGAACUAUGAGUUGUGGUUGUGUUCCAAGAGUUAGUUGACUUUCGGUUUUUUUGUUAUGCCUAUCAGUCCGAUAUAAAUAGUUCUACUGUUUUUAAGAUUUUAUGAGCUCCCUCACACUAGACUAGCCCUUAACAUGGUUGUUCUCUUUUUGCUGUUUGGCUAGCUCCCUGAUCCUGUCUUGUAUAGGAGCUAGCAUCUCUAUUUUUGUAACCAUUGCAUCUUCUUGAUGCCAAUCUAUGAACUACUUACUUUAUCAAAAAAAGAAGUUUGUUGAAUUUAUGUUAGAUCUGUUAUCGAGCUUGUAUUUUCUCUGAUGCAAGUAGAACCUGCUAGUUUGUUUCCUUUUUUCUAAGAACUCAAGUAUCAUUCUUCAGUAAUUAUGAAUAAGAAAAGCUGGAAGUAUCCAUCAUUUCUGAUUAUGAUUUAUAGCGUGUUACUUUAAUGGCGCUCCAUUCACCUUUCAGUUGGUUAUGAAGGUGUUGAGUGGCUCAGGUUGCGCUGCUCAAUGCUAGGAAUCCUGCCAAAAACAUUUCUUUUUAACGUAUGUGCUUCCCUCUAACUCCCUGAAUUUGCUUCUUUAUUUUAGCUAGUUUUGUAUAAACAGACUGUCUUAUCAUGCCAAACUAUUUAUAGUAUCUACCUGUUUAGGGAAUUAAUGUAGCCACGGAUUGUCUUGUUGUUUGGAAUACUAAGUGCUAUUAUGGGGGUAAACACAAAAUAACUCAUUUUAAAAUAAUGGUAUGCCUGGAAUAAGCAAAUUGACCUCAUCAAUGAUAUUUCUCAGGUUAGGAUUCAUAAUUUCAUGGAGAAAACAAAGAAGCACCAAAAACAUAUGAGUGGAGCUCAAGGUCAAGAAGAUAUGAGUAGGGAGACAAUGAUUCUAAGGAAACGUGUCAAAAGCUUGAUUAAAAGGAACAGAGUAGUUGAGGUGAGAAAGCUGAUGCAAAGUGAAGAACCCGAGUCUUGGGGUCGGGACACACAGGCUAAGGUUUGUUAUAUAGAAACUUUCUUCGUGAUGAGAGCUACUAAUCUUUUUAGGUUAAAAUCUUAUCCUAGUGACUGUUUCUUUGAAUCUCAUGCAGUUAGGAUGCCGUCUUUUAGAAUUAUUAACAGAAACAGCUUAUGUGCAACCUCCAGUGGAUCAGUCUGCUGAUACUCCUCCUGAUAUUAGACCUGCAUUCAGGCAUGUAUUCAGAAUUGCUACAAGAGAUCCAGGGUCAGUGCGUUUUCCUUUUCUUUGAUAUUUAUCUUAAAAAAUCACAAUAUCAUACUUCUUAUUAUUCAUAAAAAAAAAGGAGUCUGGAGUAGUGUACUAGACUGCUACAUUAUGGCAUAACAAAUCUAACAAUAGAAAUUGUUUUAGUGAUAAGCUGUGUGUAAACUCUGAUCCUUAAACUAAAACAUGCCAAAAGCAUCUCUCCCUAGCUGAUUUAUCUAGGAUGAAGUUCUCAUUGUCAAAACACAUGCUCCUAGGUGUUAACUUCCAGAUAGAAGGUUCGUGUGUUAUUUUUCCUUUCACAAAAUUGUUUGUUGUUCGUGCAGGAAGAACAUUGUCAAGAAGUAUGGUGUCAUAGAAUGUGAUCCCUUGGUUGUUGUUGGAGUUGACAGAACAGUAGGUUAUACAAACUUCUUUUGCUUUAAUCAUAUUAAUAUUUUACCAUGAGUAAAAUUCCUCAGUUUAUUUAUUUUAUAGUAUAACUUUAGCGACCCUACGAAAGAGGAGUUGUACUGCAACACUUUGGUUGUAUAAAAGCUAGAAGGUCUUGCUGGUUCUGUUUCUUUUUUUACUUGUUAUAAUGAUAGCAUGUUAUCUCUGCCGAUCAAAGAUUUUGAAUUAGAAAAUAACAUAGUGGAAGAAUGAAUUUGACUUGAAACUCCGAUACCUGCACUCCACUAUGGCCCCAUUGUCUAAGCACAUCAGGAUUGUUGGAUUUAUUUUCGUUGCUGUCUACCUUGAUAUUCACAGCCAUUUCCUGGGACCUUAAAAUUUUACAAACAAAAGCCAAAGAUAGAAGUUUACUGACCACCUUCCAGAGAGAGAGGAAAUAAUUUUUCAUUUUAGUCUGUCAAAUAAAGAAAUAUAAAGGAAUCACUUGACAGUUUAAUGACUCUAUUAUGCAGUUAAUAAUGUGACAUUGUGCUUCAAACUUCUAAUUUUUUUUAUUGCAGGUUAAACAGAUGAUGAUUCCUUACGUGCCUAUGUUGGUGCCACCCAAAAAAUGGAGAGGGUAUAAUACCUUUUCAACUUUUAAUGAUAAUAUCCCCACGAUUCGUUAUUUAGGUUUUGGUUGUAGUUAAUAGGAUUAAAUUUAUGCUAGAACUCAUGCUGUAGAUUGGAACAUGUAAAUAUGGCUGAACCAGUGUUAGAAGGGGAAAAUUCUCUGUUUUUCUUCUGAAGAUAUUAUACAGUUGUAAUCGCACACCCUUUGUUCUAGUUCACCUAUAAAACUACUCUAUCUUAUGAAAAAAACAUAAAUUUAUGUGAGAACAUUCUCAGGUUUCAAAGAAAUUUUAACGGAACUUGACUAUCGAGCAAUUGUAUCUCAGGUAUGACAAAGGAGGAUACUUGUUCUUGCCUUCGUAUUUGAUGCGCACUCAUGGAUCUAGGAGGCAACAAGAUGCUGUAAGAAGUGUUCCCGCGAAACAAAUGCAGCAAGUUUAUGAGGUGAAGUUUGAUUCUUAAUGUUUCAUUCUUUCAGAAUGGAUGAAGCCAAUCCAGUUGCGCAAAAUAAUGCAGCGAAUUGUGCUAAACCUUAAACUAAGUUGCUUCUUUUUGUUCACCUGUUACCUGUGAUGUGUUGUAGCUGGAUAUUUGGAAGGGUUUUCAAAUGCUUCAGGUUGUCUAGCACGUUUGAUUUUAUCAAUUCUGCUAUCUACUGGAUAUAACUGUUUAUAUUCUUCAGUUAAUAGUUUUGGCUAUGACACAUAGAUCAUACAAUACAUAUUGCAUAAAAUAUAAAUAACAUGCAAGUCAUCUCUAAGAUCUGAGAUAAUAUUACAUAGUUCCGGUUAGUAGCACAAAUACAUGUAAAUCAUCACUAGAAUUUGAGAUGAUAUUAGAUUUCUGCAUUUGUUCAACCUGUGCUGUAAAUUUGUUGAAUAUAUUUUUCCUUUUUACCAAAUUCAUUUAGUACCAACAGUGAUUCACUAAAUCCAUCUUGGGGCUGCUGAUAAUUAACUUGCUUCAGAUUGUUCUCUAAGAGAUUUACCUGUGUAUUAAUUCUUUCUGCACUCAUGCAGGCCUUGGAUACCUUAGGAAGCACUAAAUGGAGAGUGAAUAAAAGGAUACUUAGUGUGGUUGAGAGUAUUUGGGCUGGAGGAGGAAAUAUUGCUGGCCUAGUGGAUCGCAAAGAUGUAAGAAACACUUUUGAUGUGCUUAUCAAAAAAAAAAGAAGAAGAUAAUGUUCUAAUUUUCUGUGUUUGUUCGGGUGCUACUUAUAAGUAUCUGGUUUUUACUGUGUUACAGGGAGAAAUAGCUUGAAUUACAAUAUUAUCUUUGUCAAUACCAGUCUGCUUAAAUGCCAUUUUGUAUUCUUAUGUGGCUGAUUCUAAAAGUUUAUAUUUAAAUUUCUUCCCUCUUAUUGUCCAAAAAAAAUUGCUCCAUAGUUCGUAAGUUCAUAUGCUUAGUGUGUUAUUUUGUCUGCUCAAUAUUUCCACUUCUCUUAGCUGUUCAGAUGAUGGUUAUUGUAAAGACGUUCAGGUGAGUGAAAUUUCAAAUACCUAGCGCCAUUUGUAGGUUGUGUUUCAUUGCAAGAAAUUGCUUGUUUUUAGGUUCCCAUACCAGAGUUGCACUCCGAUGAUAUAAUGGAAUUGAAAAGGUGGAAAUGGAGGGUGAGAAAAGCCAAAAAGAUCAACCAAGAGUUGCAUUCCCAAAGAUGUGACACAGAGCUCAAGCUUUCGGUUAGUCUUCUUUUUGGACUCUUCUUCCUUUCUUUACUUUUUUGGGUUAUACUGGAGUGGGAUAGGGGGAGUGUGUGUAUGUGUGGCAAUCCUAAUGCCUAAAAAGUAAUGCAAACUGCUCAACCUUUGCACAUUUAGAUCUAGGUUUUAAUCUCGACAGAAUCAUUUCUCAUUCUAUUAAUUGACUCUCGAGGGUUUUAACAUUCUAAAACUAGAUUUUGCAUUUAGUUUCCACAUGUGUACAUUUUUCUUGUUUAUUUAGGAGUAAAUUUUGAGCAAGCUUUCUUUGGACUAGGUUGCUCGUAAGUUGAAAGAUGAGGAAGGGUUUUAUUAUCCUCACAAUCUCGAUUUCCGAGGACGUGCAUACCCUAUGCAUCCCCAUUUGAAUCACUUGAGCUCUGAUCUCUGUCGAGGAAUCCUCGAAUUUGCUGAAGGACGACCACUAGGAAAGUCAGGAUUGCGCUGGCUGAAAGUACAUUUAGCAAGUCUUUACGCAGGGGGCAUAGAGAAGCUCUGCUAUGAUGCACGCAUUGCAUUUGUGGAAAACCAUAUUGAUGACAUAUUAGAUUCAGCACACAAUCCUUUAAAUGGAAAUAGAUGGUGGUUAAAUGCUGAGGAUCCUUUACAGUGCUUAGCAGCUUGCAUUAACCUAUCAGAAGCUUUGAAAAGUCCGUCACCACAUACUGUCAUCUCCCACCUGCCUAUUCAUCAGGUAGAACACUUUCAUCAUUACUUUUUAAAAAAAAAUUCCUGUUCAAUUCUCUUUUGUCUGAUUUGUUGUUGGUUAAUAAAUGUAGAAAAGUUAAUCCGUGGAUAAAAAUAAGAUAAGUUCCAUUGCAAGGAAAUAAAAGUUGAAACAUUUCUAUCUCGAAAACAAAAAUAGUAGGCCUUGGACAUGUUAACAGUUUUUGCUUCAUUUUAUUAUAGGAUGGUUCAUGCAAUGGCCUACAGCACUAUGCAGCUCUGGGAAGAGAUAGUGUAUGUUUGUUGUUACAUUAUUUUCUUUGUGAUUUUUUACCUUUUUUCAGCUCUGUUUUCUUCUGUUAGUGAAUUUUAGCUUGUUCUAUGAUGUUUAUCUUCUGUGAACUUUUCAUAUAUGCUAGAGUAACUCUUUAUGUCAUCGUCUGAGGUUGUGCAACUUUAACAGAUGGAGGCAGCAGCAGUCAAUCUAGUUGCUGGAGAGAAACCAGCUGAUGUUUAUACUGAAAUUGCUUUGAGGUAUAGUAGAGUGAUUGAAAUCCAUUCUUAAUUGACACCUCAAAGCUAAGCUCCCUUUUGUGGAAUUUAGGUUAAGCUAUUGCUUUUGAUAUUUUGACCCAUGAACCUAUUGAGUGCAUUUUUGGAAGGAUACAAAUGUUAAGCAUUCAUUAUUUAUAUUUUUUGUUCUCAUAACCUAUAUCAACUGUGUAAGAGUUAUCUACCCCAGAAAGAAAUAAGAGUAUUUGCUAAAUUUAGUCCUGAAAAAUAUUUGCUAAAUUUUCUUGACGCUAGAUGGAAUUUCAGGAGGGGAAUGGGAAAUGACCUUUUCAUGUGUGAUUAAUGUACAUACCUGACAUUAGAUGUAAAACGAUAAACCACUUGUUGAUGGAAGAAAUAUGUUCUGGAUGGUGGAGGGAUAUGAUGCUCACCAUGAGACAGCCGACAAGGAUACCUUGGUCUACUUUUUUGCAUUUUCUUUUAUAAAUUAAUCAAAAUUCAAUCGCACCGUUUAACUUAUGAAAAAAGAAAAAAGUUCUGUAAACAUAUUCACCUUACUGCUUCUCUGAUUAACUUGUUAAAAAUUACACCAAUAAUAUAUUUGGGAGAAUUUGUGUAUUUUGGUUCCACUAGUUAUUGUUGAAGACAACUAUUGAUUGCAGGGUUGAUCAUAUUAUCAGAGGAGAUAGUACCAAGGACCCUGCUACUGAUCCUAAUGCUUUACUAGCCAAACUCUUAAUUGACCAGGUUUUCAUUUGAUUAUCUGUCUUUUGUAUCUUAUUGUAGUUAUCAUUUCUGUUUUAACUUCAAGUAGCUAGGCCUGUUGCUUCUAGUUUUUGAACUUGUACCAAACUACCAAUUAAAAUAUUUGGUGCUGCGGAGACUUUCAGGUUGACAGGAAAUUGGUGAAGCAGACAGUAAUGACCUCAGUGUAUGGUGUUACUUAUGUCGGGGCACGUGAACAAAUCAAAAGAAGGUUGGAAGAGAAGGGUCUUAUCGAUGAUGAUAGGCUGCUAUUUACUGCAUCUUGCUAUGCUGCUAAAGUAAGCAUUGAUUGUCUAAUAUUCCCCAUGUUUCAAUUUGUUUGUCCCACUUUCCUUUUUAAAGAAUGCCUCUUUCCUUUUUUUAGCAACUCUUUCAUUCCAACUUUUCCACAUGACAUGUUUAAAACCACAAGAUUCAAAAGUCUAUUAUACUUCCUUAAACUCCGUGCCAAGUCAAAAUAGGACGAACAAAUUGAAACAGAGGGGAGUAUUAUAGUAAGCUACUCACAGGUUUCUAUUACCUAGUCAUAUAUUCUUAACUUAGGUCACUCAAUCUACCUUUUCUAAUAAUCUACAUGAGUUGAGCUUAAAUGAAGAAGCAUGGUCGGUGAGGAUUCAUAUAGCUGACCCCAACUUGUUUGAGACUGAUGUUUGACGCUUAGUGGUAGUUGUUGUUGUUUCCUUUAACUAACACAUACGCCAUACCUGCAUGGGCAAGACGUGGAAGGAUUUCAUAAUUAAAUAAAAAGGAAUAGUGAGUUUAAACCAGGCUAUUGCUUAUUACCGUCUUUCAGUAUGCAUACAUAUCACUAAUUUUCACGGGACUUAUCUUUCCUCCCCCAUACAUACCAUAGGCCUAGAAAAAAAUUGUCCUAAGAGCUUACUCUAUCCACAAAAAAAUUGGGGGGGGGGGGGGGGGGGUUUNNNNNNNNNNNNNNNNNNNNNNNNNNNNNNNNNNNNNNNNNNNNNNNNNNNNNNNNNNNNNNNNNNNNNNNNNNNNNNNNNNNNNNNNNNNNNNNNNNNNNNNNNNNNNNNNNNNNNNNNNNNNNNNNNNNNNNNNNNNNNNNNNNNNNNNNNNNNNNNNNNNNNNNNNNNNNNNNNNNNNNNNNNNNNNNNNNNNNNNNNNNNNNNNNNNNNNNNNNNNNNNNNNNNNNNNNNNNNNNNNNNNNNNNNNNNNNNNNNNNNNNNNNNNNNNNNNNNNNNNNNNNNNNNNNNNNNNNNNNNNNNNNNNNNNNNNNNNNNNNNNNNNNNNNNNNNNNNNNNNNNNNNNNNNNNNNNNNNNNNNNNNNNNNNNNNNNNNNNNNNNNNNNNNNNNNNNNNNNNNNNNNNNNNNNNNNNNNNNNNNNNNNNNNNNNNNNNNNNNNNNNNNNNNNNNNNNNNNNNNNNNNNNNNNNNNNNNNNNNNNNNNNNNNNNNAGGGGGGGGGGGGGGGGAGCUUUUGCCAACAGGACUAGCUUUUGUGAAGACUUACUGAUUCAACUUUAUGUUUUGACUAUAUAUUUGUUCUCGUGUUUCUUGUCAGGUAACAUUAGCUGCACUUGGGGAGUUGUUUCAAGCUGCACGUGGAACAAUGACUUGGCUUGGUGAUUGUGCUAAGGUCCAUACCACUUGCCCCUACCAUAGGCGCUCCCCCUCCACUAAUUCUUUUUAAUUAAGAAUUUUCUUGACUAAGCUUUCUUUUUUUCUAAUUUGUUAGCUAGUUAAUGUUGUUAUUGGAUUACGAAGUAUUAUACUAAUUAUAAUUGCAAAAAGGUUGAUAAAAUGAUUGAACAACAUGCAACUCAAUUUAAAUAAAACUUGCAGCCUAUAAUUGGCAUAUAGAUCGCAAAUCUGUACUCCUUGUGAAGUGCUGCAAAAGUUUCCGUAGCUCAUUCUAUACCCCGGUUCUGUUUCUUGUACUUUUUUUGUUGGAUAACAAAACUUCAAACCAGUUCACAGAUGAAGCAAAAAUUGUCACCUAUUCAUUGCCCUCCAAUGGCCAUAAGAUAAGUUGGACUGGCCUUUGGGGAGUGCACUGAUAACUGCUUAGAAAUCCAGAGUUCCAAAUGAAACCCUAAAUGGGAUAGCCACGCUUGUAAAUUCUCUAGGACCGAAAAUAUAUUUAGUUAAUCAAUGAAAAGGAAAAUAUCUUUAGCUUUACAAAUUCAAGUUUAGAACUCAAGGGUGUAACAUUGAAUGUAUGGUCCCUUGAACAUACUGCAUAUAUAUUCUUUGAAACAAAAAUGCUGGUUCCCUUGGAAAUUUUCCGAGAGGAAUUGCAAUUGGUAGUUGUAGGAUAUCUCAAAACUUGUUUGGACUUCUAUGGUUUAACUAGUGAUAUUUAACAGGUGAUUGCUUCAGAAAAUCAGCCAGUGCGAUGGACGACACCUCUGGGGCUCCCUGUUGUGCAGCCUUACUUUAAAACUCAGCGGCAUGUUGUAAGUGCUUCUUUAAUCAAGUAACAUCCAUCUGAUCAAGUCUGUUCCUUAAGAAGCUGUUUCCUUUUUAUAUUGUUUUGCUAGUUGAUUUUACAUGUUAUCACUCAUAACUAAGUUGCCCACUUUAAAUAGUUGGAUUUUGCCUCAUAGGAUCUUGCAUACAUGAUAGGAGGAUGACUUUGAAUAAUUCAUGUGACAUCUAUGAGAAAUUGGCUUACAUAAUGAUCUUUUUCAACUGUGAUAUGCCUUGAAUGAGGAUGUAAAACUUUUCUGUUCAACUGGCGAAGUAUUUGCAAGUUUCUCCUCAAGGAUAGAAGUCCUCUUUAAAAAAUAAAAACGUCAGGAAUUUCAAGCAACUCAUGCAAUAUCUGUUUGUGCUAAUGCGUUACUCCAUAUAUGUGCAGAUAAGAACUUCUCUUCAAGUUUUGGCUUUGCAGCGUGAGGGUGAUGCAGUAAGUAAUACCUCUUGUAAAUGCUUUUGUUUUUUACCUGCUAAGAUCUCAUAUUUUAAUUUUAUGCCUAUUUUAUAUUGCUAAUGUUGGAACCCUAGGUUGAGGUCCGGAAGCAGAGAACUGCUUUUCCUCCAAAUUUUGUGCACUCACUGGAUGGUUCACAUAUGAUGAUGACCGCUGUUGCUUGCAGGGAUGCUGGACUACAUUUUGCAGGUUUGCCUGCCCUUUAUUUUUAAUGAUAUCUGGUCUAUACUUGAGUUUUUGACCACUUAGAUGCACAUGUAUGCUUGCCUACAUACAACACACAGAAGUUGAAAUUGUGUUUCUACUCAAUUAUGAAACAGUCGAGUGAAAAGGUUUCCUAAAUUGAAGUCCUUCGAGUGAAGGUUUUGUUGUCAAUAAACUCCAGUUUGUUUCUGAAAUAUUUUAAUGCUGAAUUGGAUUUGCCAAGAGAGAGAAAUGUGUAAUUUUUUACAUAGGAUGCUUUCUCUCUCAAGUUUCUGGAUAAGAAUUAAGAUAAUAUAGCUGGCUUGAAGGACAUGCCGUGAUAGUUAUAGAAGUUCAUCAUAUGUUGGAACAACAUAGUUUUCAUUUCUGUACUCUGUCAUGCUCCCACUGUCCCCUUUCUCUCUCAGUGCUACUAUAACAUGCUACCAGUAUGUGAAAAAUGACAGUCCAUUAGAUGAUUCUCUUUUGUAAAGUGAUUAUUUAGAUCUAGAAUUCUCCCCAAGCAAAACGAACUCAUAUAGGCAAACUUAGCAGAAACUAAUGUUGGAUUGGUCAUUUGUUGUAUAUAAACUCAUGAACUUUAUGUGAUACUUAAGCCGAGGGUCUUUCAGAAACAACCUCUCUAUCUCCACAAGAUAGGGGUAAGGUCUGCAUACACUCUAAGUCUCUAGCCUCCCAAACCCCACGGUGGGAAUACAUUGGGUAUGUUGUUGUAAACUCAUGAACUAUUAAGACUUCUAGAACUUGCUUUAAAGUUCAUUUACUUGCAUACAUUUCAAGCAUUGGUUUUGUUUGAUACAAACUUUCUUCAGUUGAGAUUAUUGAUCAAACUCCUAACCUGUUGUAGGGGUACAUGAUUCCUUCUGGACUCAUGCUUGCGAUGUCGACCAGAUGAACAGGAUACUCAGGGAGAAGUUUGUGGAGCUGUACAGUAUGCCUAUUCUUGAAGAUGUAAGUAUGUUAAAAGUGAAAAUUUCCUUUCUAGACGAAUGUGUUUCAGGAUCUCCCCGAUAUUUACUUUUGUUUCUCUUUCUCAAGCUGCACUUAUGAGUUAUAGUAUACAUGGUAUCUUGUUUGCAGUUGCUUGAAAGCUUCCAGGAAUCAUAUCCAGCAUUGACAUUUCCCCCUCUACCAAAGAGAGGUGAUUUUGAUUUACAGGAAGUUCUCGAGUCACCCUACUUCUUUAACUGAGAACCAAUAGCAUUGAAACAACGAACCCCUUUCUUCAAAAUGCUAUGUUCUUGCUCUGAAACAAGCAUAUGAGGCUUUUAUGCGAGGAUGAUUGGUGGGACAUGUAUUCCGAUGAAACAUGAGAGCUUUAUUUUGUUCUUGCGCUGACCCUUCUCAAGUAGCAUGUCUUUCGUGGCUUACUACAUAAGCUCUAUGCGCUAGGUGCCUAAAACAAUGCAAAACAGUCGGAUGCUUUGGAAAUUUGCAGUAACAUUGGCGUGUACUGCAUGAGACCAUAUGCAAGUUCGAACUUCCAGCAAUGAAAAUCUUGACUACGCCAUGCACCAUCCAUAUCACUGGAAGAUGUAGCAUCCAUCUCUGUAUGCUUUGGAGCUGAAAAUACACAGCUAUGUACACUGGUUCAGUUUCUUGUAGGUGCUGUACAGAUAUCUUUGGAGAAAAUUGUAACGUAUCUAGUUUAGGAUUCUUGAUAUGUAUAGGUAUAGAAACAAGGGAACUGUUGUUGUAUCUAAUAUAGGAAAAAGAUAUAUUUGUGCUUUUUCAAAUUGAAUUCCAGGGCUAAACAAGAGAUAUGUAUUACUACUAUAAUGUUUUCCUGUAUGACCUAUUAAAUGGUACUCAUGGCGUUGUGAGGGAAAAUGUCACACCACGAAACGAAGAACUUGGGAUUACCUCGGCUUUUCGUGUAUAUUAAUUCAUGAAUUUUUGAAAUAUAUGUGAUCAUUUCUGUUUGAGCUCAAGUUUUGUGAGUUUAUUUGUGACAUUAUAGUAAAUGAUACUAAUAGUUUUCUAGGGAAACACAUUUUUUUUUUGGAGUUAAUGGGUCUUGAACAUAAAUUUAGGAUUAUCUCUUUUUUUCGUGUAUUAAUUUAUGAAUAUUUUGGAAUAUGUGUGACUGACUUUGUUUGAGCUCGGGUUCAUCCGUGAUAACCAAGUAAUGAUACUUAUAGUCAUACGGAGGUAGACAUUACUUUUUUGGAAGUUAAUGGGUCAGAAAAAAGGAAUUUGUGAUUAUUUUGGUCUUUUCGUGAGUAUUAGUUCAUAAAUUUUUCGAAAUAUAGUUGAUAUACUCUGUUUGAGUUAAAAUGGUGUGGGUAUAUUUGUGAUAACGUAGUAAAUGAUACUCCAAUAUUUUCCAUAGGAAAACAUCAUGAAAUAAGAAUUCAAAAUUAUCUCAAUUUUUCGUGUGUUAAUGUCCAUGAAUAUUUCAAGAAUAUGUGACCAGUUUUGUUCGAGCUUAAGUUUUAUGGGUCCAUGAGUUACGACCUAGUAAAUGUUACUCAUAGUUUCUCAAGGGCAGACAAUGCUUUUUUUUGGAGUUUAUGGCUUACAAAAUAGAAAUUUAAGAUUAUCUCGACUUUUUGUGUGUGUUAGUUCAUGAGCUUUUCGAAAUAUGUAUGAUAGACUAUUUGAACUCAAAUUUUGUUGACCUAUUCGUGUGUAUUAGUUCAUGAGUUUUUUCCUUCUCUAUCUUCCCAUUUUUCUUUUCCUUUUCCACCAUGAGAUACAAAUUCCAGAAAAGCACUACAAACUCAUCUGUCUAUCACAUAAUAUAAAUGUGGGAGACUCUUGAUGAUAUCACUAGACUAUACGCCUCGAUACAUAAAACCAUACCGAUCAUACAAAAUCAUCGUAUUAAUAAGUUGUUUGAACAGCAAUCUCCAGAUAGUAUAUACCACAAAACAAUUCCCCAGUUCGAUAAACAUGUCAAUACAAACUGCCUUUUAUUGGAGGGGAAAUUAAAAUUAAACUCGUAGACUUUAUUUGGAAUGAAAAUCUCACCAAGAGGACGCCUUAGAUACAAUACUCGAAUAGUGAUACAACAAAUAAAUUAACAAGACCACGACCACAAACUCCUUGUGUCCAACGAAAUAACGAGAUGAGUCUAGUACCUGUCGUCUGAACAAUGGAAUGAAACCAUUCGACAAGACUUAAGCCUGCAAAAAGCUAGCAUACUUGGCACCUAGGAAAAGCCUUUGGAUACAGAGCAAGGCAUUUUUCGUGACCUCAGCAUUCUCAUGGUUCAACAGUCUCAUUACGCGCUCCUUAGCUUUGAGGUCAUUCACUAUAAUUCUCCCAGCAGAAUGGCACUGAAUGAACUGUGACAGAUCAUAGCAAGCAACAGCAAGUGUCCUUGCAUCACUUGAUGUGUCCAAAAUUGUAAUGAGCACCCUCAAGAUCUGCAACACCAUACAACACAAGAUAUCAGUCUUAAUAUUAGAAAAAAUUGUGCUUCACAGAUUUGAAAAUCCACCCCGAAGAAGAACAGUAAUAUGCUACGAAGAUCAUAGAAGCGGAGGAUUCAAGAUUUCAACCUCCAGACUCUUAGGAUAGAACUCACUGUGCUUUUAAAAUUAUGGUUCAAAGUAUAUUGUUUGUUGAAAGUUGAGUGUUUUUUUCAUGUGUUACGUCUCGGAGAUAUUAGUUUCAGCUGAAUGCCAAUAGUUACGCUUAAGGUCUACACAUGAUAUAGAAGGCAAAAUAUACAAUAACAAAAACAUACCCAAUGUUAUUCCACAAGUGGGAUCUGGGGAGGGUAGUGUACGCAGACCUUACCCCUAUCAUGGGAAGAAGGUAGAGAGGAUGUUUCCAAAAUGCCCUCUAUAUUAAUUAUUUAUUAGUUAAGGGUGUGACCUCCUCAUCCACUCUGCUACUAUGGGCGACAGUUUACCUCUAAUGAUGGAAGUUACUACUUAAACAUGAAUAUUAAAAAACAGCUUUUUGAUUUGAUAAGCAGAUAGACUUGUUUGAAGGUCAGCACGAUAUCAAGAAACCCACCAGAAAACUCUGGUUCUGCUGUUAAUGUAGGCACCAAGAUGGAGUCGGUGUUUACACUGUUAUGCAGUGCGUACUUUACAGCCUUUAAAGACAUGUAGCUUGGGAAGGUUUUGCAAUCUACAAGAAGUCAAGUAUUACCUGGAAAUCAUUCUCCUCAAAAUUAUUUAUGUUCUCCCGCCAGAAUAUAGGAUCUUUGUGCAUUGGGGACCAAUCAAGAUGGCCAAGAAGGACUUCCUGCUUGUACUUGUCAAACGAACUCAGUUUUUUGAUGUUUUCCUUCAAUCCUUGUUCUAGUUGAUUCAGAGCGUCCAAAAGAUCCUGCAGAGAUGAUAAAUAACGGUAAAUACUUUUUCAUUCUACAGCAGACACAGUAACAUGAUUAAGUCAUCAUAGUAAAUUCUAAGAUGAACCGAGAAGAAGUUCUAAUGGUGACUAUUCUUCUAAUCAUUUUCUACGCUGUUAGCAAAUGAGAGAAAAAGACUAAAUUUAAGGUAUAAUAUCAGAUUUAAAACCAUGACUAAGAUUCUUCACCUCAUCACUCCAAGCCUGUGCUUUCAAACUCUGAACAAUUUGCAGCACUCCCAAGUCUACCAUAUGAGCACUAAAUGUUCCUUUGGAAAGCAAAUUCCGAAGAGUCAAGAUGACAACCCGUACAACCUAUAGUUAUAGAAACACCACAGGCCGUGAACAGAGAUGAGCAAGCCAAAGACAACCAAGGUAGAAAAAGUGCAGCAUCAAAUUUAAAAAAUUAAAAGGGAGUACAAAUAGUUAUUAUGCAUAAAGCAGCACAAGUAGCUCACCUUCUCUUUUGUUGAACCUUUAACAACUUCUAUCAAUCGAGGGAGGGCCCUUGAAGUAGCUAAAUACUCUAUUGCAGGUUCAUAGUAUGACAAAAGCCACACACAAAGGCAUGUCUCAUAGAGAAGCUGUUUGAAGGAAGAAAAUAAAAUCAAGAAGAAGAAAGAAAAAUAUAUUCUUUUGUCAUCUAGCUUCAGGAGGUGGUUGAUAGGUUGAAUGAGUACAGAACAGUCUCAACCACCACAAUUUUCUAGCACGACACGUAUAUAAUUUAUAAAGGUAAUGCAAUAUAUGGCAUUAUAGAGUGAAGAAAACCUGGAUAGACUGCUGGGUGGAUGCUGGUGAAAUUAAAGGAACAAGCAACUUCACUCCAUCAGCUCGAACAAAUGAAGAUCGAACAACUGGCUCUUUCAACAGAGUUGAUAGGCAGUUGAUUGUGCUAGGAAUGCUGCGGGUAGGAUGAGUAGGCUUUUUCAGCUGCACAGAUCGUCAAAAUCAGGAACGACAGCAGUUAACUGAAACAUGAUAACCCCAACAAGUGGAAUUAAUCCAUAAAUCCCCAACCCCCAUCCCAUUGAACUUUCCACUAUCUUCAAUUAUUUAGCUUCAAAGUGAAGAAAUAGGUCAUAAACCCAGUUGUAAGGCUCAGAAAGAUCUUGAUGAGAAGCAAGAGCUUCCUGAUCCCUGUCAAUGGCGUCAUUCCAUUGCCUCUUACUGAUUAAACUAAUACAUCGCACCCUCAUGAUCUUAUGAUUAUAGCCCUUUUCGCUUCAACUGUUUCUUUUAUUCUACAAUGGACAACCUUCCUUCUAUGAAAUAUUUCCACAACUAUAUUGAAUCCCCUUUCAAAUGUUUGCAAGCCCAGUAAUUGCAGGUUUGGGUGGGAUGGAAGAAAAAUAUAGAAGUGGAAACUCUAGGAGCAUAGACAAACCUGUGCACAAAGCCACUCCACCACGCCUGCCAGAACAUCGUCAAUGGUAGUGAUUUUCUUCUUUGAACUUGAGGCAUCUCCAUUUGCAUCAGCACCAUUCUGAACUUUUGACCUAGCACUGGAGUUGUCAUUAAGAGGACCGCAAAGUUAUUAGUUCAUUUGUCAUUCUAACAUUCUCGGUCUUUUGAUAUCAUUGACAUGGGAGGAGAGAUCAUAACCUAAUUACCUCACUGUCAAAGAUAGAAUCUUACAGCUCUUCUCUUGUAUGAACCAAUUACCUUUCCACAGCAAUCUGGAAAACAGAACUCAUCUUUAGAAAAGUUGAAUGUCACGGACAGAUAAGAAUACAUAAUCUUCACUGAUUUAUAAAAAUAACAGUUUAGAAGAGGCAAAAAAAGAGGAGAACCUACAACUCCAAUGUACAAUAUGAGCGUCACCCUUUUCGACAACCUAUAUAUAUGUGUAUUUGGUGGUUCUAUUCAUCAUUUCAAUAUCACCUUAUUGACAAUUUCUGGUCAUUAUGACCAAUAAACUCAAUGCUUUCUUCAAGCAGUAAAGGGCAAUAAAAUAGCUGUAUGCCUGUACUAACAAACUGAAGGUAAAGGUGUCUUGACUUUGCCACUGUACGUAUUAUUUUGUUCCAAAGUAACUGAAUACCAAAUUAUUAGAGUAAAUAUAAUGUAAUUAAAUUCCUAGUUUGAUAAGUCUUCUAAUUCUAGCAUCUACAGUUUUAGCAUCCAAAAACUUUGUACCAAAAGUUAGAAAUGAGGAGGGUAAGAUGUAACUUUUGGUAUGAACCAUAAAAUUGAACUACUACUACCUACGUAUUAAAUAAAUGAGGAACACAACAGGUGUGAUCUUCUAUAAAUAUGGCAAGAUAUGUUGAUAUAGGAUGAAGGCAGGGGAAGGGGGUGCAUGCAAAUUGCAAUCCUUUGCUACAAAGGAAGAGAAAGAAAAUAGUAUCUACACGGCAAGUGUAAAUAAAGGACAUCAACCCUUGCAGAAUAGUAAGAAAAUGGAACAAAAGUUAAAAAUGGGUGGAAGAAUAUUGCCUGAGGAAAGGUUCAUAGGUAUCUUCGUCUGCAAGACUCUCAUCAUGGAAUAGUCUUGCUCUUUUUGGGUUUGCUGCCAAGAAAUAAGCAUUACAUCAGUCCACUUACCAAAAGAACUCUAAGAGUAACAAAUUCUCUACUUACCUGUAAGCAUUUCAUCAAUCAAAGCCAAAACAUAUUCCACGGUUUCUUCAGUGUAAAUAAAGGACAUCAACCCUUGCAGCAUUCAGAGAAAAUGGAACAAAAGUUAAAAAUGGGUGGAAGAAUAUUGCCUGAGGAAAGGUUCAUAGGUAUCUUCGUCUGCAAGACUCUCAUCAUGGAAUAGUCUUGCUCUUUUUGGGUUUGCUGCCAAGAAAUAAGCAUUACAUCAGUCCACUUACCAAAAGAACUCUAAGAGUAACAAAUUCUCUACUUACCUGUAAGCAUUUCAUCAAUCAAAGCCAAAACAUAUUCCACGGUUUCUUCCUUGAAGAUGUCACGUAAAAUGGUAACAAAGACGCGGACAUAACCUGGACCAUCCUGUAAUAGUGGUAUCCAUUUUAUAAUAGUAUCACCAAUUGAGAGUCUAAGACCAUGAUAAGACAAUCAAAAGUUUGAGAGCUUGACCAAGCACCCAACGAAAUCUAAGAAUACGGGAUGCUUAGAAAUCAGCAGUUGCAAGAACCCCAUUUCCCACAUAAGCCCCAUGAAAAAGCCUGUAACUUGGGAAUAGCUCAAUAGUGUAAAGAACACUCACACUACAUUUUGAUGAUGCUGAUGAUAUAUGACUAUUUCAAGGUAAUAAAUGAACUUGAAAUGAAGAUACCAACAACAAUAACAAGUCCACAAGAAUUAGACUAUCUAUACAUGGGAGUCAGGUGUAUGCCAAACUUGACUAAUAAAGGAGAGGCUAGUGAUGACAAUUUUUAUCUUCCCAAAUAACAGCUAAUCCAUGUAUUCACUGGCAUGCAAAAUGUAAAACUUAUACUACCACAAGUGGACCUAUUCCUAACCUAAUUUAGAAGAACUCUCCUUUUUCUUUUUAAGAAAGAAGAACUGCAAUUUAGAAGAAGUCAGCCUAAAUACAAGAGGAAUUAGGCAGAAAGAAGUAGUGGAAGUACAAGACGCAAGAAUUCGACUUUGUACGAAACCAAAAUGUAAGUCAUAGCUAAAGACAACUCGUGUUAGAAACAUUACAUCAUCCAGCAACUGGGCUUUGUAACUUUCUGCCUUCUUGUCAUAGCGCCUCAACAGCUGCAAACCUGUUCCAGUGAUCAGCUUUGUAGUCAUGUAUGUCUCCCAUGGGAUAUCCCUCCUCAAAACCUAAGGAAACAGAAGGAUCCACAAUGUUAUUGCACAAUCACCAGUGCUAAAAGACCCAAUUCAUCACUAUUUUUUCAGUUUUUUUUUUCUUUCCGCACUCCUAUUUCCCCAAAACCAAAAGAUAAAGCCACGUUUAUGUUUAUUUAUAGGUGAUGUAGUUGGUAAACUAGAGAAAAGAUAAAAGAAAAAGGAUGUUCCACUGUUCUUCCAGGACAGCCCACAAAGAAAAAAAACCUGACAGCAACAAAUUCUUUCUCCUUCUCAAAAUUGACGCCUUAUCCAAUCUAUUAAAAGAAACUGGCAACCAAAAGUAUCUUUAUAAUUAUCCAUCAUUGAAUGCAUAGAAUUCUUUCCACUUAGUGUUUAUUGAUGUAAACAUACUACUCAAAACUUUCUCAAAAAGUAAAUGGAAACAAGGUACAGCAACUAACUGCUAAGACUAAGAGCCUAGAUCCUGUGUUGCAUGUUAACUAUGAUGGCGAUUGAAAGUUAUAGUCCAAGCUAGUUAUCAGUUACAAAAACUGUAUGCUAUUUCAUGUCCUUAUGUAUAAUGUAGCUUCUUUAUUGUGCUUAUACAUGUGACAUUACCUCCUCCGUAGUAAGCUCCGCGUUCUCCGUUGUCAUUGUGAGUAUGCCCUUCAAAUCCAAAAUUUGUUUUCUUCUUACCAAAUAGACAGAAUACGGAUUGUUCUUCCUCUAUCCUGUAUAGAUUCCACGGAAAUAUCUCAAAACCCAACAGGUCAUAGAUUCCACACAUUUAAAGAUGCCAACUAGAAACGGGAUAAAUAAACUUAUUAUUAGAAAUCAAAAUGAAUAUGAUAACAGAUACAGAAAUGAAGCUGAAAAGAGAACACCAAAACACUUUCUGAACCUACUAUCAACAAAUUAAUGUCAUCAGGCUAUCUUGUUUCACUUCACUUGUGAGAAGGAAAGGAUUCAGUUCCUAUGUGAUAAAAGAAAGAAGAACCCAUAUUAUUUCUUUUUCUUUUAUUACGUUUGUCUCGUAUGUGGAUAAGACCAAUGUUUGGUCUCUAACCAUUGCAAAUCCUUAACUUUUUGAUGACCCAAUCACUGAUUUUAUUUUGGGAGUUAGACCCAUCACUCUAUAUUGAGUCCAUAUUGCCAACAUAAUGACCAAAUCUACCUCCUCAGACUUGAAAUUGGCUUGCACCAGCUUCAUUACAGUUUUUAGUCAAACUUCAAGUUAACACCUGACAAAGUACAUCAACCAAAUACUUAAGGAACAAUCAAGCGGAAGAUGUCUCCCUAAUGUGGUAGGAUAUUUAAUACAAGUAUUGGUUAUAUCAUACAAAGUUGGUAUAAGAAAUAAAACAGAUAGAACAUGAUGGAAGAAAAAGAUCCAUAUAGGAGAUAUCAACUACUUAGGAACUUAAGAUUAAGAACACCUGGAGGACAAUUCAGUAACUGAAAGGUUAGGUCUAGUAUUAUGUUCUUUUAGAGUAAUUCUGAUAUUGUAAGUAAUGUAUAAGAAAUAUUAAACUUUUUGAGCUCCCAACAUACCUAAAGGGGUCUGGUAAUUUCUGCAUAUAUCUUCUUAUAAAAUGCACCAAUCAGUGCUUUAUUCAACAAAACUUAAAAGAGAUAUGGCAUUGCUCAGUUGACAGUACACAGGUAAAAAAAGGUUCAGGGAAUAAAUUUCUGAUUCAAUCUUGGAGAUCGUCACAAUUUAAGGAACAACUAAAGAUUUGAGUUCAAAGCUUUGACAGAAUCCACAAUAGUACACAGGUACAGAGAAGGUUGACCCCAAAAUCUCAUUGCUACAGGUUCAACAUUCAUCCCCAUACUUAGUGAAUAAUCAGAAGUCAACAUCACUGAUCCAAAUAAACCCAGAAAAGCAAAACAAUCACUUCAACCAUGACAUUCUCCACCAACUUUCAAGCUGAUUAAGUUCACUACUUCAAUACUCAAAACUUUAUUCCCAUAAACAAUCACUAAUGAAAGAAAUAAGCAAUACUCAAUUUCCCCCAGUCAAGCCAAAAUCUAAGAUCCAAAACUAUAAUAGUCAAUCAAACAUAAAACCAAGAAAAUUCUGCCUAUUUGGGCAAGCAAGCAUACAUUAACAAACCCAAAAAAAAUACAAAUUAUCACUGAUUGAAUCACUUCAAUCACACCAUUAUCAAAACAUUUCAAGAUUCAAACUUUACUCAAUCACCAAAGAAAGAAAUAAACAAUACCCAAUUCCCCCCAUCCAAGCCAAAAUCUAAGCUCCAAAACCACAAUAGUCAAUCAAACAUAAAACCCACAAAAUUCUGCCAAAUGGGGCCAGCAUACAGACAUUACCAAACACAAAAAAAGCACAAAUUAUCAAAAUCACUUCAAUCACACCAUUAUCAAAAACACUUCAAGAUUCAAACUUUAUCCCUCCUACCAAAUAAAUCCAAGAUUCACAACCACAAUUGUUGAUUAAAAAGAUAAACCCAGAAUUAUUUUGUCCAUAUACAUGAGAUUUACACUGAAAUUAACAGAAAAAAGAAGAAGAGAGAGAUUAAAAGAUACCGUAUCACGUGGAAGUGACCAAAUGUGAUUAGAACCCAAAAAGUAAUCUUCCAGUAUAAGAGGGUGCAAGUAGGCUACAAAUCUUGGGGUGGGGUGGGGGUGGGGGUUCACGAAGGUGAGAUCAAACUCGAUGGAUGAGGAAGACCAUAGAAAAAGGAAAAUUACAAAGGGACAAAAUCAAGCAAUUUCAACAUCACAUGUGUCUUUUUUUUAAUUAUUGAUAAAUUUUAAUUAUUUUUUCCAUAAAUUUUAAGAAUUAUUAACUAGUUUAUCUCAUUUAAUUAUAAAAUAAUGAUCAAAAUCAUAUUUAAACCUUCACUUUUUCUAAGUUACCCACAAUAGUUAUUUUGUUUUUUACUUGCAAUGGUUAGCAAUUAUUAUUUUCUUAUCGGAACUAUUAUCAUCUAUGUAGUAAAACACACUUAUUGAAAUAGAUGCCGAUAGUUCAAAUAAAAAAGAGGAGUAACAAACUGAUUGUUCAAUCGAUUGUAAGGUGUGUUUUAAUACAUUGAUUGUGAUAGUUCAAGUAGAAAAAAAAAAACAUUUUUUAGUUGGAGUGUAAAGCUCAUGAUUGUUCAUAUGUGUUUUUGACAAUUAGCUCUUUAAUUAUCCACAUGGUAUGUUAAAUUUGGAUUGUUAGUCUAUAUUUGAAGUAAUAUAUACUUUUCAAAAUAGUUCAAAUAUAAUGUAUCUCCUAGUUCCUCUACCUACAACAUAUAAGUGUACGCAAAUCUUUUUCUUUAUCUAUGUCAUCCAUUAAAAAUUUAGCUUAUUUAUGUCAUUUCAGUUAACAAAUAAUGGCACGUAUAAACCUUUUCUCAGAUGGAGAUGGCAUAGAGCCAAACUUUUAACGGAUGACAUAAAUGAGUCUUUUCUCAAAGUUUAAUGUCAUAUUUGCACCUUUUUCCUUUAAUAAAACUAUUGUUAUUCCAUCAUUAUUGAGUCUUCAAUAUUUCCUUCAUGAAAAACUUCUUUUGUUCUUUUUUUGUCAUUACGCCUCAAAGAUAUAGGUGAAUAUUGUCACGCCCCGAGCUACUCCCGAGAUGCGAACACGGGACCUAGGAUCACAUGUGAUCCCAAGCUAACUUUGCUAGCAUGAUCAUGAGCAUACUAAAGAUAGUAAACUGAUGUGGAAGUUAAAUCAUAAAUAAAAAUGAAAAGAUGGGGAAUACCCAUAUACUAUAACUGAUAUAAAUGAAAACUGAUGAGUUUAAUACAAAGAAGAUAUUAGCUCAAUACUAAGAUGAAUCUAUCUAUGUCUGGAAUAAGCCUCUAAACUGACUAGAAAUGUUGGGACAUGCCCUAACUAGGUCUAGCAAAACUGAAACUAAAGACUAAAAACGAUAAAGAUAAACAUGUCACUAGUCCUCGAAGAAUGAGGACUCACCACUGAUGUUGCUGAACUGAAGAUCGGGAACCGAUCUAAGCGUGAUCUGGAUGCUGAGAACAUGAACCUACAUCACGAGAAGAUGUAACGCACGUAUGCGUCAGUACUUGAAAGGUACUGAGCAUGCAAGAUAGAGUAAAACUGAAAUAACAUAUAACUGAGCAAAGCAAUAAAGCAAUGAAAUAAUCUGAACAUGAUAUAGAUGCUGAAUACUGAAUUAACUAAAUACAAUGACCAAAUUUAUAACAUGCUGAAACUGAAUAUUGACUGUACUGAAAUAUGGUCAAUGCAAUAGAGUCUGACUGAACUGUGGGAGCUACUAAUAAUCGACAUAAAACCACAUGAGCUAAAUGUGGAGUCCAAUGGAUACGCCCCAUCGAGAGGACCCAAUAUACCCUGCCAGAGGUAUAGAGGCAUGAUGGCGUGAUCACUAAACUGAUGUUGCCCACAGAGGGGACUUACACCUACGUGGCUCGUAGUUCUGGGACUAUAUGGGUACGCUGAAACCCUAGUCCAACUCGGUAUUAUGCUACUCCCAAUAGAUUAAGUGGUUAACACAUUAUGACUGAGUUUCUGUAAAUACUGGAUAGCUCGAAACUGAACAUACAAACUGAGAAUGCAACAAUUAAUCUGAUAAUGAUGCAUUCAUAAACUGAGGCAUCUAUAACUGAAUAUAUUAUGACUGAAAUACUGAAUAACUCAAAAUACUGACAUGUAGAUACUCAUACUCGAAAACUCCUUUCAACAUCAUAUUAUACUAUGAUCAUUGAUGACUUGGGAAGUCAUACAGCAUAAACAUUGAUGGGAUUUCUAGAUACCAUACUAUUCAUACGUUGAUGAUCUACUCAAUUGUCAUACUAAUCAUGUUUUAGAAGCUCUUUCUCAAAAUUCAUCUUAACUUUCUCAAAAACUCAGUUUAAAACUCAAGUGUUGUCUUAAAGAAAAGCUUCUCAAGAUUUAUAACUCAAAAUAGGGUUUAUGCUAAAAUAUACUGAUAAUNNNNNNNNNNNNNNNNNNNNNNNNNNNNNNNNNNNNNNNNNNNNNNNNNNNNNNNNNNNNNNNNNNNNNNNNNNNNNNNNNNNNNNNNNNNNNNNNNNNNNNNNNNNNNNNNNNNNNNNNNNNNNNNNNNNNNNNNNNNNNNNNNNNNNNNNNNNNNNNNNNNNNNNNNNNNNNNNNNNNNNNNNNNNNNNNNNNNNNNNNNNNNNNNNNNNNNNNNNNNNNNNNNNNNNNNNNNNNNNNNNNNNNNNNNUUAACUGUUGUCGGAGUGACCUACGGAUUGGACCUAUGGGCCGUAGUUCAAUCUACGGUCCAUAGAUUGGGGUCGUCGAUCAACUCUGCCUGACAGGGCUUCACUAAAACGAGAAUAACUUUUUACUUGGAGGUCCGAUUUUAGCAAACUCGGUGGCGUUGGAAAGAUAAUUCAAUUAUCUAUCNNNNNNNNNNNNNNNNNNNNNNNNNNNNNNNNNNNNNNNNNNNNNNNNNNNNNNNNNNNNNNNNNNNNNNNNNGACGGUCCGUGCUGGUCGACCGUAGUUUGUGUCAGAGGCUGGGUAAGGGAAGUCUCGAUCCACGGACACAGACCACGGACCGUGGUCUGACCUACAGACCGUGGGUCGAGACUUAGCCGAUUUUCUAAGCUAGGUUGGGGAGGGGUUGCAGUGGUGAACCACGGACCACCAGCACGGGACGUGGUCUGACCUACGGUCCGUGGAUGGCAACCGUGGGUUGCACCUGUAACUUCUCAAAAUCUGCAUUUUGGUCUAAAUAGGAAACGGGGUGUUACAAAUAUAUUUUCUUUUUAGUAAUGAUGUGAAUGUACUCGCUAUUUUCUCAUAAAAUUAUAUAUAUUAUUAAAAAAAGCUUUUGCGCACCUCAAUUAAUUUCACAAUACUUCCAAAGAGUUGUUGUUUUAUAGAUCCAAGCCUUUUGAAUUGUUCUACAUUGUGGACUAACGUUUUUAAUUGAACCAUAAAAUUCUUUCACAAUAGUAAUGAAAACUUACUUCAUUUUUUUGUUAAAGAACAAAAUGAAAUUCAAAUGGAGAUGAACAAAAUGUCACAGAUUUUAUUGAAACUAUACCAUAAAUGGCUCAUGCCAUAUUGAUCUUUUACAACAGAGAGAUGACUUCCUGUAAGGAUGACAAUGGGGCGGGGAGGGGUGGGGCGGGAGUGUCAUGACUAUACACUGACUGGUGCAUUAUGAGACAAUCAAUACACAGUUGUCUUUAAACUAAGCUGUAGAAACUUGUGCGCACAAGUAGACAGCUGCAUAUACGUGAUCAGCAUCAUCAAUGAUCCAGUCUACUCGGUAAAACCUUUGCUGUAAAAUGAUGGAGUUGAACUAUACAAGAAGAACACAAGCCUUGACCUGAAAAGGCGGAAAUGAAUCACACUGUUACAAUGAAAGCAAUUUGCAUAGGAAAGACGAGCAGUUUCACGAGUUCUAGCAAGUCAGCAGAAAGAACACUAAAUCUUUUAUGAGUCUGUCAGUGGCGGAGCCAUCUUGUUCCAAGGGGUAUUGAUCGACACCCCUUCACUGAAAGAUUACACCGAGGAAAUAGGUGAAAAAAUAGUUUUUAUGUUUAUAUACUAUCUGUUGAAUCCCCCUGGCUUCUUCGUGUGUAUACUUUUCUAUGUUUUGACUCCCCUUAGUGAAAACAUAGCUCCGUCACUGAAGUCCGUCGAGGUACUAACAAAUGCAUGAGCAGGUAAAACUUCUGCAGUAUAAUUAGGUAAUAUGGCAAUAGAAUCUGUCAAAUAUGUUCACGCAUGCAAACUACUUCAUUGGGUGGGGGGGGGGGGGGGGGGAAAGGCUCAUUUUCAGUGCACUAUACAAGAAGAACACAAGCCUUGACCUGAAAAGGCGGAAAUGAAUCACACUGUUACAAUGAAAGCAAUUUGCAUAGGAAAGACGAGCAGUUUCACGAGUUCUAGCAAGUCAGCAGAAAGAACACUAAAUCUUUUAUGAGUCUGUCAGUGGCGGAGCCAUCUUGUUCCAAGGGGUAUUGAUCGACACCCCUUCACUGAAAGAUUACACCGAGGAAAUAGGUGAAAAAAUAGUUUUUAUGUUUAUAUACUAUCUGUUGAAUCCCCCUGGCUUCUUCGUGUGUAUACUUUUCUAUGUUUUGACUCCCCUUAGUGAAAACAUAGCUCCGUCACUGAAGUCCGUCGAGGUACUAACAAAUGCAUGAGCAGGUAAAACUUCUGCAGUAUAAUUAGGUAAUAUGGCAAUAGAAUCUGUCAAAUAUGUUCACGCAUGCAAACUACUUCAUUGGGUGGGGGGGGGGUGGGGGUGAAAGGCUCAUUUUCAGUGCAAUAAACUAUAGCAAGUAGGACACUUUGCAGUCAACAAGAUGUAAUACAGCACAAUUCAAAGAAGAUACUACAAACAUCUGCUUGAGUAUAACAUGUAUUUACCUUUAAACCGGAGACGAAUAGGCCGUGAUGAAUAACAGCACCAUUUUCCAGAUUGAUAUUUAUAAUCCAAUCUGCUUCAUCCAUAAAGACCACUUAACAGCCUCAAGAAACUUAUCAUUUUUCCGUAAUGCAUUGAUUAGGUUAGUGUAGGUUAUUCGAUCAGGUUCAAUUCCAUUUUUGCGCAUUUCCUUGACCAAAUCUACUGCACGUUCAACCAUUCCAGCAAUUCCAUAAGCCUUUAUCAAUGUGUUAUAGCUGCACAAAUCAGGUCCAAUUGAUCCUGAUUCCUUUAAUUCUGCCAGUACAUUCGAAACUUCUUCAAUCCAACCUAGCUCGCCAUAAAUGUUUAUCAUAAUGUUGUAAGUGUAAUGAUCAGAAGAGUGACCAGAUUCCUUCAGUCUUUCCAAGACAUUACGGAAUUUCUCCAUUUGUCCUUCUUUCCCAUAGGCAUCUAACAUACAAUUGUAGGCUUCAAGAGAAACUGAAAAGCCAUUGAAGUGCAUUUUCUUGACAGUUGAUGACAUAUUCUUGAAGUCUUUGCUUCUCCCAUAUGCAGCUAUGAGAGUGUUGUAAGAGAUAACAUCAGCCAAACCACACUUUUUAGCCAUUGAAAAAACCUCUCUUGCUCUUUUGAAGAGUCUGGAUUUCCCAUAUACGUCAAGCAUGACAUUAAAGGUGACUGUAUUAGGUAAGAAUCCACGUUUAAGCAUCUCAUCGAAAAGCCUCGAAAGCUCAUCAACUGGCAGUGCACGGGCACAGCAGUUUAUGACACAGCUGUACAUUUCCUGAUCCCAGAUGACUCCUCUUUUCACAAGUUUGUAGUAAAGAUCUGCCAAUUUGUCCUUCUUGUCACAUCGCUGGUAGAUCCGGAGCAUAUCACGGAGCAAAUAUGUGUCUGGAACAAUGUUUUUUUGUUUGUCCAUAUCAUCCAACACAGAGCAGGCUUCUUCUAAGGCUCCAGAUUUCAUAUACAUCCUUACCACAACACUGAAAGUUAUUGUGUCCAAUUUGACAUUUGAAUUCUUCAACAUUAGAUAAAGCUUUUCAGCUUCAGCAAAAUUGUUGUUUGUACUGUAAAUGUCUAUCAUAGUGCAUAUUAUAUGUAAGUUAGGCUUAUCAGAUUUUGGCAUACAAGUGAACACUUUCACAGCAUUCUCUGGAUGCCCAAAAUCUUUGCAUGAGCAAAUUAACAAAUGGUACAAGUUGUCCUCAAAUAAAGCAUCCUUCCACUGCUUUUCCCGUAAGACUUUUAACGCAUCAUCUAUCAUGCUGUUUUUCACAUAAGCCAUCACCAGACUUGAACAAGCUAUCUGGUUUCUCAAAACAUGAUCAUAUAAAGAACCUCCCAAAAUUGAAGGAACUUCACGAAUGAGUUCAAGCUUCUCAUAUGCUUGCAAAAGAAUGCCAAGGAUGGUUGACUUUUCGCCGCCAGUGUGCAUCAUUUCCUCAAUAGUUCUAACAACAUCCACUUCGUCUCCAUGCUUGACUUGUAAAUUUAGCAUUGUGUACAAAUUAGACGAGUUUGGCUUGUGUCCAAGUCUUUUCAGUUCCACAUAGUAUCUAUUUGCUUCCUCAUAAUUGUCUGUCCGACCCCACCCUUCUAUCAUAGACCUGUAAGUUGUUUCAUCAGGAUCCACUCCAACCCUUUUAAGGUCACCAAACAAGCGUUGUGCAUCAAGCAUGUUGGAAAUCUUCCCAUAUCCAGUGAUCAAUGUGUUGUAUGCAACUAUAUUUGGCGAAAAACCAGCUUCGUUCAUGGAAGCUAAGACCUGCUCAGCCUCGAGUAACUUGCCUUGUUGACAGUAAGCAUUAAGCAGAACCAACCAAUUCUCUAGAUUCAGAAUUACUUCAUCUUUCCUCAAAAAGCCAAUGAUUUCUUCUGCUUUAUCAUACAAUCUCAUUCGCGUAUAUAUCGUCAACAUAGAGGAAUAUGCAGACUGGCACAUAAUUUUGAGAUUCCUCAUCAUUGAAAAUGCAAAUUCUGCUUCCUCAACAUGCCAUCCUUUCUGAUAGAGAGCCAUUAGCAUCCCAAAAGUCGCUAUAUUUGGCUGAACUCCAUUUUCCAACAUCAUGUGAAACCACUUAGCACCUAACUCCACGAGCCCUUUUUUAUGACAAGCAUAAAUAAGGGUAUUGAAAACUUGAUAUGUAAGCUUACAACCUGACUCCAUACUCAUUUCCUUAAUCAUUCCCUCCGCCCCAUCCCAAUCGCCUCUUCUCCCCAAGACGCGGAGUAUCAAAUUAUAGGCAGUAACAUUUUGCUUUAACUUCCCAUUUUUCCUCAUCCAUCGGAAAAAACUCAACGCUUUCCCAUCAUUUCCCCUUUCGAGCUCUUUCAAUAUUGCAUUGCACUGAUCCAAACUUGAGUCAGACCCGAUAUUCUCAUCAGGAAAAUCAACCCCAUUUUGGCUAUCUAUCACACUCUCAUCACUAUUUACAUCAAACGCAAUCAUGGGAUUUUCUUCCAUUCCAUUUUUCCUAUCUUUCAAUCUAAAACUAGACCUAUGAUUCGAGUCUCUCGGUACCUUCUUCACCCUCCUAAAUCUUUUCCAAACAUUAAACUUCCCUUUCUGAGAAUCCCUCCCAAGAUUUGGUCUUUCAGUAACAAAACUGUCAUUUCCUAACUCACCUUCAAAACCAUCAACCCCUUCAUUAUCUAAACUCAACUCAGAAGUCUCUAAUUCCUCAGUUUCUAAUCUUGAAACUCUAAUGUGCUUCAAAUUACAAAAUGGGCUAACCACAAAUGCACCACCACCCAAAAAUGAGGGAACCCAACACUUAGAAUCAGUAAAGUUCAAAGCUUUUACUGUGCAAUUUAGUUUCUUGGAUUCCCAUGAACUAUCUACAUAAAGGGGUAAUUUCAAAGAGGCCAUGAAGCAGAGUGGCCUCAAGAAAAGCUGACAACUUCAGCAUCAAUUCAUCAAGAUUCCAAAUUUAUUAAAAACAAACUCAAAAUUUAGCUAAAAGGGGUUGGUGGGGAGUAAUCAAGAUUCAAAAUUUCACAAAAAGCAAAACCAAAAUUUAGCUAAAAAGGGUUGGAGGGGGAGUUAUCAAGACUCAAAAUUUACAAAAAACAAAGUCAAAAUUUAGCUAAAAGGGGUUGGUGGGGAGUAGUCAAGAUUCAAAACUUCACAUAAAGAAAAUCAAAAUUUAGCUAAAAGGGGUUGCUUGGAAGUUAUCAACAUUCAAAAUUUACAAAAAAACAAAGUUAAAAUUUAGCUAAAUGGGGUUGGUUGGGAGUUAUCAAGAUUAGAGUUUUGAGGGCUUACCUUCAAGAUUAGGCAAAAAAAAAAUGAGAAAAAGGGGGAAACUUUUUGAGUUUUUGAGAGGAUAAUGAAAAGUAGAAAUAGUGAAGCAGUGGAGUGGAAAAUUUUGGGAUUUUGAUUUUGAGAGUUUGAGCUAGUGGUGAUUGUUAGAAGAUGACAUGGAGACUACCUGCAACAUUCCUUUUACCCUUUUGUCUUCUUGCUACUUGCUAGUAAAUGGGGUUUUUCUUUUUAUUGGGAAAAAAGAGGCAAAUUAGACAUUUUCUAAUUUUUUUUUAAAAAGUGGGAUACGAGAAGGGAUUGCAAUGUGGGAAAUCGAACCCUCACCAAUAAGGUGAGAGUUUAGGUAGCCAACCAACUGAGUUUAGACAUUUGGUUGGCCAUCAAAGUAAUUACAUUCGUCAAUUAGAUAUACCUUUAAUAUAUAUUAUUUUGCAUAAAAUUGUAUGUUUGAUAUAAAGCAAAACUAUAGACUAAGGUCUAUUAUUUUGAUGGACGAUUAUUUUUGUCAAAAUGUAUGUUUUAUGUAUGUUAUACAAUGAUAUACAACAAACAUAUGUAUGAAUGACUAUUAUUUUGAUGGACGAUUAUUUAUAUCAAUUUUUAAAACUAAAACCUUGAACCCUAGACCAAAUGUAUUAAAAAAGAUUAACCUAAGUUUGGAUUAUUAUUAUUUUUUCUGCAAUUUGGGAAUAUGAAUUUAAAAUCACUAGUAAUGAUAUAGCAGCAUGCAUGGACAAAAUUAGUGUAGAGUUUUGUGGUUCUUGCUAAUUUUAUAUUUAAGUUGGUGAUGUUUGUUAUAAGAAAGACAUAUAAAUUAGUUUUCCUUUUUUAUGAUAGUGAUAAAAUCAUUUAUGAGCUUCUUCUGAAGCUAACAAACUAGUCCAUCAUAAAUUUUUUCAAAAUAGUCCAAUAACAUUAUCGAGUCCGAAUUCAAAAGAAUUACUUUUUUCAACAAAAAAUGUGAACAUCAAAAAUUACUUAUACAUCACAAUCUUCUCUACAUAUAGGACACGUGUUAUUUUCCGAUAGCCACGUAAAUAAGCAACUUCUAUGAAAUAUAUGUGAACAAGGAGUAAUCACGACAACGGAUUUUUCUUCAAACAUCUCAAAACAAACCGAACAUAUAUCUCCCAAUUCAAAAUUCAUAACAUUCUCCUUUUUCAAUUUCGUAAUCUUCAAUCCGCUUUUCACUUCUAUGAAUUCUUGAUUUUUCCCAUCAAAAGCCUCAAUCUUAUUAUUAAAUCCCUUUCUCUUGGUCAAAAAAUCCAACAAAGUAUCCAAAAUUUCUUGAACAUUAGGAUCAUUGAAAGUAUAUUCUACUUCAAUUACAAGAAUAUUUUGCACUUCAAUUUUUCUCUUUUUACUAACCCCAACACAAGAUUCUUGAACCCCAUCAACUUGUAAACAAAAUUCGCCUUUGUCAUCAUCAUGAUCAUUAAUGAGUGUUUCGUACAAAUCAGUUAAUCGAAAUUUACAAAUAUCAUCACAACUUUUUGACGAGAUAUCAAAUCUUCCACUUUGCAUGUCAACAUCUAUUGCCACAACAAUUUUGCUAAACUCAUCAUCCACAUUACUCAAAAAGUUCAAAUUUUUACCAAAGCUACUCGAUAAAUAAUUAUAAAUUGUGUUAGCUAAAUGUGGAAUCGUGUCUUUAAAGAACAAUUCCGAUAACCUUAAAGCAAAAUCAAUACUUUCAACAAAUUUCUCCGGAGUUUCACAAAUCUUCAAAGGUUGAACACUUUUCUUGAAAGUUGUCUUUUUUGAUUGUCCUCCACGAUUUUUAGAGUCACAAGUUCGAGGUCUAACGAUCCUAAUUCGAUUUGUUACCCUUAAAACUAAAAAUCCAAAUCUCGAUGACGAUCCUAAUUGGUGAUGAUGAAUAAUAACACGAUUUUUAAUCAUGUUUUGCAUCCAAUUAAACACCCUUAUUUUAAUUGCCUUGAUACUUUCACUUUGAUAUACCAUUGUUUGUUUUCUUGAAAAUAUUUUUUUUUUGAAUUAAAAGUGAAAUAUAUAUAGAGGUAAGACAUAUAUUAUUACAAGGAAACUUAUUAUAAAUAACGUUUUUUUAUUUGGAAUAGGAGAGAUUUAAUACCAUUCCAAUUUAAAUUAGGAGUCCUUUUAUUACGCGGUUUCAUUUUUUAAUUCAAUCUAUUUUUAACCUGUUCAAUUUAUUGGUACCUACAUAUUUAUGACCAUAUAAGGAAAGAAAGUUUUAUUGGGCAUAUAUUACAAACAUAUUAUUAAAAAUAAAUAAAGAAUUUAAAACUUAGUAAGAGUUGAACGAUUUGAAUUAUGAUGUUGAAAAGAAUAAAUAAUUUUAAUUAUUUAAUAAGUCGAAUGUUAAAACACAUUUUAAUAUUCAGAUAUAUAUAUUAAAGUUCAAACGUAGUCUGUAUUUUAAUUAUGAUUCUUAAUAGCUAUUAUUAAUAUAUACUACGUACUAUUUUUAUUACCCAAAAAAAAAAAGAUACGUUUUAGGAAAUUUUUCCUAUUUUUGUAUUUUAAAACAAUGCCAUAUUUAAAAAAAUGCCAUAAACAAACUUACCUUAAAUAGGAUUGGGAUUCUUAUUCCCAAAUAAAAAAAAGGAAAAAUCACUUCUAUAUAUUUGUUUUUGCUCCUUUUUAAGUCAUUGUCUGAACUGAGUCAACUCAUAUUGAAAGCUCUACGAGUUCGAUAUAAUGGCUUUCAAGGAAGAAAGUGUCAAUCCAUCUAUUGUUCUUCAUAUUUCAUCCCAUGAACAACAAAACCAUAAUGAAGAAUGUUGUCCUAACAAUUUUUGUUGUGGUCAACUAUUCAAUAAUUAUCCAUAUUUAAUAACUUCUCUCUUUUUUUAUUGGUUGUUUUUUAGUAUUAUGUUGUUUUACAUUAUAUCUCAUGAAAUGUCUUUUCCCAAAUUUUCUAUUGAAUCAAUCAUACUUCAUCCAUAUUGUUUCGUAAUAUUUCAUAUCGGUUGUUUUAAUGGAUAUAACAUUUGUAUAGAUUAUUUUUGUUUUCUAUCGUUACAUAAUGUCACACAUACAACAAUUUGAAUGAUAAACCUACCAUAAAAUUUGAGUAACAAACAAAACAAACAUGUUAUUUAAACUAACAAUACAAUACAACGAGUAAUAACCAUUCAAACAAGGUGUAGGUGUGAUCGUGCCGUUAUCUUAUUCUUCUUCUCGUUUUGUUAUUGCUUACUAUCUACGUAUUAGUCUUUUUCUACUCAUACCUUACUUUUCUUCUAGGUCUUAUCCUUCAAAUGGUUGAUUCAUGACAUUAUAUAAUGACGAGAAACAAUACAAUCGAUUCAAACAUUGUAUUCAUCAAAAUAAUACGAUACAUUAUGAAACGAUAAGUAAUCACCAUCCAAACAAGGUGUAGUGAUCUCUUUAUAUUGUUGACCUUAUUUUCACCCGACAGUAUUUGUGUUCUAUUUAAGUUUAUACAAAAGCUGUUGAAACAACCUCUUACAUACAUGGAUUGCGUACAAUAAACUCAUGUGGUCCGAUCCUUAGCUUCCUCGAACCAUGUACGUAGCGGGAGCUUAGUGCACCAGGCUCCCUUUUUUACCAUCUUCCUAUCAAACAAGUAAAAAGAAAACCCUUCCCUAAGGCAUCCACCACUUGAAACUUUUCACUCUCAGCCAUCCAGAAAUUCUAUCUGAUUUACAAGUACUGAAAUUCAUGAAGCACAAACAUAGGGAUGGCAAGAGAAGUAGAAUUCAUUCUCAAAUCAUAUAAUUGCAACACAACUUUGGUUCCAUUUCAUACUUGCUUUAGAUGAUAAAAUCUUACAACUCAUAAGCGUGGCAUCGAGUUUUUAUAAAAAGAUCACAAGCUAAAGAUAAACAAGCAUCAGCUUGGAAAAAGAAAAAGAAAAACAGAACUAAGAGUCACUAAUUAGUUCCAAACUAGGCAUAGAUGUUCCUGCUAAGAACGACUUGACGAGAGUGAGAGCUUGUUUCGGUCUAUGCAGAGCAACUUCAUGUCCGGCGCCUCUUACUGUAACAAAUGUCAGCCCUUUGUACUCCUGAGUCCAUCCUCCAACCUGUUUAACGCAUUAAUGGUAUGAUAGUAGUUUGACGUGAUCAGAAUUGAUACUAAAUCAAGAAAUAAGCAAUUGCAGAGCUAUAGACAGAUUGAAUUUGAGGUACUUCAUGAAAGACGACAAAAUUGAGCAAUGAAAAUACCUGUCCAUCAUCAUACCAAGCGCGCCAAGGAGCAACAGUUGGCAAUUUUAGAGCAUCUAUGCUGUAACGGGUUGAUGUAACUGGGAUCACAGCAUCUGUGUCACCACUGCCAUAAAAUUAAACAAACAAACAUUCCUCGCGAUAUCAGCAUUUUGUCAGCUCACAUUAGUGGUAAAAGUGCCUAUAAUAUGCUGAAAAAACAUUUUGAGGUUCGCGCAAUGAUGUCUGCAAGCAGUCUUGAGUAUAUAUCAGAGCUUUUAGAUUCUAUGUUUCAAUUGAAACCAAGUUUAACUUUCUUAUCAUACUUCAGCCCCUUAACAUCCUCAACAUAACUACUUAUCAACUUUGUUUGUAAUACUAGUUUAACAAACUAUUUGGAGUUUCAAAGUUUCCUCUCUCUUUCUCAAAAUAGUAGGUUAUUAAACAAUCGGAUGAACAAUAAUUGGCAUAUAGAGAAUGUUGUAGUUUGUUAGGCAGGUUUAACACUAACUUAAAUGAAUACCAUCAGAAUUGUGAAUGUUGCGUACAAUUCUGCUUGAAACAAAACGACUACUAGCAUUAACUGUAACAAAAUGACUACUAAAAUCGCAAUGCUUGCCAACUUAUCAAGUCAAUGUGAGAAGAGAAGGAAAAGCUUAGCAUUAGGAUAAAAGCAUACCUAAAAACCCAAAUACGAAGACCUGACUUUAUCAAUUCACGAUAGACAUCCAGCACUGACAUGGGAGAAUCCUUCCAACCGCUGGAUACUUCUUCACUGCAAGAAGAGAAAAUGAGUAAAUACAUAGCUCCUACCUAGUAUAUGACAUGUACAAUUGAAAGACAAAAGGGGCUAGCUCACUGAUUCAAUUAACCUACACAAUAAUGCAUUUUUCAUUUUGACUCAUAUAUAAUAAAGACAUUGCAUGAGAUCCCCUUCAACAUCUGUAAACCCCCAUGGACUUUUAGUUUUUUCUUUCUUUUAGAAGGCAAGCAGCCCUCAACAUUUCAAACCAACCAUCAUCCAUUUACACUUCUUUUUUUUAUAACCAUGGUGCCCGGUCAGCUUGCACACUCCUCGACUAAUACCACGAGGUACCUGCUAACUCCCAAGUCCCACCAGCACAUGUAUCCACCAGAGCUUGGUUAGAUGGGAAGAAAUCAUCUAGUGUUUUUUGUCUCUGUUGGGUGUUGGGACUUGAACCUGAGACCCCAUGGUUCUCAACCCAUUUCAUUGACCACUAGGCCGCACACUUGGUUGCCCGUUCAUUUACCAUUCUUAUCCUGUAGUUUUUAUUUUGUUAUGUAUGGGGACAGCAAUGAAAGAAAAGAGAGAAAAUCAAACGGAAGUGUAACUUGCUGCUGAAGAAGAGAAGAAACAGCGAGGUUGCUGCUUUUUUCAGUGAGUAGGUGUUGGAAGAGAAAUGAAAAUACCUGCAAGUUACCCAUUUGAAUGAUGAGUUUCUCUUAUGAACAUGAAGAGCAUUCUGAACUUCAGGAAGAUUGAAGUAGAUUUUCGAGUGCUGCUCUGUACAUGGAUCAUAGCUUCUUCUGAGAUGGCCUAUACUCUAUUUAAAGGCAUAAAAUUUUAUCAGUGAUCAAAAUAGUGAUAAGUAAAUCUUUUUCAAAAGUUUAAUUUCAAUCAUUUUGAAGCAGCAUGUUAUCCAAGUUUAGAAUCACAUUUUCAAUCAAAUUUAACAGGUAUAUACUGAAAACGUCGCAUGUUGAUAGCAUCUCAAUCAUCCUACAGGAAAAAAUGGAAAGUAAUAGAAGAAAGUGUGAUUAAACCAUUACCAUUCCAAAAAAUCAUGUUUACUCACUACUCAGACAAUGAACACUAUAAGUGAAUAGAGUUAAAACUUUAUAACUGAAGUUAACGUGGGAAUAAAGUCCCAGUCACUUACAUUGCUCUUUCUGAGCAAGUGGUUUAGUAUACUAAAUUUGGCUGUGCAUGCUGGAGUGAAGAUGCUGUAGCUAUCAAUAUUUCCGAUUUCUUCAUUAGCCUGAUCAAGAAUCUUAUCACACUGCUCUGAGGGUCUCAAAUAUGAUUGGUCGUGGCACAAAGCAUUCGCCUGCUUGUAUGUUUGGUCAGAAAUCAUUCCAGCUGACCACAUGAAUUGAAAUAAUCCCAAGUGAUCAUUAUAGUCAUCAGUCAAAGCAUUUCCAACCUGCAACGUUCAUUACCUAGUGUUAGUACUAUACUACACAAAUGCAAAUGUUUUGUCUUUGAUAAUCUUAUAUGUAUGUGUGCAUUGGGUUGAGAAACAAGCGUGCAUACCAUGAAACCUUUUAAGUUGAUCACUUGCGUCUUUAAGCCAUGGUUGUGCCUCACAAUAGCUUGACUUAGCUGAGGAACAUAAUGCCCUGGUCCACAACCACGAAUAAGUAAACCACAGUUGUUUCAGUAAUUGAAUGAGCUACCCAAGAUAACAGCAACAAACCCAGAAUAGUCCCACAAGUGGGAUCUGGGGAAAGUAGAGUGUACGCAGACCUUACCCCUACCUUGGCAGAUACAGAGGUCAUUUCCAAUAAUCCCUCGACUCAAGCAAAGCAAAAAUACAAAAUUUAUGAAGACAUAAGCAGUAACAACAGCAAUACAGUAAGAAAACAGAGGCAUAUAUAAGAGACAACAAGUAGUAAUAGAAAACUAAGAAUGAGAAAUACUGAAAUAGUGAAAUGAAAAAAUUACCAAAAAUAAUACUAAUACUACUACCAGGAGAGACAAGACGCGAAACUAUUUACUACUAGCCUUCUACCCGAAUCCCUGACCUCCACAAUUGUUGCUUGUAUAAAUCCUAUCAAAUGUUGAGAGGCUAGAUAAUUGUUGACAUCCAAACAUCUUUAAAUAUUAGAAAUAAAUCAUAUGAAGAAAGAUCUUUCCCGAAAACAGACAAUAGGCAACAAUAAUUCAAUGCCUAGAAUAAGAUUAGAGGCUGUAUGGUGAAUUGUCAACAGACAACUUGAAAUUAAUAAACUCAAAGGAAUGCUUAUACAGAAAGAGGGAGAAUAUCAACUAGUAUAUCAAGUGAAAUGACUUGAUACUCCAGAAGUCCUCUUGCUUCCUUUUUCCUUUUAAAUUGUCAACUUCAAUUUUCUCUGUUUGAGACAAACCAGAGGGCAUGAAUAUGUACUGUCAAUUAGAGCAGCGAGCAAAUGACAUCAAUUAGUGGGUUGUAAGGCAGUAAAGGAUCUUUAUGACUCCAUCUAUGUAAUAAAUAUACAAAAACAAUCGAAUUCCUGGAAUGCUUAUGGAUUUCCUCCAUAAGCAUAAAUAGACAUGUAAUUUCAUCUUGAUGACCAGCUACUUAUCAACAAUGCACCCGAUAUAUUUGGUCACCGUCAAUUGACUAAGGGAUCUAAUCAUAUUGCACUGGAUACAGCUAACCAGUAAAUGUUCGAAACCUAAAUCUCACAAGUAGAUUAGAAAAAUAAUAUUACCAGCAUAGCUCUCUCCUGAAAUAUAAAAUUCUCUUCCUUUAUAUUCUGGAAAUCGUUCAAGCCACUUCAGUAAAAAUACAAGGGAGUCCGCAGCUGUAAUGCAACAACAACAAUUGAAGAAAAUUUAAUACAUGUUUACAGAUAUAUACGGACAAUAACCUAAAGAAAAACACUCAAAAGGUCAUAUGACUACCUGUCCGAGUGUCACCAUUGUUGAGAUGAUCAGAUGAAGUGUUUGAAUAGGAAUAACCAACUCCAACAGGCGAGUCGAGAAAUAACACGUUUGCAGCUGCAGAAACAGAUAACUGAGUCAGACUCCAUCCUGAUAAGUUCCUAAAACAAUGCUUCAGACAAUUAUGUCCAAAGACCAAAUGUAUACAUACUUCAGAAGCAAUGUGCCUCGGGGUAAAAUUGUCGAGUAAACAUGGAAUAUCUGGUGAAUUUCUAACCUCUAUUGUUUGAAGAAACACUGGCUUCCUAUAACUACUUAAGUCAGGCAAGGUAAAACUGGGUCAAAGAAUCCGUACAUAAACUAAUCUGACUAGAAAGUGAAACCAUCCUCCAUCAAUGCCUAAUGACAUCAUUUUCCCGAUACAAUAAGAGUAAAAUCCAUCUUUGAACACCAACAAGAAGACAAUUGUAUAGACCGCAGUACUAGCUAACAGAAGUUGAUACUCGGUCGCCCCCUCCUCCCCCCAAGAAAGUUAUUAGUCCUUUCCCUUAAAAUUUACAAAAAAAAAACCAUUACAACAAUCAAAUGUAACCACAACAACAAUCUCUUUGGUAUCACAUCAAUCGGUAAGAUACCAGAGCAAAAACAAUAAGCCUUGAUUCUCCAGUGACAUAAUUUAAGCUUCCUCUCCAAAACGAAAUUCGUUUUGAACCAUUUACAACCACAUGUGAAAUCUAAGAACAACUAUAAAGUUUGCCCAUCACUUACAUUCUAUGUUUUGACACUGCUAAAGUUUUCUUCUUAAGGUUGGACACACUGAAGUGAAUCCCAUGAAGUGGGCACAUGAAUGUAUAAGCAUAUAUUAUACAUCUCAUAAAAAUGAUAUUUAUGACGAGCAUGCUUAGAAAGGUAAAAUCCCUCAACAGUAGAAUAAGUUUUUAUAGCAAAAAGAAGGGGCAUUAUGAAACAUACCUAAGUUCCAAGAGUAAGGAUUCCAAUAGAGGGUCUUGCCGUCUUUCUCAAUAUGAAAGGGUCCAAGUUCCUCAGCUAACCCAAAGGCAAUCGACGAACAUCCUGGACCUGUAAGAACCCAUAAUCAGUAAUAAACAAAUCAUUGGCACAAUCAACCACAUUGAACAACCAUUUUAUUGGAGGAAAACGAUCAUCCAACUUCAACAAUAUGGGAAUUGAUGACUCUUCAACACUGACAAAGCCAGGAAUUUUCAUAAGGGGAUUCAGAAGUAGCAAUCUUUUAACCCCUUUGCCACUUCACUAGAAUUUUCUCUUAUGUCAAGAGGAUUCAACAGCUUAUAUAUACCUGAAAAACGAAUUAUUUAUUGUCCUAUUUGCACAUUACUAUUUUUCAACCUAGUUCUGCCACUACUCUUUAAUUUUUGUUAUAUACAAUAAAACAAUCAAACAAAGACAAGCUCAAAGAGAACAAGAAAAUGUAAUCAAACAAAGAAAGGGCAUAAUGUGCAAUCUUUUAACCCCUUUGUCACUUCACUAGAAUUUUCUCUCAUGUCAAGAAGAUUCAUCAGCUUAUAUAUAACCGAAAAACAAAUUAUUUAUUGUCCUAUUAACACAUGUAUAAUUUUUCAACAAAAAUCCCCUCUUUCUUCAGCCUCGUUUCACCAUUGCUCUUCAAUCAGAGGCGGAGCUAGGUGGGGGUUCAUGGGUUCGGACGAACCUAGUAGCUUUUAUGUACACCCUAUAUUUGUACUAGAAAAUUAAUUAAAUAUAUAUGUAUAUUAAUUUGUGAACCCCUAACAACAUUAAUUGACGGUUAUUAACGAAAUUUAGAACCCCCAAACUCUUAAUCUUGGCUUCACCUCUGUCUUCAAUUUUUGUUAUAUAUAUAUAUAUUUUUUUUUUUUUUUUUUUUAUAACCAAGAAAUCCGUCUGUGACCCGCCCUUUGGACCAAUCACAGCCUUCUAAACUCGGUGGAUAAUGGGCCCGCCCCUCUACCCUUCUCCACUUAAAUACCGGGCUUCGCUUUGCAUGGUGUGGGGCUUGAACCUGCGACCUAAGCCACAAAUCCUCCACCUUUUGUCAUAUACAACAAAAACCAACAAAACACAAGCCAAAGGAGGAUAAGAAAAUGUAACUAGAAUGCAAUUGUAAAGAUAUAACAACUGAGCCUACUCAAACUCAAAAGCUAACUCUUGAUGGGAGGAUAAUCCAAGUCCAUAUAAACAACCAUCAUUCCAUUCCUCAACCAAUGUAGGACUCGAACACUCCCUUCACGCUCAGGCCUAAUUGAAGCAUGGACCAGGAGCCCCUGAUACCAUGUAAAGAUAUAGGACUUGAACCUAACUCAACCCUAAAAGCUAGCAAAUCACCUGUCCAUUCCCAAACCAAUGCGGGACUCUAACCCACUCUAACAAACAAGAUAUAUAUAACCGAAAAACGAAUUCUUUAUCGUCCUAUUAGCACAUUAUAUUUUUUCAACAUAAUUUCAGUACUGCUCUUCAAUUUUUGCUAUAUACAACAAAAGAAUCAAACAAAACAACAAAAAACCAACCUAACACAAGCUAAAAGAGAACAAGAAAAUAUACCCCUCCGUCCCAAUUUAAGUGUCUUACCUUACUUUUCAAUAUGUCCCAAAAAGAUUGUCUAUUUACAAUUCCAACAUUGCAUGUGACAAAUUUAAGACCACAACAUUCAAAAAUCUAUCUAUAUUUCUUAAACUACGUGCACAGUCAAACUUAAGAUACAAUGCAAACAAACAAAAGAAAGAUUAAAACUUUGGGAUGAGCUGCAAACCUCCAUUGAGCCAAAGAACAAGAGGCUUUGAAGAUGGAUCAUCAACAGCUUCAAAAAACCAAUAAAAAAGAGCUCUUUCAGAUUCCUCAUUUACAGUAACAUAACCAGAAUAAUGUGCAAAGUUCACAUUAAACCCUUGACCAGGAAGCUUAGAAACUCUGUCUAAUAGUUUUUGUGCAUUUGGGGUUACAGAAAAACUACCAGAAAUGAAAAAUAAACCAAGAACAACAAAAACCCAAAUGAGAUUUAACAUUUUCUUGGUGGAAAUUUUUAUUAACUUGUAGAAAAAAUGAGGAUAAUGGGGUAUAUAAAGAUCAUAUUUUUUUCACUUUUUUAAAUAUGGUGUCAAUUAUGAUUUUGUUAACGUAACGAUUAGAUUUGUUGUUGCAGUGUCGUGCACAUGAUUCAUGAUUUCCUUUGUUUGUUUGUCUCAAAGUUUUUACUUAUUUCGAUUAAUUUUAUGAUAUAUGUGUUACUUUUAGAAAUGGAGUUAAAAUUUAAAGUUUAUAAAUUUGAAAUUAAUAAUUUGUAUAUAUUUAAUAAUUUUUUUAUUAUAAGUUAAAGGUUUGAAUCAAAGUUAUUGAGUUAAGUCAAAUCAGAAUUAACAUACCAACUCGUACAUUGGCCAUUUCCUACUAGAAAUAUGUACCAAAGUAAUUUUAUAUCAAAGUUAGAACAGAUGAGAAGAAUAUCUAGUAUUUACGAGGAGUUUUAACGUGAGAUCUCAUAAAUAUUAGGAAAUUUUACAAACUACAAACACAUAAAAUUUUAAAUUGGUCCUUACAUCUUAAAUUAUUUGUUGGGUUUCUUUUUUACACGUUCCUUAAAGAACAUUAAUUAAGAGAGAAUUUUGUGUGUUUUACUUUUGUUUUAUAUCUUAAGCUAGUAUCUGUAUUCUCCAACUUUAAGCGUGUAUAAAUAGAUAUUUAAAUUUAUUUUAAGUUGAACAAGUAGAUAUAUGAAUUGACAAUCCUAUAUAUAUUAUAUCACAUAAAAUACACACACAUCUAUAUACGUGUUCAACUUUAUACAUAUUUAAGUAUCUAUUCGCAUACUUUUUUAAUGGCUAUUUUAAACCAAUUUAUUAACGUAAGGAUUGGUGUUGCUUUUUUGUUGUUGUGCACAUGAUAUGCCUGUUUUUGUUUGUUGUGCUGAUUAAAAAGCUAUGUGGCUUUUAUGACAUGAUUGUUGCAACUUGCAACCUCCCUUAUGUAUGAUGGAAACGUGUAUAUGGUGCAAUUGGUUCACUAAAAGGUAGGACAAAGAUUGUUUUUUUCCUAUUAUAUACUCCAUCAUACGCAUAAAUACAUAAAUAUAUCGUUUUAUUUAACAUUAACGAUUUUAAUUUUGAGUAUAUAUAAGUGUACAAUUAAAUUUAUAUAAAAUUGAACAGGUAAACAUAUAGAUCCUACUUGACGUUCUAUGCGAUGUGGCGUCCCUAAAACAUAUUAUGCCAUAAAAAUAACCAUGUUAAGGAUUAUUAGCACUUUUGACAUGUAACUAACUGAAACGUGAACUUUUGAUCAUUUUACUUGUGAAUAUCCACUAAUUUACCAUGAUUAUUACCUAUUAUUCUUUCGCUUAAUUACUGAUGUGUUAUGUUAAAAUUGUACUAGUACUAUUUACUCCAUAUUUCACAUAGAAUGUGCUCUAUUUAUACAAGUAGAUGCAUGCAAAUUAAGUAUAAGAAUAGUCUUAGAUACUAUUUAAACAACUUCCUAAUUAUAUGUACUACAAUAGUCUUGUGAACAUGUAUACAUAUAUAAGAAGUAUUAUUUUGACCGACGUAAAAGUGUUCAACUGACCACUCAUGUCGUAACUCUACCCAAAACACUGGCAUUUCUAUAAGUGCCAAUACUUAGGUAGCAUUAUUUUACAUAUAGAAAAAGUAGUAAUAUGUGCUAUAUUGAAACUAAAACAUAGCAUAUAGCAGAAUUGCAGAGACAAACUCCUAUAGCUCCACUUAUUAGCUAAGUUGCUCGGACUCUCUAAAAAUAUUGUCGUAUCCUUCACAAAUAUACUAUAUUUGGAGGAUCCCACAUGCACCCCUCGACAAUUUUGAAGAGUCUGAGCAACAUAGCUUAUUAGACUCCUAUCAUUUUUUUCACAAAACUACAAGACAUUUCAUAGAACUCCAAGAUACACAUCUCAAUGAAUCUGCAAUAAGCAAUUCUCCAUCUUUUCUUGAAGAUCAAAGUGCCAAAAAAUGCCCAAAAACCAACUAUGUAUCCCAAACCAACAACAGCAAAGAACCAUACUUUCUCAAGUUUAUCUUCAUCAUCUGUUUCCCCUUCAUCAUUUCCUCCACUUUGUGAUGUUGUCGUCGUCGUAGUCCUAUCACCAACACAUUGUUCCAAAGGAGGACCACAAAGUGCAACAUUUCCUUGAAAAAUUGUUGGAUCAACUUUGGUUUGAAACUGAGUACUAGUAGGAAUUCUUCCUGUCAACUUAUUAUAUGACAAGUUCAAAUGACUCAAAAAGUCUAAUGUAGCUAAGCUUGGUGGGAUAGUACCUGAUAACUGAUUUAUUGAAAGAUCUAACGUUUCAACCCAACGUAACUUUCCGAUAUCUGUUGGUAUAUGUCCUGUCAAAUGGUUCAUAGACAAGUUCAAGGUUCCAAGUUUGUGUAAGUUUGUUAACUCUUCCGGGAUUUCACCAGACAAACUGUUGCUCGAGAGGUCGAUACUGUUUACUAGGUAAAGGAUUCUAUCAUAAGAAAGUGUUCUUCCUUUUGCCUCAAGCUUCAAUGUACCUUGAUAUUGUUUAGCUUCUACAUCAGUUAGCUCAACCUUGAACCCUUCCAAGUUUCCAAAACAGGACGGGACAGAACCGGAUAAGUUGUUUCCUGAAAAGUCUAGUAUGUGAAGACCUGAAAGGCUACAGAUUUUUAAAGGAAUGUGACCGAAAAACCUGUUGUUCCUUACACUAAGGAUUAACAGUGAACUCAUUGUUUCCCCUAACCAAGCUGGGAUUAGCCCUGACAACUGAUUGUUACUAAGAUCAAUGUUGAUCAUUUUCGUGCAAUUUCUCAAACUCAAAGGCAGUUCUCCAGAGAGAUUGUUGCCUGAGAGUCUUAAGAACAUCAGACUAGCAAGAGAGCCUAGUGAGUGUGGAAUUUGUCCGGAUAGGCGAUUCUCUGACAUAUCUAUCCAGUAAAGAUAUGGUAACUUACCCCAGAAAUCAGGAACUUGGCCGAUAAGUUGGUUGUUAUCGAGGGCUAACGUAGUUAACUGAUUCAUAUCACCUAUGCAUAAGGGAAUUGUGCCAUUUAGAUUGUUCCUGGAGAUGUCCAAGUCUCCUAUAUUGGGAAGUGCUUCAUAAAUGUUGAGAGGAAUAGGUCCUGAAAACAAGUUAUCCCUCAGAUACAAUGUUGUAACAUUAGAAGACCAUAGUGGGAGAGGUCCCUCAAAGCGAUUAGUGCUUAAAUCCACAUUGGCUUGAAAGUUGAACUUGAAUUUGUUUGGAACUUUCCCUGUCAAGUUGUUGUAUGCCAUGUCUAGAUUAUCAAGCUUCAAAUCCAACUCUACAAACCAAUCAGGUACCGCAUCAGAAAUCCCCGCGGUAUUGAGUAUUAGGCUGGUGAGCUCAUUCUGAUCCUUCAGCCAAUGUGGGAAUUCAGGACCUAAUUGGCAUGACUGAAUAGUCAAGAAUGUCAGCCUGAAUGAAGGAUUCCAAUUCGGGCUGAUAUCGAAUGCCAAGGUAAUAUUUUUACUAAGUUUCAUCCCAACUGAAAACUCUUGCAAGUUGGAAAGAUACAUCAAAUGAGCUUCAGUGACAAUACCAUCCCACAUAUUCUCCGAGAUAUCCAACGAGACCAACGACAUGAGCUGGCCGAUACUCGUGGUGAUGUUCCCACUCAUUUUGUUAGAUGUGAGGUAAAAUGUCUCCAAGGAUGAUAAGUUCCCUAUACUUUCAGGUAUUGUGCCUGUCAGUGAGUUAUACCUCAGCUGAAGAUGUUUCAGUUUCCUCAAGUUGCCUAAUGCAUCAGGAAGAUUUCCUGUCAAUUUAUUGAAACUCAACUCCAAUGUCUCUAAGCUAUUGCUUUGGCAUUCAGAUAACGCAUCGAUGAACUCGAUUAUGUCUCCACUGAUGUUGUUGUAAGACAGGAUCAAACUCUUCAAAUUACAUAGUUUCCCCAAGCUCCUCUUGAGUGUCCCAUUGAUACCGUGGUUCGAAGACAGAUCAAGAUGUUCAAGGAAAGUGAGCUUACCAAACUCAUCAACAAGUUCACUACACAUAUUGUUGGAGCUUAAGUCAAGAUACACAAGGCUACUAAGUUUAAAUAUCCAUUGAGGGAAUGUACAUGAACUAAAAGCAUUGUUGGAAAGAUCAAGUACCAAAAGGGAAGUAAGAUUUAGUAAUGGAAAAGAAGAAGGAAUGUUUAAAAGUUGACAUCGAGGCAAACGCAACUCCAACAGAGAAGGAACAUGAUCAUUGAUUAUUUGAAGCCAAGAAUUAGUAUCUUUACUAAGAUCUAAGCCUCCUAAAUCAAGAACUUGCAAAUUUGAGAGGUUUUUAAGGAAUGAAGAGACUAAACCAGUAAAAGAUGCACCAGAUAGAUUGAGAUACCUUAGUUCAUUAAGGCGACCGAUGAAUUCCGGUACUUUGAUUCCUUCAAAAUUGUUCAUGCUUAAGUCUAAGUAUCUCAAUUGUUGUAACUUAAGUAAAGAUGGAUUAAUCACACCUCUCAAUUCAUGUUCUGUUGAGUAUUUGUUCCUAAGAUCAAUCUUUACGACAUGUCCGGUCUUGUUGUUACAUGUUACACCAAGCCAUUGGCAACAAUCUUGUUGAUCAAUCCAAGAAGAUAGCCUGUCUGAAGGAUCUGUGAGAUUUUCUUUAAGGUUUAGAAGUGCAUUUUUCUCUGUUUCAAUGCAAGAGGUGUUAGUAGAGGAAACAAAGUGAUGGUUUAUGCAAGUGAAAUAGAAAAGUUGAGAUAACAAUAUGAGAAAGAUAAGUUGAAGUGAAUUGUUCUUCAUAUUUGCUUGUUUGUGAAUGAAGUAGGAAGGAACAUCUCUUGUCAUUUAUAGGCAUAGUAUGAUGGUCACCUAGUAGUCGCGGUUGAGAACCAUGAGGUUUCAGGUUCAAAUUCAGUGGGGACAACAAUAGUAGAUGAUGUCUUCCCACCGUUCCUAGCAUUGAUGGACACAAUGACUUGGUACAUGUGGCUAGUGGAGGUGAUAGAUAUCUCGUGAAUUUAGUUGAAGUACGUGCAAGCUGGCCAGACACCACGGUUAUCAAAAAAAAAUUAAGCUAGUAUUGACCAAGACAAAAGAAGCAUUUUGGAAGUAGAGUCUUGGUCUUUGUGGUGUCAAGUCAAUAAUUCUUUUGGUGAAUGGACUGCUCUCCAUGUUUCAAUCACUUUAAAGAAUCAUUUGUCUGGCUAAAUAUUUUCUACUUUCACACUAGGGCUUGUUUAGAAGGGGUUAUAGUCAAUCCCGAACACAACGCUUAGCGUGUUAAAAGCACCUAAAAUAAGUCAAUUUAACCAGACACCUAGUGUCAUGCCCCAAAAUUUAACUAAAAGUGUUUGCUACGCAACAUUCUGGUCAUUUCUAGUUCGGAUCCGAGCUACGUAGGAUCAAGGGGAUUCAUUUGAACUUCCUUUGACGGAAAAUUAUAUUGUUUAUAUAUGAUUAAAUUAUUAUUUUUAUGCAUAUAUAAAAUAGAUGUUGAACUACAUUUGACUUUUUUAUGUAUUUAUUUCUUCAUAUUUUAAAUUUCGUGAAAAAUCUGACUCUACUGCUAACAUAAUAGUUGGAAAGUCUUAGUCCUUGUGGUGUCAAGUCAAUAAGUCUUCUUGUGAAUGGACUCCAAGUCAAACACUUGAAAGAAUCAAUUGUCUGGCUAAAUAUUUUCUACAUCUACACCUGGGGUUGUUUGGAUGGGUUUAUAGUCAAUUUCAAAUGCUUAAAAAUACAUAAAAUAAGUCACUUCACACAGAGGUCUAGUCUCAUGCCCCAAAAUAGUGUUUGCUAUGUGAUAUUCUGAAAACUGAAAAAAAAGUUUUUGAAAAUAUUUUGGGGUAUAAUCACAUUUUGGUUGUCAAUGGAUCUUUUAUCAAGAUGAACAAUUUAAAAUAACAAAAAGUUUAAUAUUUGAUAGUUGUAUUGAGAAUGACCGUAAAGGUGGAAACGAGAUCAUAUAUUUUCUGUUGAUAUAACUCGCUAAAUAAUUCUAAUUUUUUUUCCAUCUCUUUUUUUUAACAAAUACAUCUCGACAUAUCUAUCAAAUACGAUUCUUGAUUAUUCAGACCUUAAUAGAAUAUAUGUUAGAAAAUUAGAUAAUUCACUAUUUUUUCCUUUUUUAAAAAAAAAAUAAUCUAAAAUUCAAUUAAUAAAAUAACAAACAAAAGUAUUCGGUUAUUGAUGAAAAAAAUGGAAUUUGGUUGGGCUGGGUUCCAAUCUAUUGUGGAAUCACUGUUCUUAAUCAUGUAAAGCAUUAAAUGGGCCAUGCCCAAAUCCUGUGGUGGAUUUGUUGACAACUUGUCACAAAAAAAAAAAUCAAUAUAUAACAAGUUGACAACUUGUAACAGUUUAACACGAUAGGUAGAAUUAAUAUUAUCAAAUUUAUCGAUCUUUUAUAAUUUUGUGAACAAUUAAGUAAUACAUGCAAAAAAAAUUCUGCAAGGCAUAAGUUAUAUUUCACUUAAGUAGAUUCGCAGUCUUUGACUUAUUGAAAUAUCUCGAACUUUUGUCUUAUAGGCAAAAUCAAUUUAUGACCACAACUUAUACCUGAUAGGCAAUAAAAGUUGUCUUGCAGAUUUUCCGAAGUAAAGGUUAUUUUUGAAAAUAAUUUGCUAAGCGCGGACUAAAAGUUCAAAAUCAUCCAUUAUGAAGGUCAUUCAUGUAAUUUGCUCUUUGAAACAUCUACAUAAAUGUCUAAAGGCCCAUAUGGAAUUUGGGCUUUAAUUGGGCUAUAUGCAUGGUCUUGGACAACUAUGUGAUUGAGCCCAAUGGGCCUGUUCUUUCUUUGGGUCAACUAUGAGAUUGAGCCCAAAUGGCAUGUUCUUUCUUUGGGCCAACUAUGUGAUUGAGCCCAAUAGUUAAACAUUGCACAAAAAGCGGUUCAAUAAAAGUCAAAAUUUAUAAAGUUGUUAAAGAUAAGUUGCCUCGAUCGAUCUGAGAAUUGAACUGCAAAAGCCAAACUUCAUAAUUCAAGUUCGUUCGAAUAUAGUUCAAAUUUAUACCUCGAGUCUGAAGUUUCAAUUUUGACAGUUCAAACUUCUAACUAAAGUUCAGACCUUUAAUAUGAAUUUAGGCUUUCGUAUUUCAUCUAAAGACGAAGAAACACCAACAAUGAUAAUAGGUGUGAUUUUAUGUUUGGCAAAAUGCUAUAUUGUAAAUAAUUUUUAAGAACUAAAUAUAUUUUAUGUUUUAGGUAGAAAUGCUAGUGCCAUUUCUACCCAAAGGUAAGCAUCGGACUCAAAUCUAUAAGCAUUGCUAUUUGAUUGGACGCAAAAUUAAAAUACUAUAUUUGACUUAUAUACUAUAUUAUUAAUAGUAAAAAAAAACCUAAUUUAAAAGUUUGUUUAAAGUAGUAAAUUAGACAACACAUUCAAAAUUUAAAUUUGAAAUAUUAAAAUUAUGAAGGUUCUAUAAAAAUAGGAUCGUGUUUAUAAUUUUGAAUGUCUCAAAUUAAAAUCAUAUAAUUAUUGGGAAUUUGUUAAAGUUUUCAUUUUCAUUCAUCUAUAAACAAUACAUAAUACAUAAAUAGACACUACUACCAUUUGAAAAUAUGAUUUUAAACCAAUAUGAGUUGUGAUGCAGUGAUGGGACUGCUCUAUCCUUAAUCAGAGGUUUCGAGUUCGAGCUCUGUGUAUGGAGAAAAUUCUUCUAGUAGCACCACCCCCGAAUGGGCCAUGCAAAGCGCCACCCAAAUUUAGUCGGGGCUCCAAUGAGGACACCGAACCGUGUGGAAAAAAAAAUGAUUUUAAUAAAAAUAAUACAAAUUGUGGGAAAUUGCUUUGAGAUGGCUUGGAGACCAAGUUCUACAUGGAUUUCAUAACUAAAAAAAAAAAUCAGAUUCAAAUUAAAUUUUUUUCCAGGCCACCUAACUUUAGCCUUUAUUUAUUAAAAUUAAAAUAAGACUUUUUAUUCACUUUUGGUCAGAAGUAUACUGCUAAUGACUCAGAAUGAUCUGUAUGAAAUUUCUUCAUCAUUUCUCAUAUUAAACCUAAAAACUUACAAUGUGAGAAUAUUUUUAUUGGUUAUUAUUUUAAUCAAUAGAAUUUAUUGCAUGAAUUAAUUAUACCAAAAUUAUUAGAUCAUUAAAUACAAUUUAUAGCUUAAUAACAUCAGACCAAUUCAAAAAUUAUAUAACAAAAUUUGGUUUGGAAAGAUCAAAUAAAUCAUGUGAUAAUAGAUGAUAUUAAAUGAAUCUUUGAUUACUGCCGUGUGAUAGUUGAGAUUCUUUCCUCACUUAAUUAGAUGUCUCGAAUAUCAGAGGCAAGGCUAUAAUAUUCGAUAUAGGUUCAGACGAAUCUAAUAACUUUUGCUUAAUUAGAUUUUGUGUAUAUAUAUAUAUAUUUGGAAAUUCUUUAUAUUUCAUCUGUUUCAUUUUACUUGACCCGUAUAUCAAAAAUAGAUAUUUUAUUUUACUUGUCCAUUUUAGCAAAUCAAAAGAGUUAUGAAACGAAGGGAUUAUACGGUUGACAAAUUUACCUCUAAUUAAAAUUUUCUUAAGGCGUUUGUCAAGUCAAUAUGAGUCAAGUAAUAUGAAACUAAGGGAUUAUAUUUUAAUUAUGAACUGAGCAAUCAAAAUAAGUUAUGAAUUUUUGUAGCAUAUUCAAAACUCAAAAAAAAAAUCUUAGUUUCAUCUUUGGCAAGUAUGAGCCUUGUGAUUGAAGAAUAUUUCGAUUAGAAGUGUUUCACUCUCUUAAUGGACCUACUAUAACGUGAAUCUAAAUUAAUUGAAUCAGUAGACAUCGAAUACCAAAUGACAAAACUUGCCCUUCUAAACCUAUUGACUUAUGCAAAAAUGACUUCAUAGUGUGUCUUUAUUGAAACAUUCCAUUCCAUUUUAUUUUAUUUUUUUCAAUAUAGAAACAAAGUACUUGUACUCACAGAGAUAAGAAGUGACUUUUCAAUAAUAUUUUUAUUUUUAUUUUCCUCACAUGUAUAUACUCUUGAUGGCCCAUAAUGUUUAUAUGAAAUUUCUUCACCAUUUCCCCACAUAGAAUCUACAAAAUUAGAAAUAUAUUAGUGUAAUUAACUUAUGCAAUAUUAGAAAUUAUAUUUUUUUUAAACGGAAAUUUAAAUAGAUCAGUUGAUUAACUAUUUAAUCUUUUUAUUUUGUUGGUGUGGGUUUGUUUCCACACCUUACAAUGACUUCUCCAUUUCCCCUCCAGCUUACGCCUUAUUAAAAAAAAGGGACACUUUCCACGAGUAAAUCCUUAGUAAAAAUUGAUUUUCAAAAAAUAUUUUUUCCAUUAGAAUUGGACCGUGGAAAAAAAAAUUGAUUCUUGAAAGUUUUUCGUGAUUUCCCCGUUAUAAUAGUUAGAUAUAAGUUCUUGUGAAUUUUUCUUUAAAAUUAUAGGAAAACAUAACAAAUUUUUCAUGAAGCUGGAACUAAUUUGAUUACGAUUGAAGAGAUUUUAUUCAUUCUACGAUAAAAAAAAAAAAAUAUUUUGGGUUGUGGCAGAAUAUAUUGAAUUUCUUCAUCCUUACUUAGAGGUUUUGAGUUAUACUCUUGAGAAUAAACACAAUCAUGGACCAAUAAAGAGCAUUUUUCCUUUUUAGUAAGCCUUAUGCAAAACGAUUUCAGAUUAAUUAAAGUUUUUAAACUGAUAUAGAAUAUCAAGUGAAAUAUUUUUUUAAAAUAUUUGUAAAAGGAGGUUUGUGUCCCUUUCUCAUUUUUAAUACUUUUGGAUGCAACAAUGUCUCCAUCAAAUUCUGCAUAUUUGAUAUUCCCAUGUGAGUAAGCAGCCAUGUUAUUUUAUCUCUACUCAAUGAUAGUUACUUUUGGAGGUUCUUCGUUUCUUCUUUAUAACUCUUUUAUCCCUCUUUAUUCCCUUUUAUUUUGGGGGGGGGGGGGGGGGGGGUUUANNNNNNNNNNNNNNNNNNNNNNNNNNNNNNNNNNNNNNNNNNNNNNNNNNNNNNNNNNNNNNNNNNNNNNNNNNNNNNNNNNNNNNNNNNNNNNNNNNNNNNNNNNNNNNNNNNNNNNNNNNNNNNNNNNNNNNNNNNNNNNNNNNNNNNNNNNNNNNNNNNNNNNNNNNNNNNNNNNNNNNNNNNNNNNNNNNNNNNNNNNNNNNNNNNNNNNNNNNNNNNNNNNNNNNNNNNNNNNNNNNNNNNNNNNGUGGGGGGGGGGGGGAGGGGGUUAUUACGAGUUGUAAAAAAAUAACGAAGAAAUAUAGCGAGAUGGAUGAAAUAUCGUUAAUUAAAUAUUCUGUAUUUAAACUUUGGAAAUGUAAAAAUUCAUGACAAGGAAAGAUUACCUCUUUAAAUUCUAUGCAAUGUUAAUUUGAAUGCGUCAGAUUAGUGAAUUUCACAUAUUGAGUAGUUAUAUAAAAUGAAAAUGUAAAUUAGUAAAAAUAAUUUACUUGAAAAUGUCAUUAAACAAUAUAAUCAUUCACUCAUGUGUCAAUGAUAACAGAUGCCGCUUAAACUCAUAAAAUAUUGACAAACAAAUGAAUCAAAAGUGCAUAGUUCGAUUAAUUAAAUGUUUAAUGUCCUUAAUCCAAUACCAUAUAGACUAAAAUCAUAAUUUAUCAAUAAUUAAAAGAUUAAAAGUGUCAGCAACCCAAGAUAUACAAUGGAAUUUUAAAUAACUUGACUUCUUUUUAUGGUAGAUAUUAUUUCUUUUGAUAAAUUGUGGUAUAUGAGCCAACUUGUAUAUAUAUAUUGAUUAAUUUUACGAGGUGUAUGUUAUUUGUCACCAUCAUAGAUAUCGGGUAAUUUUAUUCAUUGAUUUUAAUUUAUUUUUUUAUGAUAAAUAUUUCCUUUAAGUGUAUUCCUGGUUUUAUCUUAUAAAAAAUAAUUCCACAUGGUCUAUCAAAUAUAUUUAUGAAAAAUCUUAUAAACAAACUAAACUUACUAGAAAAAAAUGGAAAAUAAAAAAAGAAAAACAUUCCUCAUAUGUCACCAUUAUCUUGAAGAAAUAUUGACUUGUUGAUGAUAAAGUGAAGCAUAUGGUUUCAAACACGUAAUUAACAAAAGUUUGAUUUAGUUUUAAUAUAUAUAAUUGGAUGCAUGUUAUAAUAUAAAAAUGGCGUAUUGAAAUUCCAAGAAGAUAACGUGUUACUAUAUGAAAACUUAUAUUAUAAUUUUUUAAAAAUAUUUCUUUUAAUGCAUUGAUUAGUUCAAGUUAAUGAGUUGUCCUUUUUUUAAGGGUAUCCUGUGAGCGGGAUAUUAUAAAAAAUAAUCUUUCUAUUUAGUAGGACAAUAUAAGCUCUACGUCUAUUUUCUAUUUGCAGAUCAUAUUUAUAAGAUCAUAUUGAAUAUAUGUUAUUGUUGUUGUUAUCUAAAAUCUUAUUGCGGAAUGAACAUGAAAAUUUUAUUGCAUUUUCCUGUAAAUUCACAAGAACUCAUAUCUAACUAUUAGUGCGAUAUCCAUGAAAAAAGAAAUCUCAAAAUUCACGAAAUUUUUUCGAAGAAAAAUCUCAAAAUCCACGGAAACUUUUCUUCCACUGUUUAUUUUCAGUAUGAAAUUUGUAAAAUAAAAUUAAAAUUUUCUACAAAUUUAUUAUUCGAAAAGGUCCCCUUUUUAUAAGGAGUGGUAGGAUGGGAAACUUGCAUCUUAUUAAUAAAAUGAAAAUUAAAAUAAUUAACCAACUGACCUACUAAAAUUUUCGUCAAAAAGAUCUCAUUUCUAAUAUUGCACAAGUUAUUUACUCUAAUAUAAUUCUCAUUUAAGUCAUUUUGUAGAUUCUAUCUGGAAAUUAUGAAGAAAUUUCAUACAAACAUUAUGGGCCAUCAACAGUAUUUACAUGUGAUGAAAAAAAAAAAAGAGUCAAAAAAGAGGUCGUAAAAGGAAAAAUAUGUAAGUAUAUAUUGAAACAUACAAAUCAGGGGAGGAGCUAAAGUAUAUCUUACGGCUGUGAUUGAAUUCAAUAAUUUAAAUUUAAAUUAGUACAUGUUUUAAAAUAUCCCUUCGAUAUAAUACAAAUUAAUUGUUAUUUAGAAGUUAGUAACUUAAAAGAAAUAAAAUCUUCAUUCGUAAACUUUAAAUUUUGAUUCCACUUUUGACAACAGCCUUUUUCUAGAAGGACAUUUUAAUAUAACAAUCAAGUUCUUUUUUGCCCAUUUUUAUUUUUCUGUUAAACAAACGUUGUUUUAAAAAAUCUACAUUGUUAUAAAAAAAAUUGACGGUAUAUAUUUUGAAAUUUUUAUAGAAAAUUUAGGAUUUUUUAAAAAGAAAAUAGUGAUGAAAUCUAAAUGAAACUUGAUUUCCAAGCCAAUACAAAGUCAAUUCAUCAUCUUUUUCUUUUUCUUUUUCUUUUUCUUUUUUCUAGUCAUAAAAAAAGUGAUAAAUUUUAAUUUUCCCUUGUGUGAACGUCACAUAAUUAUUUAAUAGGAAAAUAAAAAUACAAAUUACUUAUAAUUUAGCUUAAUAAAUGUUUAACCAUAGAUUAAAGUAGUAAUAGAAACUUCUAGUAAUUGUUUGAUAUCAAGGGAAGGUACUCCAAAGAAAAUAAUACAAAAGACACAAGUUAUAAGUCAAAUUCAAUUUUAGCGUUCGAACGUAUUAUAAGACGAUAAGUGACAGUCGAAGUUAGGUCAAAUCCAAUUCAGUAAUGAUUAGAUCAAAUAUGGUCUUGAGUCACAACUGAUAAGGUUAUUCCUAUCAAUUGAAUGUCCGAAGUAAUGAAACAAGUCUUACUUAGCUCAGAGUGAUAGAUUUAGAGAUAAAGUUUAUCAAUCCAUCGAUCAGAUAAAUCUUGCCAGCAACGAUUCAUUUAGUAUCAAAUAUUAAUACAAUAUGUGAAUCCAAUAUAAAAAUAUAUUAAAUGCAAUAUUAAAACAAAUUUAAGAUAUACUCAUUUCGUAUGAUAUUUGACGAACCUAAAAAUUUAAAGGAAAAAGACUAAGUUAAUGCUUAUAAUAUAUUCAAAAAACCAAAGGAAAAAAUAACUCUCUAAUAAUUUCCUAUAUACGACCGAUUGGAAACCCCUAAAACAUUGAGUAGAAAAAUGUAGAGUUUUUAUUUUAUUUUUAUGUAUAAAUAUGAACGACAAAUACUCCAAUUUUGAAUAAUAUUUAAAAAAAUGAAGACUAUUUCAUGGUACAAAUGAAGUUCACCUUCUACAAUUGUUGAUGGUUAGAAAAUUUAUUAUUCUUUCAAAAUAAUAAUUUAAAAUUCUUGUAUUGAAAAUAUGUCAUAGUGAGAAGAUGUGAGAGUGAAUGAUAAUCGGUUUAACAAGAGUUACAUGUAAAUCGAAAAAUAUUGGGGAGAGAUGAUUAAAUAUGCUAUGCCACAUCUUCAACUUAUCGAGAAUUUGAUCCUAGAUACGAGGAUACAAAGGUUACAAAUUAAGAUAAAAAGUUAAUAGAUAGUUGAACGUUGUCUCACUUUCUCAUAACAUAUGUUUGGUGGCCGUUUGGACUCAAGGCAUCACAUCUGCUUCUCCUUUCAUAUCAAUAAUAUUAGUAUUAUUCACAUAGUAAUUUCUUAUUUUUCGAUUUCUACCACUACCUAGUGUUGCUUAUGCUUCAUAUCAUACUAUUCUCCGUUGUUGUUGAUCCUUCUACUCUGUCAUAUUUUCUUCUUUCAAACUGCUUUGAUUUUUUUUUUCAUAAAUCGAGCCUCUUUACCUCCUUAAGAUAACAAUAAGAUUCACGUACUGACGUACACACUAUCCUCAUCAGAUCCCAUCUAUAAAAUUACAUUGAGUAGAUGAUUAAAAAAAUACUUCUAAUACACAUAUAUAUUAACAAAAUAUUUAGAAAAUUAAAUGAAGAAUAUUUCAUGGUACAAAACCAUAUAGAUUGAUGGAUAUCCAAAGUCCAAAAAAUUAUAAAUAAAUUACAAUACCAAGGGUAUUAAUGUAAAUUCACACUCCACAAUUAUUGAUGGUUAAUUUAUUUUUUUUUUACAAAAAUUACUUGUAUUAUAUACAACCUAUAUACAUACAUACAUAUAUCAAUACAAACCAUUUUUUUUAUUAUUAAUAAAAAUAAAAUUAAAAUACAGCUGAAAUUUACCUCUUCUUUCUCUACAAGGACUCUUUUUUUUUUCUUUUAUAAAUCUUGUUGAAGAACUCAUCAACUUCUCUGCUUCCAUUGCUUAAACACUUCCUUCAUAUUGAAGGAUUCUUCUUUUUCUAUAAAAAAAGUUACCCACAAACAAAUUUUUUGAUUUUUUUUUUUGGGUUUAUUGAGCCAGAACUUGUCUAGAAGAACAAGAAAACACAGAACCAAGCAACCAGAUAACCCCUUUAAAGAAUUAUUAUUAUUGUUAAAAGGAAAAAAUAUUUGGGUUUUGUGUUAAACUUGUUCUUACUCAAUCUAUUUGUUGUUUUCUGUAGUUUAAUUUUCUUAAAAAUUGCUUCUUUUUUUUCGUAUUCUGUACAGUUUUUUUUUGUUUUUUUGGUUGUGUUUGGGUUGAAGAAUCGUAGAUUUCAUCUGGGUUUUUUGAGAAUUUGGAGUUUGUUGAGGUGGGUUUUAUGAAAAGUUGGGUUUUUUAUGUGAUUUUGGUGAUGGGGUGUUUGAAAUCUGGACGUUGGUGAAGAAUUGGUUAGUGGGUCGUUGAGAUUUUGGAGUUUCGUUGCUGAAUUCGUUUGUGGGUCUGCUGAAAACUGUGUGUUUGUUGGAAGAUAUUUGAAAAAAUUGGGGUCUUGUUUGGGAGGUUUUAGUAGAUUUGAGAAAGAUUGGGUUUUUCUUUAGCAUAUAAGGAUUUGAUUAUGUUGAGGAGAUCCCUUUUGGGUUUACCUGGUUUCAAGUAAUUUGUGAUUCAUAAAGUGGUUUAGAUUGGGGUUAUGGCAUUUUGACACCUGGUUUGGGAGAUUUGCUGGGUAAAUUCUUGAGGAUUUGGGAACUUUCUUCUGGUUGUUUGGUUGAGUUUUUGAGGGAUACAAUGAGUUCAAAUGUUUCAUCUGGUGUGGUACAAGUAGGGAAGCUUUUGGUUCUUAUUGCUGAAAAUGGGCAAUCAUAUGAACUGAAUUGUGAUGAAUAUACUCUUGUUGAUGCUGUCCAGCAAUACCUAGAGUCUGUUUCUGGGAUUCCUGUUGGUGAUCAGCUUCUUUUGUGCUUAGAUGUGAAACUUGAAUUGCAUUGUCCCCUUUCUACUUACAAGCUUCCAUCGGAUGACCGGGAAGUUAUCUUGUUUAAUAAAGCUAGAAUGAGAAGCAAUGCGCCACCUCCACUACCCGAGCAAGUUGAGAUGAUUGAUAUUCUUGAUCCUACAUUACCAUUGUCCUCUCAUGACCCCCACCCUUUGGAUGAUGCUACAGACCCUGCCUUAAAAGCCUUGCCUUCUUAUGAGAGACAAUUCAGGUUCCACUUCCAACGCGGUCAUGCCAUUUACAGCCGUUCCCAAAUGAGAAUUGACAUUUGUGAGAGGCUUUCAAGAGAGCAGAAAGUGCAAGAGAGGGCGUUAGGGAUUGCUAGGGGCAACCUGGAUCACUUCUAUGGGAUGAUACUUCAAAAUUACAAUGACUUUUUGAAGUGUUACUCCCAGCAAUAUCGUAGCCAUACUAACUUGCUGAAUAAUUUUGGAAGGGAUAUAGAGAAGUUGAGGGCUUGCAAACUUCAUGCUGCUUUGCAGACUGCUAACCGCAAGUGUUUGCUGGAUUUCGUGAAAGAAGAGAACUUGCGGAAGUUGGCAGAUGAUUGUAAUAGUUCCCACAGGCAGUUUGAGAAUAAAGUGUCUGAAUUUAAGCUCGAGUUUGGAGAGCUAGAGCACAAUGCCAAGCAUUUAUUUUCUACAAAAGUUUCACAUCUUAUAAGGGAAGUUGAACUAGCUUUAAGAGACCAUCAGAAGUAUGUCAGUGAGCAGAAAAGCAUAAUGCAGGCUUUGAGGUUUGUUCUCUACCUCUUCCUCUCUUGUUGCUCUUGCUGUGCCUCCUCUUGUCCGUCGCUCACCCUCAGCACUGUGUAUCCAUGAAUCUUAAUAAUUUGCAUGUGUUGCGUAACUGCCAAUAUAUCUGUGUGUUGCCUGUCUGCUGUGCAAAUCUACUGAUUUAGAGGCUUUGCUAGGGACAGUUUUCUGUUUGGUACAUGUAGGUUAUGGUGAUGAAUUAUACUUGUAGAAAAGGAAGUUCUGGUAAUGAAUUUAAAGUCCUUUUUGCUAUAAAAAAUGUUAUUGAUACUUUUUUGGCACUUGUUUUAAUAUGUAAAACAAGUGAUACUUCCUUGGCCUUUUGACACCCUUGCAAGUCUUUUGGGUUAACAGCAUCUCAGUAACUUAAUUACUUUUAGUUCAAUACACUUACCUCUGUAGUAAUAAACUAACUUCUUUAGUAACAACAAUCUAGUAGGCAAGGAAGGAAUUUUGUCAUAAUCUGUUCCAACUAGUAAGGACUUCCAUUCCUGUGUUCAUCAGUGUUACAAUAGCAGCAUGGGGCUUCAUCCGGAUUUAGAUUAGUAAUAUCUGUCUAUGCUAGUUACUUGAGGAUGUCAUAUUGCUUAUGCUGAUAGCUCAAAUGAGAUAAAACUGAAGUCACAUGUGAAGAAAAGGGGUGCAAUCUGAUUUGGAAGUUCUUGAGCACUCUCAUUCGUUGUUCUUUUGUCUUGUUUGAGUUCCAAGUUUGACCUUUCUAUAAAUGAGGUCUCAAAUUUUUAGUACAUUUUACCAUCCUCAUUUUAAGCUGACGCAUUAGUCUGAUCAUUAGUUUUGACGAAGGAAUUUUUUCCAGUGGGUGGUCCACACGUUUCAGAGAUGAAGUAGUUGAUAUGACAACUCCUUAUACAAUUUGUUAAAAUACAUCUGUAGUUCAUAUGUUUUUCUUUCUGGGUUGUCUAUAUCCAGUAAUAUGGAACAUGUAAGAAGGUGUUCAGGAUAUUUACAAAGAUUUUGUCAUUUUUAACCAUGAAGCCUAAAAGAUUGUAGGAUGGCCAUUGAAAUAAUUGGUUUAAGUACAUCCGUGUCUUUACCUGGAUAUAGUCAAUAUCUUUUUCCUUGGAUAAGAAAGACUACAAAAUCCGCUUUUAAUGUGCUGUUUAUCUGCCUUUUAAUGAUUGAAAUUCUGUUAACAUUAUAUGCAGCAAGGAUGUGAAUAUGGUCAAAAAGCUUGUGGAUGACUGUUUGACCAAUCAGUUAUCAUCUUCCCUCCGUCCACAUGAUGCUGUUUCAGCUUUGGGACCAAUGUAUGAAUGCCAUGAGAAAAGUUACCUUCCUAAGAUGCAGGCUUGUGAUGGUGAAAUCUCCAAUUUGGUUGAGUUCUGCAAGGAUAAAAAGAAUGAAAUGAACAUUCUUGUUCAUAAUUACAUGCAAAAGGUAGCAUAUAUCCAGUACACCAUCAAAGAUAUACGAUGCAAAUUUGCUGUUUUCCAGGAAGCUUUGAGGCGUCAAAGUGAUUUAUUCGAGCACUUAAAAGUGGUCCGAGGGAUUGGUCCUGCAUACAGGGCAUGCCUUGCCGAAGUGGUAAGAAGAAAAGCUGCAAUGAAACUAUAUAUGGGAAUGGCUGGGCAAUUAGCUGAACGGCUUGCAACCAGGAGGGAGGCAGAAGUUCGUAGAAGAGAGGAGUUUCUGAGGAUAAAUAGUACAUACAUUCCCCGGGAUAUUUUGGCUUCCAUGGGACUGUAUGAUACCCCUAACCACUGUGAUGUCAAUAUAACUCCUUUUGACACUAAAUUGCUCGACGUUGAUAUCUCAGAAAUAGAUCGCUAUGCUCCUGAGUAUCUAUUGGGACUGUCUUCCAGAAGUGAAAAGCAUGGGACCUUAAAGAGUCCACUUUCCACGUCUAAUGAUGGUUCUCAGUUAGCGGAAGCUGAGAUUACCGACUUCACUGAGAAAUUUGAUUGUGAGGAAUUACUUCAGGGCUCAGAGAUUCUGGAUAUUGCUGGAACUAGCAAAAUGGAAGUGGAGAAUGCAAAAUUGAGGGCUGAACUUGCUUCUAAAAUAGCCUUUAUGUGUUCCACUUGUCCUGAAUUUGAUUAUGAAUCACUUGAUGACAGUAAAAUUGAUAGUUUAUUAAAAGAAGCAAGAGAGAAAACCUCUGAGGCUCUACAUCAUAAAGAAGAGUAUGAAAAACACCUCCAUUCUAUGCUUAAGGCGAAGCAAAUUCAGUGUGAAUCUUAUGAAAAACGGAUUCAGGAGUUGGAACAGAGGUUGUCUGAUCAUUACUCGCAAGGGCACACACAUUCUGCUGAUGAGGGUGUAUCUAACUUAACUGUUUCAGCUGUGAAGAAUGAUGACAGCAAAUCAGAUGUGUCAGGUGUUGGAGACACUCACAUGCCUUGUAUGCCUGCUGAAGUCAUGGAUGAGGUUUCUUGUGCCUCUAGUUCAUCAAAUAUAAAACCUGGCUCUAAACAAAUCAAGGAACAAGAAGGCUUAGAUGACAAUAUGACAGAUUCCUCUGGUAUGAUUAAUCCUCAGUUGGAUUCAUCUAUGCUAGAUCCACACCGUGAUGAAGAGCAUGAAAACCUUCCUGCGAAAGACAAGAAAGAUACCACAUUGGUUGGUGGAGAUAUGGCACUUGCGACAAGUUCCAUGGCUGUGAGCAUAUCCCAGGCUCAGACUGACAUACCUUCUGAAGUAACUGCUGAACAAGGUUUGGAUGCUAAAGCUAGAGAGGAUCUUCUCCUGGAGUUGCAAGGUGUCCUGGCUGAUAAAUCGAAGCUACUGGAUGAAAGUGAAAGCAAGGUGAAAUCCUUAACAGAGGAGAUAGCCAAGCGGGUGAGGGAGUUGGAGAUCAGAGGGAAGCUUCUUGAUGAAUCUCAGGUUUUCUUUAGUUUCCCGAACUUUUAAAUUUCUGGUAACUGCUUGGAAUUAUCAUAAUCUCUGGAAAAUUAUAAUAUUCCUGAAAGUAUAAUCUUCAUGUUGACUCGUACAGAGUUAUUGCCUCCAUAGUUUGUCUUCCAUAUAAUUUGUAUUUUCUGGGUUAUAACUUUCUCUAAGAGCAGUUGGUAGGAGGAUCAAAGUAACUGACGUGUCUUCUUGUGCAAGAAUAGAUGCCCUUCUACCUCCCAAAGCUUGGACACAUAUGAAGAAAUCACUUAAUGUUGCGUCCAUUAGGAUUUGAACGAGACCUCAUGGUUAUGGAUAGUUUACGGACGUAUUUACAUAAUUAGUGCCAAGGAAUUAGGUUAUCUAUCUAAAUUGGUGCUUCGGAGGAAACAUUUACGCAUGGAUGCUAAAUGGAUGUCUGUAUGAUUUGUGGGUUUGUCUCAAUAGGUGGUAGGCCGACCCAUAUCCUUUAUUUGUUGGUGCUUAUUGAAGUAAGUUGACUGCAGGGCCUCUCUAUGAAUGGUUGAAUUAACAUAAAAUUGGAAACUCUCUCCAUGAAGGAGUGGAGAAUUGAACAUAGUUGGAGAGCAAGUUUCUGCCACUACUGUGUUCGUUUUUUACUGUGUUUGGAGGUUGCCUUUCUUAUUUUCUUCUGAUAACUGUCGAACAAAAUAAGAAAAGCUAGAUGGCUCUUGAGGAAUGAGGAGAUGCCUUAAAGGCCAACCUAGAAAGAAAGAGAAUUAUUGAGAACGGGAGAAGCAUUAUGUACUUGUGCACAGUCUGCACAUAAAACUCUUAAGAACUUGGGAAAGUUUGAAACUCUAUGAAACAUGUGAAAUAAAUAAAUAAUAGUAACAAUGAGCAUGAAAUGGUGGAAGUUACGAAGGAAAAAACCAGAAGAAAAGAAGCCAAUAGGAGGUAUUCUUGGAAAAUAAAUAAAUAAAUAUAUAUAUAUAGUAAUAAUGAGGAAAGAGACAAGUAAAGAUUACUUAAUUUUGUGCAUAUUUUUAAACAUAAAUAAGGAAAGAAAUUAGAAAAUUUGUGGAAAAAAAGAUAAAUAGAGAUUCUGUUAUAAGGUGCCACAUCACCAUUUCCAUUCCCAACCUUAUAUAUAUAUAGACACAUAGAAGAUUAGCCUGGCUGGUAUGAUCAGCUGUAUCACUGCAAUUGUUAUCUCAUGAUAAGCUAGUUUAUUUAAUGACUUUUUCUUAAUCUUUUUCCGUUGUUGAUUUGCAGAUGAACUGUGCUCAUUUAGAAAAUUGCCUUCAUGAAGCAAGAGAGGAAGCUCAAACACAUCUGUGUGCAGCUGAUAGAAGAGCCUCUGAGUAUAGCGCAUUGCGUGCUUCUGCAGUCAAAAUGCGUGGCCUCUUUGAAAGAUUGAGAGUAUGUGUUUUGUCCGGCGGUGUGGCUAGUUUGGCCGAGUCCUUGCGUGCAUUAUCUCAAUCUUUAUCCAAGUAAGCUCUUGCCAUAAUAUCUUCACCCUACUUGACACGACAUUUUGUGAUGCAUGACAGGAACUUACUUAUUUGUAAAUACCUUCUAAUUGUUGAUGUUGAUACAUGUUUUAGAUGCAAGAUCCAUUGGAAAAUAACAAUAGGUGUGAACAUGGCUCAAGUGCAGAGUUCACAGAAUAACCCCAUUUUAGUUAAUUAAUCAAUUGUGCUCUGCUAAUUCAUUAUCUGAAUAAUUGAUUCAACUCUCCUUGUCCAACCAAAAAUGAUAAACAAGUACAUAGACGAAGGUUAAAAAACCCAAUUCAUCAAUUGAGUUCCGGGACUAAUGCAGUAAAUCAUUGUAAACUUUACUCGCUAGAUUUUUCUUAUAUUUCCCUCAUGGAGUAUGUGUUUAGCACACUAAUUAUAUUAAUCUUAUCAGCUUUGUAAUCUUAUAAUAUGCUGGUGCAAAGUGGCUGAGGUACUUUGUUGCAAACAUAUCUCUUUGGUAAGGUAAAUAAUUUUAUUAGUAAUGAGAAAAAUCCCUCAAACAAACAAAUGUAUUCCCCCAGUGGAGUCUGGGGAAAUGAGAAGAAUACCUCAUAGAAGUAAUAUACCAAAAAAUAAUGAAUCUACAACAGAAUAUAAUUUUCAAAGAACGACAUCCAAUCUUCUAUAAAACUAUAGAACCUCAUGAAUGUACAAAAAAAGAAACUAGGAAUGAGAAGGUUGUUCCUCAAAAGUAUAGUCAUUCUCUAUUGUCUAUUCCCUCAAAGGCUCCUAUUUCUUUCCUUUCACCCCAUCAAAAUGAGUGUUGGUGAGUCAACAUCCUGUGCUCUUCAACUUCAUUUCCUCCUCCUAAAUUUUCAACUGUAGAGUGCCUCCUCCGCUGUGCCUGACAUUACCGAUUGCAUCCUGAACCAUCUUAAAGUCUCACACCACAGAUGGGUGCAGGACAAUGUAGGAGGAGGUGAUGACAUCUUCACCUCAACACUUGCACAUGAAGCACCAAAAAUCUAGUUUCCUUUUUUUAUGCUCUGUUAAAAUUUUCCCGUUGCUUCUUCAAUUUCCAAGUGAAAUUCAUGUUCCAAUGCAAUUUCAGCUUCCAAAUAUUCGUUUUCAACUUCAAUUUUAAAUACUAUUUUUUCAACUUCAUCCAAAUAUUGAGCACCGUAUCUGCUUCUUUUUUCAUACUAGUAGUGCUCGUGUUAUUCAUGUAGUUUAUUGUUCUUUUAUUUUUGUUACUAUUUGUUGUUUCUUUAGCUGAUGUUACUGUUCCUUUCUUUCCAAAUGCAUUGUAAUGCUUUCUUUAGUAUAUGUCAUGGCUUCUUCACUUCUUUGCUUUCUUUUUUCAAAAUGCUUUUUUUUUCUUUAUUUGAGCUGAGGGUCUAUUGGAAACAACCUCUUUACCUCCACGAGGUAGGGGUAAGGUCUGCGUGCACACUACCCUCCCAAACUCCAUUUGUGGGAUAAAACGAUACGGAGUACUCAAUUUUUUGCCAUUUUCGAGAACUACUAAUUUAAAAAAUCUUGCUCUAAUAUGAUGGUGAGAGUUAGAGAACUGACGUGCUUGUAUUUGCCAAGAACAGAACAAGUGGAGCUAGAAUGUGAAUACAACAGCAACACAUACACAUACCCAGUGUAAACCCACAUGUGGGAUCUGGGUAGGGUAGUGUAUGUAGGCCUUACCUCUUAGAGAUAGAGAGGCUUGUGAAUAAAUAGAACAAUUAUCUUCUCCCCCUCCCCCCCUAAAAUGAGGGAACAUCUCUAGGGAACAGUUGCUGAUAUUAUGACAUUUCUCAUCUUCUGCCCCCUAAAAAGAGAGAACUAAACAUAGCUAGGGAACACUUGCUGAUGUUAUGACAUGUUAGUUUCUUCAAGUUCAUUUAUCUCUUGGAUUAGUAAAAGAUACAGUAUUAGGACAAUGAUAAUCAUUUAUUAGUGAAGUGAACAGUGUUGGGUUGCUGGUGGAUUGGAAUAAAAAUCAAUGGUUAUAUUAUGCGUUCUUUUCACCAACACUGGCUGAUGAAGUUAAAUUGAUUUGUUUUUAGUUCAAUAAAUGAAAAAGAGGAGGAUGGCUCAGCUGAAUUUCGGGAAUGCAUCCGGGUACUUGCUGAUAAAGUUGGUACAUUAUCAAGGCAUCGAGCAGAGCUGGCUGAUAAAUGUUCCAAAUUUGAUACUGCGAAUAAGCAGGUAUCAAAGGAGUUGGAAGAAAAGAAAGAUUUGGUUAACACACUCUACAAAAAGCAUCAACACGAGAAGCAGGUAAACGAUAUAGCUUCUCGUAUUCUGUUUAUAUACAUGUGCCCUUGCUAAAGCGAUUUGUUUCCACUUUUGGUUUGUCUAUGUUUGAGAUCUUCAGUUACAUUAACACCUGAAUUACGUUAAGUUAAAGCAAAUGUUUUGGAAAUGCUAUGGAUCUCUUUUUUAUUUUAACAAUUAUAAAUUAUCUUUCUCCUUCAAACUUUCUGUUGAUGUUCUCCCUUUGGAUUGUUUGUUGUUUUGGUAAGUCUUCCCUCUUUGGGCAUUAGUAACAUCACUGUUUUGGGCGUGACCUAAAGUGACAGAAAAAAUUGAUUCAUUGAAAUUUCUUGUUUGUGCUACUUAUACUUACCUAAUUGUUCAUCAGGCAAACAAAGAGAAGAUAUCGUUUGGGCGUUUAGAAGUCCAUGAGAUUGCAGCAUUUGUUCUCAACUCCACUGGAAACUAUGAAGCUAUCAAUCGAAACUGCCCUCAUUACUACCUCUCUGCAGAAUCUGUUGCUCUGUUUACUGACCAUCUUCCAAAUCGUCCAAGCUAUAUUGUAGGGCUGGUUGUGCAUAUUGAACGACAAACUGUGAGGUCGACACCCUCAACAUCAGUUCGAGCUGACCAUGAUAGAGAUCAUUUAGAUAUACUGACUUCUGACACAGGAACCAGUCGUUUGUCCUUGAAUUCAGGAUCAACUACGAACCCGUAUGGUCUUCCUGUUGGCUGUGAAUACUUCGUCGUGACAGUAGCCAUGUUACCUGAUACCACCAUUCAUUCACCAACUCCUUCCUGAUCUCAUGAAUGGAAAUGAAAGAAAUGAGGGAAGAAAUCAAAAUUGUACAGAAUGAUUUAUAUAGUUUUUUAAUUAUCACUCUUUUUCUUUAGAGGGAUUCUUUGCUUGAUUUCCUAUUGUACAGCUGAUGGUGAAAAUCAAUCAGACUUCUUCUUCUUCCUGUGUAUAUAAUGCCUUUUUUCUUAUAGACUUGUAAAAUUCUGUGAAUAUUCAUCCUUCUUUUAUUAGUUUCUUGAUCAAACGUUUGAUGAUAACUCAUGCUUGUCUUGAAUUUUUUUCUUCUUUUUAAUGCAUUAUGUGUUUGAAGUUUAUUGAUCCGCGAUGUGUAGAGCCUAGUUAAGGGGAAACGCUUCCUGCCAAGAGUUUCUCUAUUCCUGCCAAGAGUUUCUCUAUUCCAUUGUACACUGUGGUGGUUGAUGUUUUUUUCUUUUUUUUUUUGGGUGUCGGUGCCUGAUAUUGCUUUGGGAUUUAACUAAUUUGAAUUUGCAUCAAGAAGUAGUAUUUCGAGGGUAAAGUACCUACUACCGAGUUGAUUCUACUUCUAAUUUGAGAUUAGAACUUGAGACUUUGAUUAAGGAUCGAUGCAUUUUAACUAUGAUCGUUUUAUUUUACAAAUUUAUGAGUAAUUAGACAAUUGUUGACUAAAUAACAACGUUAAUAUAAUAUAAUUUCACAUCAAUAAUUAGUAAUAACACGUGAUCUCAUAGAACAACAAAAAUAACUAACGGCCACAUGUGUUAUAUUUCAGUUAUAUACGCACUAAAUUAAUAUAUGUGAGAUCAUGAAAUAUUAUUUAAUUGAUAAAUUAAUAUUUAUUAAUUUAAAGAGUCUUUUGUUAUUCAAUGAAGGUUAAUUUUGAUUACAUCAAAAUCAUUGUAUCUUAUAAAUUUAUAUAUCGUAUAUAUAGAAUUCACUUAAAAAAUAAAUUUAUUAUACAUAAAGUACAAUGAAUACAUCAUAAUCAUUGUAAAUAAAUUCAUUAUACAUAAUGUACAAUGUGUGUAUGAUUCAUUGUAAUAUAUUAUUUUGUUAAAUAAUUCAUUGUAAAAAUAAAUUCAUUAUACAUAAGUUUAUUGUUUCUUAAUAAUCAGAUAUUAUUCAUUGUAUCUUUAUUAAAAACAUUCAAUGUAUGGCGAAGACAAAAUAAACUAUAUAACCAAAAUAGGAAAUUUCUUGAAACCAUAUCCAAAAAUGACUUCUCAUUUAAAAUGUGUCACAAAAUCAACAAUGACAGAUCAAAUACGUAAAACAUUAUAUGUGAAUACAAGAUAAACCAUUCGACAUGCACUUAAAAAGAUUUGCAGUCGUGACAACACCGUAACUUUUGAAUGUAAUAAAAAAAGUAAAAGAUGAGUUUCAACUAGAUUUAAAUUUUAACAAAAAACAAAACAGAAUAAAAUCAUAUUUCACUAUAUUAUCUUAGAUAUAUUUAUACUUUUAAAGAAUUAUAUUAAUUGAUAAUAUUAAUAGGAUCAAAUAUUUAUAAAAACUUUUUUUUACGUAAAUACCCCCUAAAAAUAGGCAAAAUGGAGCCCACAACCAAAACCUUUAAAAGGAAAAUUUAUCAUUGUUUUCCCCCAAAUAUAAACAUUUAGUUUCUUUCCUUGAAUGAUUUGGACUCUUCUAUUUUUGUUCUUUUCAAUCUACCGCCUCUUCAAGAUUUUCAUAUUUAAUCUCAUAUUAGGGUCUCUUGUAGUUACUAUCUUCACUCCCUUUUAACAGUUUGCAAAAAGGUGCAUUCCUUUUUUCUAUUUUUGAAUUUUUUUAGAUAAUCAAGAACUGAUUUUUCUGUUGAUUUUGGUAUAAUUCUGUUGUGGGGUUUAGUUUUUAUGGGUGUUUGUUGAGUUUUGAGUUCUGGGUAUUUGAGUUUUUGAUUUUCUGUGGUGAUCAUAAGAUUCUUUAUGAAGAAAAAGAUUCUACUUUGAAUAUUUUGGUAUGGUUCUGUUAUGGGUUUUUUAAUGGUAAUUUGUUGAUUAUUGUGAUGUGAUGUUUAGUGAUUUUUUUAAAUGAUCAUGCUUUGUAUUAUGGGUUUUUCUUCUUUUUUUUGUGGGAAUUUGUCAAGUAUUGUGUUCUGUGAAUUUUUUUUUUCUACUGGACUCUAGAACUGAUUAUGCUGUUGAUUUUUGGUGUUAUUCUUUAUAUGGGGUUUUCUUUUUUUGGGAAUUUUGUCUAGUAUUGACUUCAGAAUGCUUUGUCAUGUUAUCUUUAGUAUUUUGUUUUGUGGAGGCUUCUUCAUUUAUGGUAUUUCUUUUUCCAAGCUACUUUAUCAUGUUUUUUCUUUAGUCGAGGGUUUAUUGGAAACGACCUCUCCACCUCCCAAGGUAGGGGUAAGGUUUGUGUAUGCACUAAACUGAGAAUAGGAUUAAUUGGUGAUAUAGUUAAGUUCAAUUCUCGUAGGUUUUUUAUAGUGAUCCUUCAGUUAUUUCUGUCAGUUUUAGAUGUAAUAAACUAGGAAAAGGAAGGUUAAAUACUCAUCAUAUACACUUACUAUAGUUACAUGAUUUAGCAAGGUGAAAAUGUAUGUUAGUUAACUAUUGUUUAGUGCUAAAAACCUAUUUACAAACAUAUGUCAUGCAUCUAUUAGAACACGAGUGCGUGUAAUUUUUUGGUUGGAUAUACUUAAUAUAGAAAUAGGUCCUAUACAAAUUUGUACAUGCUGUAAUGCUGACCCUUUGGUUUAGUUGUGGUAGUUUUGGAUUUAAUGAUUGGUAACUGUAUUAAUAGAGGGAAAAACUUACUAUCUUUUAUGGACAAUUUUGAGCAAUCGAAUUUAUCUAGCAAUGAAUAAUAUGCAUGUCUUGUAGAUGCUAUCAUGGUUUCAUAUGUCAGCAAGAUGUGACCGGUUGUUGUGGUUAUUGCAGUAGCAAGAAACAAGUCUGUUGUGGAUUCAUCUUUCCCAUACACUACUUGGCGGGCUGGUGUUGCUAAGGUGAUUUGCAGCUUACGUUAGCUGCUUUGUUGAACGAAGCACUUUUAGGAUCAUCUGACUAUCAAAUAUGGUUGGCAGCCCUUUAGGUUGGGAAUGUAAAACGGAUGGCUCUAUCCGUAGUGAAGUUGUGGAAAAGCAGUUAGAACGCCCACUUUUGACUCCAGUGUCAUCUGUUGGGAGAUAUCCUGUUUUAUCUAGCAAGAAGGAUGCCCAGAUUCUAAAGAAGAAUUCAUCACAUGCUUUAACCACAAAAGUUUUGAGUGGAAAAGAAUCUGAAAGUAUACGUAAGUUGAGGAUCCGCGCUGAGACAAGGAAUCGAAGUUCAUUUUCCUCUCACACAAUUAGCUCUUCCAGAAAAAUUAGGACCAAAAAGGAAAAAGGUAAGAGUAAAUUUCCUUUCCUUUCUGAUUUCUAACAUUGAUUGCUAGUCAAUGUUCAUGUCUGGUGCUAAGGGUUUAUUUAAUUACCUUUUACUAUCAGCGUGAAUAAUACUUCUUUCCUUCAUUUUAGAGAAGCCAUAUACUUUUGUUUCAACUAUUGCUUCAGGAGAUUUCUAACAUUGAUUUCUACUGACUGGUCAUGCAGUUCAAGUCCAGCAAAUCAAGAGGAUUUCAGCUCCACCUCCGGUUCCUGGCCGCGCUUUGGCAGGAAAGACAAGGCUUCCGACCUUCAUCAGGCAGUCUAAAUCAUCCACAAGUACCGAGGAGCCUUCUAGAAUUAGCGAGACAUACUUAGGAUAUGAAGAGCCCAUCCAUCAUAUUGCUUGGGAAGGUAUGUCCAAGAUUUUCUCUCCUCAUCUUGUAAAUGCUAUACAGUUUGUUAAGAGAUAUUUAGGGACCAAAAAAGCUACUCAUUGUUAGAUAUCCUAAACUCCAUCAUACUAUAGAUGAUGUAGCAUGUUGAUGUGCACACCAAGCACAAGGAUUUCAAUGACAUGAUCCUUGUGCUGUUCUCGUCUAAGGAUAACAUUUAACGGUAAAAGGCAGUGUCACCAGCAUAUGCAUUGCAGCAUGUUUAUAGGUGCAAGUUUCUGUUCUCUGCUUUAGUGCAAUUGCUGACCAAUAAUUUGUAAAUUGCAGGUUCGGAUGAAAAGUUUCAUUCAUCGGGAGUCACUUGCCCAAUAUGCGAAAAUGAUCUGUGUGACAUGCCUGAUGAAUAUGCAGAUGCAUAUGCAUAUGCAUAUGAAUAUAAUGAUGAUGCUGAGCCUUCCGUUCUCCCAAGUGUUGCUAUUUUGUCAUGUGGGCACUCUUUUCACGCCAUAUGCUUGGAGGGUAUUACCCCUGAGGAGAACUCUAGUGAUCCUCCUUGCUUUUUUUGUCUCAGUUGCAUGUCUUGAGCCUCAAUCAAUUUGUUGAGGGCAUUCUUGAAGCAGCUUGAAGUGAUUUUACUAGGUGUACAGAUCUCUUUAUAGUUCAACUUCAACUGCUCAUUUUGUUCACAUUUUUAUGUUUUUUUGUCAAUUUAGCAAUACAAGUUUACUGAGACUAAGUUUUCAAUAUUAUUUGUGAUGGACCAAGUCUAGUUUCAGUAUUCUGUGUAUUGUUCAUACCAGUCAAGUUUCAUGCUAAUCAGAGUACGUUGAUCGUUUUUCAAAAUAUUCAUGUGCUAAUACACACGGAAAGCUUCGAUAAUCAUUAAUACACAUUUCUGGACCCUAAAAUGGUAAAAUAAGAGAUGUCAGUUAUGAAUAAGCAAUAGGUAUUGCUUGCCAAAAAGUUUGUGAUGGAUUGAGCUCACACAAAGUCUGUCAGAUUAUUCGUGAAAAUUCAUGGACUAAUACACACGAAAACCUGAGAUAAUCCUAAAUUGCUAUUUCGUAGCACAAAAACUCUAAAAAUGACAGCUCCGUCAUUUGAAAACAAUGUCUGAUUUAAUAGGUCAUCGUCAAUGGACACAAAAUUUGACCUCAAAUGAAGUCGGUCACAUGUAUUAUGAAAAUUCAUGGGAUUUAUAUACAUGAAAAAUCUUGGUAAUCCCGAAUUCCUAUUUUGUAACACAUAAACUCCAAAAGGUGAUGUAAGCCUUUCAAAAUCAAUGAAUUACUUAAUAGGUCGUCACAAAUGAAUCAACAAUACUUGAGCUCAAAUGGAAUUGAUCACACAUAUUUCAGAAAAUUAUUUGACUAGUACACACGAAAAUUGAGAUAAUCUAGAAUUUCUAUUUCGUGACACAUAAACUCCAAAAUAAACGACGUUUGCCUUUUGAAAAUCAUGAGUGUCAUUUAAUAAGUUUUCGUCAAUAGAUCCAUAAAAUUUAAGUUCAAGCAAAGUCAGUGACACACAUUCUGAAAAAUUCAUGGACUAAUCAAUGCACACAAAAACCCUAGAUAAUCCUGAAUUUCUAAUCUUGAAACAUAAAUUCUUAAAAAACAGUGUAUGCCUUUCGAAAACAAUAAUUAUCAUUUAAUAUAUUGUUACUAGUGGACCCACAAAAUUUGAGCUUAAACGAAGUUGGUCAUACAUAUUUUGAAAAUUCAUGGACUUAUACACACAAAAACUGUGAUAAAUGUGAAUUCAUGCAUCGUGACUCAUAAACUUAAAAAAAGUGGAAUACACCUUUCAAAAAUAAUGUGUGUAUAAUUUAAUAGGUCUUCGCCAAUGAACACGCAAAAUUUGACCACAAACCAAGUCGGUCACAUAUAUUAUGAAAAUUCAUGGGGUUAAUAUACACGGAAAACCUUGAUAAUCCUGAAUUUCUAUUUUGUAACAUAUAAACUCCAAAAAAAGUGAUUUAACCCUUUCAAAAUCAAUGAAUUACGACCAUCUCCAAUCCUACUCUAUUUUACUCUCCAUUCUCUAUAUUUGGAGAGUAGAAUAGAGAAUGUCCUCUCCAACCACUCUCCAUUUCACUCUUUAUUCUCCAUAUAUAGAGAGUUGAAUAGUAGCUCUCCAAAUUUGGAGAACUAUUAUUCACACUUUCUGUUUCACUUUUUCAUUAUUUUGUUAUUAUUUGUAAUUAACAUAUUAUUUUUCAUAUAAGGCUAUGAAUUAAAUCUCUAAUAUUUGUAAUUCUUUUUAAAUGUAAUAUAAUAUUUUUAAAAAAUAUAUAUUAUUUAAUAUAUACUACUUUCAUUCCGAAUUAAUAAUAUUUCUAUUUUACCCUCACUCUCCAAUUAUAGAGAGUUGAAUAGUAGUUCUCCAAAUUUGGAGAACUACUAUUCAUACUCUCUAUUCACUUUUUGAAUAUUAUAUUAUUAUUUCUACUAUUUUGUAAUUAACAUAUUAUUUUUCAUAUAAUUCUAUUAAUUAAAUCUCUAAUAUUCGUGAUUCCUUUUAAAUGUAAUAUAACAUUUUCAAAAAUAUUUUAUUUUAUAUCUACUACUUUCAUCUCAAAUUAACAAUAUUUUAAUUUUUUUUUUAAUUUUCGCCACUUUGUGAUACAAUUUGAUGUUAUUAUUAAUUUUCACCAUGAAGAAUGCACAAAAUUUAAAUGAUAAGAUAAAAAAUUUAAUUUAAAAAUAUAAUACAUAACAUAAUAAUUUAAAUACAAGAUAACAAUACAAUAGUAUGCAUAACAUAAUAAUUUUAAUAAUCACAAUAAUAAUUUAGUAAUCCGGUAGGUCGUUUCUAGAUUUAACGAUAUUCGAAAAAGGAAUUAGUGUAUGAUUUAGGGAAGUUGUGGUUGUGAUUGCGGUUGUGUUUGUUGAUUUCUUUUUGCAAUUAUUGAUAGUUGUUCUUUAGAAAUUUAGAAUAAAAUAAAUUUAAUAUAAAAUAAAAAAAUUCAAAAAUUCAAAAUUUUAUAUUACAUGAAAUUAUAUACAAUGAUUGUUUGGCAAAAAGAAAGAAAAUAUUUAUAUUAUGAAAUAAGAAAACAAAAAUGAAAUAGAAAUAAUAAUAUAAAAUUGACAAGAGAGAAAAAGAUUAUUUUUUAGAGAGUAAAAUAGAGAAUUGGAUUGGAGUUGGUUGUCUGAAAAAAUAGAGAAUUCUAUAUUUGAAGAGUAAAAUAGAGUGUAGGGUUAGAGAUGCCCUUAAUAGGUCGUCACAAAUAGAUCAACAAAAUUUGAGCUCAAAUUGACUCGACCACACAUAUUUCAGAAAAUUAAUUGACUAAUAUACAUGAAAAUUAAGAUAAUUUAGAAUUUCUCUUUCGUGACACAUAAACUCCAAAAUAAACGACGUUUGCCUUUUGAAAAUAAUGAGUGUCAUUUAAUAAGUUCUCGCCAAUGGAUCCAUAAAAUUUAAGUUCAAGCAAAGUCAGUGACACAUAUUUUGAAUAAUUCAUGGACUGAUCAAUGCACACAAAAACCCUAGAUAAUCCUGAAUUUCUAAUCUUGAAACAUAAAUUCUUAAAAAACAGUGUAUGCCUUUUGAAAACAAUAAUUAUUAUUUAAUAUAUUGUUACUAGUGGACCCACAAAAUUUGAGCUUAAACGAAGUUGGUCAUACAUAUUUUGAAAAUUCAUGGACUUAUACACACAAAAACUGUGAUAAUUGUGAAUUCAUGCAUCGUAACUCAUAAACUUCAAAAAAGUGGUUUAUACCUAAUGUGUGUAUCAUUUAAUAGGUCAUUAACAAUGGACCAAAACAAUUUGAUCUUUAGCGGAGCCGAUCACACAUAAUUUCUACUAAUACACAUGAAAAAUUAAGUUAAUCCUGAACUCCUACUUUGCAACUCAUAAAUUAAAAAAAGGCGACAACCUUUUGAAGAUAAUGUGUAUCAUUUAAUAGUUUGUCACCAAUGGACCCAAUUUGAGCUCAACUGAAGUCAUUCACACAUAUUCCGAAAAUUCAUGAACUUAAUUAGAUGGAAAUUUAAGAUAAUCCUAAAUUUCUAUUUCGUGAAACAUAAACUCCAUAAACAGCGACACGUCUUUCAAAAAUAAUGUGUAUCAUUUUAAUAGGUUGUCAUCAAUGAAUUCAUAAAAUUUGAGCUUAAACAGAGUCAGUUGUACGUAUUACUAAUAAUUCAUGAAUUUAUACACACGAAAAAUUCAAAUUAUCGUGAAUUUCUAUUUCGUGACACAAACUCCUAAAAGAUUGACUUACACCAUUCAAAAAUAAUGAGUAUUAUUUAAUGGGUUGUCACCAUUGGACCCACAAAAUUGGAGUACAUAUAGGAUCGGUCAUACAUAUUCCAAAAAGUGCAUGAACUAAUACACACAAAAAAUUAAAAUAAUCGUAAAUUCCUAUUUCCUGACAUAUAAACUCCAAAUUUCGUAAUUAAUAUGUAUCAUUUAAUAGGUUUUUAUCAAUGGACCCACAAAUUUGAGCUCAAAUGGAGUCACACAUAAUUUGGAAAGUUCAUGGACUAACACACAUGAAAUGUUGAGAUAAUCUUAAACUCCUAUCUCGUAACACAUUAACUUCAAAAAAGUGACUUUCGCCUUUCGAAAAUAAUGAGAAUCAUUUAAUAGGUCAUUCUCAAAGAGCCCACAAAAUUUAAGCUCAAACGAAUUUAACACACAUGAAAAUUGAGAUAAUCGUGGGCUCCUAUUUUGUGAUAGAUAAAUACCAAAAAAGAAACAUCAAUCUUUCGAAAAUAAUGAGCACCAUUUAAAAGGUAGAAAUCAAAGGACCAAUAAAAUUUAGCUCAAACGGCGUCGUCACAUAUUCUAGAAAAAUUAUGGACUAAUAACACAAAAAAAUGAGAUAAUUCUGAAUUCCUAUUUCAUGAUACAUAAACUCCAAAAUAGGUUGUCGAUACGUACGUCUUUUAAAAACAAUGAGUAUCAUUUAAUAGGUCGUCACCAAAGGCCCAUAAAAUUUUAGCUCAAAUGAUGGCGGUCACACAUAUUUCAAAAAAUUCAUAGACUAAUAUACACAAAAAAUUGAGAUAAUCAUAAUUUUUUACUUCGGGAACAUAAACUCCAAAAAUAAUAAUAAUAUACACCUUUCAAAAACAAUAAGUAUCAUUUAAUAUGUCAUCGUCAAUGGGCCUAUAAAAUUUGACCUCAAAUGAAAUUGGUUAUACAUAUUUCAAAAAAUCAUGGACUAAUAUACACAUGAAAAAUUGAGAUAAUCUUGAACUCAUGUUUCAUAACACAUAAAAUCCAAAAAAAAAUAGUGUUUGCCUAUAGAAAAUAAUAAAUAUCAUUUAAUAGGUUGUCACCAAUGGACCAACUAAAUUUGAGCUCAACAGAGUCGGCUACGUAAUUCAAAAAAAUCAUGUACUAAUACACACGAAAAAUUGAGAUAAUUUUAAAUCUAUUAUAUUACAUCUUUACUUACAAAAAAGAAAAAGUGACGCCCUCCUUUAGAAAAUAAUGAGUAUCAUUUAAUAGAUCGUCGUCAAUGAUCCCACAAAAUUUGAGCUCAAACGAAAUUGAUCACACAUAUUAUAGACAAAUCAUGGACUAAUACAAAUGAAAAUUCUAGAUUAUCCUAAUUUUUUGUUGUGUGAUACAUAAUACAAAAAAGUGACGAACAAAUACAUUGACUAUUAUUUUAUUAGUUGUCAUCUAUAGACCCAAAAAAUUUAAUCACAAAAUGAAUCGGUCACACAUAUUCCAAAAAUUUCAUGGACUAAUCCUUAAUACUUAUUCAACACAUAAACUCCAAAAAGAAAGCGUUGCUUGCAUUUUGAAAAUAAUGAGUAUCAUUUAAUUGGUAGCCAUCAAUGACCCACAAAACUUAAGUUCAAAAGAAGUUGAUCACACAUAUUUUGAAAAAAUCAUGGACUAAUACAUAAGAAAAUCGUAGGUGAUCUUGAAUUUCAGUUUCGUGAUACAUAAACUAUAAAAAGUGGUAUACACCUCCCAAAAAUAACAAGUAUUAUUUAAUAGGUCAUCACCAAUGGACUCAUAAAAUUUGAGCUCAAACAAAAUCGAUCACACAUAUUUUGAAUAAAUCAUAGACUACACACAAAAAACCUAGAUAAUAACGAAUUCUUGUUUUUUGAAAUAUAAAUUCUAUAAAAGUGAUGUAUGUUUUUCAAAAAUAAUGAAUUAUCAUUUUAUAUGGGUUAAAGUAUUCAUUACCCCUAUGAACUUGAAGCUUUUUAUUCGGUGUACACCUAAACUAAAUUUUGUUUUAAUUACCCCCGAACUUGUUUAUUCCUCCGUCGCGUACACCUUUAUUGUCCAUCUGGCGUAGAAAUUGACAACACACUCUACUAAGCGCGUGAGGAAGUGAUUUUUUGCCACAUCAUAAAGUUACAAUGGUAAAAAAACGUAAAAUCUCCAUUUUUCUUUCAUAUUUGGCAUAUUUUAAACGUAAAAUAGGGGAAAAUGUAAAUGAAAAGUAAAAGAAACAAAGAUUAACACUUACUUGGUAAGAAUUUCAGACAAAUUUGAAAUUUAAUCGACCAACUUCACGUCUAGAAAAACCCAAAUCCAGAAGGAGUUCCGGAAAUCAGCCCUUAUUCAAAAAUAACUUUUAAACAAUGAAUUUUAAAUUUAAGAAAUUUAUUUUUUGCAAUAUUAAUUUAUCUAGGUGGCUAUUAUUUAUCCAGGUGGAAAUCCACAUCACCACUUUUGCCAGUUGUCGCGCGCGUGUAGUCACAAUAGGAGCAGGUGGACGAAAAAGGUGUACGUGAUGGAGGAAUAAACAAGUUCGGGGUAAUUAAAACGGAAUAUAAUUUAGGUGUACACCGAAUAAAAAACUUCAAGUUCAGGGGGGUAAUGAAUACUUUUGCCUUUAAUAUGUCAUCACCAAUAGAUCCAUAAAAUUUUAGUUCAAACAGAGUCGAUCACAUAUAUUCCAAAACAAAUUAUGAACUUCGAUCACACAUAUUUCGAAACAUACAUGAACAAACACACGCCAAACAAAAUUCAUCAAAUUGUGUUAUAACAAUAAAUUUGUGUUUCAUCGCGAAAUUGACUUGUCUAAUUAGUAUGAUGGAAAUAAACAUAGUUAGAUUAUAUGAACCAAACUAUGCAUCACUAAAUUUAUUUGUUACGUUAAAACUUAAAAUACUUAUUAUCAGUUUCAACACUUAUGUUCAAACAUAGAAUAGUGUAUCUACAAAAUCAAGUUCAACACUCGAAAAAAAUAUUUUUAAACACUUAACUCAUCAAUUACUUUUAAUCGACUAAUCCAAGGUGUUGUAAAUCUAAUCAAUCUCAAAGUAAAGAAAUCAAAUUCAACUAAUUAAAACUUUUAGGAACAAUAAUCCCAAUGGGAACUUAACUUGAAUUGGGACAAUGACAUUGAUUGACCUAACCCCUGUACAAACAAUAUAAUGUUAUGCUCUUCAGCCAGAGGUGAAAAACAUUAAUCUUACUACUACAUAGUUCUACAGACAGAAAUUUCACCAAUUAUCAAAGAAUCUUCAAAUCCCAGUUUUUCUCCAUGUAUAACGUCUUCCGAAUCCCGAGGUGUGCUUGCAACAGGACCACAACAAACAGGCAAAACCCAAAUGGUUUUCCUGGGGACUAUAGCCUAGAACUUCAGUACAUUCUCAAGAAAAGAACGGCUAUCUGGAUUGGUUUUCAUCAUCUUCAACAAUGUUGAAUAGGAACUUUGGAAGGGAUGCAAUACGAGGAAGAUGAAGGAGCAAGUCGCCAAAGGAGUCUAUCCUUGGAAUACUUGGUGUCAGUUUACCACCAACAAAAUCCUUGGCGUUCUCUUCGUUAUUUCUGUCGUUCUCACAUGCAGAAGAGCUACAAGCAUCGGUAGAUUGAACAGGUUUUUGCAGAUGAUUUUCUCCAUUUAAAUGGGGCUCGUGAGACGCAAUAGGAUCCUGCAAGAGGCAGCACAGAGAGUUCACUUUCUUCAUGAGAGAUUUCUCGUCUGAAGCUGGUGUACAUUGAGUGUCGCUCAGCCACAUCUGUGCAAUGUCCUCCAGCAUGCCCUUGCAUUCUAAGGCCUCAUCAGACUGCAAACUUCCAGAAUUAAUCUGUUGUGAAAUGCAGAUUUCAAUGUGGCUAACAAGAUCAGUCAUAGACAUUGAUGGCCGGAGUCCUGGCACCUUCAAUUGCUCCAAGUUUUGCAUCCUGUUAGAAUCAUACCCUAUGCUGUUUGCAUUGUCCCCAACAGCAUGUGUAUCCAUCACUGAAGAUCAAAAGAAAAGAAUCGGUGACAACUUUGGCUUUCAUCAUACAGAAGUAAUCUACUACUGGAUGUUAAGUGUAAAUACAAACUCGGUAUCAAAAAACUUAGUAUUUGAACAUCAUCAACUUCAACAGAUGUGGAAAGGGCAUAACAUGAAAUGCUAGCUAUCUUAUUUCAUUUAUUAUCUAAAUUCUAAACCUAUGUUUAGCAAAAGAUAUGAAACUUUGGAUCAAUCCAGACCGAGAAGCUACAAAUUGUAGGGAAGUGCCAACAUCAACAAAUUGGAAAAGGCACAUGGAUUGUCCCCUAUCUUAUUUUAUUUGAUAGUCCAAUUACUGAAGUCUGAACUAUACGAUCAAUCCUGACCCAGACACUGCAAAUUGUAGGAAUGACAAAGAAGUUUUAAACAUAACCAUACAAUUCAUGAACUUAAAGAUGAAAGUGGAAUCUCACCAAAGAUAUCAAAACCCAAUAUUCAAUCAGAAGGAUAAAUUAAUAUCCAUGUUUAAAGACAACAGAUUAUCUUGCUCAUCUCUCACCUCAGGAGCAGAAAUUAGACAAAUAUAAACAGAGGAAAAGAAGAUGGCACAAAUAGUCCACGAAGAAAACUACAUAGCGAAGAGUUGAGAAAAAAGGGGCGGGCUGAAGAUGGAAAUGGAAUGAUGGCACUAAACAUGGUAGGGGUGGAGGAAAAGAGUUAUGAAAUCCCAAGCACACAACUAAUUAUCGAAUGUAUGCAUGUAAAAUAGCCAGUAUAAAGAACAUAUCUACCAGAUUAAGAGGCAAUUGUAGAUGUGUAUUGCACAAAGCUUAAAUUAUAGUAACGACACUUCAAGCAUGAUUCUGACAAAUGCAGCACACAACCACUAAUAUAAAAUCCCUUUUUGUUAGCUUUAGCAUUCUUUUCCCACACUUUUUCUCGAUUGCUGUACAUUUUCCACAGAAUGAUGCCUAUCAAGGUUGUAGAGCUUAGAAUAGACAAUCUACGCACGGAAUAUUAAGAGCAGACAGGAAGAACUACUUACCUGAGCUUGGAGAAGGGGUAUCUCUAGACAAAUGUUCAUGGGCUGUACCAAGGAGAUCAGGUUGUUCAAAAGACACCGAAGAUGACUGUGCCGCAGCAGGUGAUGCUGCAUCUUGGAUGCUUGAUAGUGGGGAACCCUUACCAGAACCGACUGGAUCUAAGCCAUGGUCGUUCAAUUCGUCAAGAUUUUCAAACAGAGUAGCUUUUGUAUCAAAAUAUGGAGAUUCCAAGGCCAAUUCAGGCUGUUUGCUCAGAGAAUUGAGCCGCACAUCACAUUGGAUCAAUUUUUCAUAAUGCUUAUUCAAGACACCGAGUGGACACUGUAGAAAGUGUUGCCUAUACCGAUCAAAAGAGGUAUUAUUCACCAACAGCAUUAGAAGCUAAACUACUGAACUAUGGAAUACAUAAGGUGAUUCAGUUAUUCAAUAUUUGGUGCAUUUUUAAGGUGGGAAUCACACUCCAUUGCUGAUCUGGUUCCUCGAUAUAUUGGUAAACAUUCAAGUGCUUAGGAGCCAAAAUUCAUAAGUUGAUGACCCCUAACUUGUUGCUUUUCAGCUUAUAAGCACUUUCAAUUAGACCAAGUAUUUUACUAUCUAAUACCUAAUACUCAAAAUUUUCUUCUAAGAAUUUUAACUCACAACUCCCUCUUCAUUCAAUUGAUACUUUUUUAGUUUAAAUUUUUUGUAAAUAAUGUUAAGGACAUACUCCGUCCAUCCGUCCAUCCCAAUUUAUGUGAUGAUGUUUGUCUGGGUAUAAAGUUACAACACUAGAAGACUAUUGAAAUUUGUGGUCUAAAAUAAGUCAUAGAUAUUAGUCUCGCUCUAAAUCAUCUCAUAGAGGGUAAGAUCGGUGUUCUAAAGUUAACUUGUUAUUAAAUAGAGAAAAAUUCAUUUUAAACUAACUAAAAAGGAAAGGGAGACAUAAAUUUGGGACUUAGGGAGUAUUUGCCAUUUUAACCCAAAAAAUAUUAUAUCACACUUCUUUUACCAAAUAUAUCAACGACUAAUUAUCAGUUUCAACACUUCAACUCAAACACGUAACUGCUUAUUUACAAAAUCAGUUUCAACACCAAAAAGUGAUUUUCAACACUUAAGGUUAUUGGAUACUUUAAAUCAGCUAAUCCAAAUGAGCUCUUAGUCUAGUUAUCACUCCAUAAUGCCUAAUGUUAUUAAAUUUUGUUCUUCCUUCUCCCAUAAUAGAAGGAGACUUGUUUAAUCUUGGAGAAACUUUCACAUUUUUUUUAAUGAAGUAGUAGUAUGUUUCAUUAUUUUUUUUGAUUUUUUUGAUGAAGUGAAGUAUGUUUCUUUAAAAAGCAUCAAAGAGAUGCAAAGUGAUCAAGGAGCAUAGUUACAACUAACAGAACAAUAAAAAGGAGUAUUUCGCAUUGUUGAAUAGUUUCUCUAAUUGUUGGAAAAACAAGAGGAAAACAGAGCAGUGUGUUCUUUAUUUAUGAAGAAAUACAAGUAUAGCUUGAGUUAGGAAGAAUUUUUUGAACAUAAGAACUUGUUGGAUUUGCAUAGUCCAAAUGCAAUCAGUUUGGUGUCUUGUUGGACUAUGAGCCACACUUACACCGAUAAAAUACGACACACAAAAUAAUUGAUGAAGUAUAUCAAAUUGUAAGUCAGCGAUUUCACCAAUCACAUUUUGUGUUAGUAAGAUAGGAUAUUUCAAAAAAUUAGUCAUUGGACAAAUGUCAAAAGAAUGUUAGCUUGUGAAUUUAUCUCAAAGAAAAAUGUUAGCUUGCGGAUUAGUCAUUGGAAACUUGUCUUGAUUUUGACAAAUAUCCUCAACUUUUGUCGAAAAUGUCGCAAAUGUAAUGUUUUGGGGAUCAGUCAUUAGUCAUAGGAUACUUGUCACAUCCUCGAUGACCACAAUCUCUACACCUACAAAUACCCUAUCAUGUACUCGCCAUUUCAGUGCCAGAAGUUAAGUCUAAUUAUCACUCCGUCACACCAACUCUCUUCCAUAACUUGUUGAGUUUGUUAUUUAAAGUUUAUCGUUCCUGCUCCUCUAGUAGAAAAAGGCAUGUUUAAUCCUGGAAAAUUCACACGGUUGAAAUAGUUUCUCAAGACAAUGCAUUGCACAAUAUUUUUUUCAAAUCCUAGUGGAGACAAAAACACUAAGUGAUUUCUUCACAUUUGUCUAAACCCUUGUAGAAGGGAGGUAGAACUAUUAAUCAAGGUGCGCACAAGCUAGCCCGCAUACCACAAUUAUAAAAAAAGUGCAGUGCACCACUCAAGCCAUACUUAUAUUUACUCAUAUAUAAAUAACAUUAAUUGUCCUAUUUUCCCCUUGUAUUACUCCAUCAUACCUACUGUUUUUCAUAACUUGCUCAUUUUAUUAUACCUGCACCUUCUGAUAGAGGGAGUUGUUUCAUCCUUGGGAAACUUUUUUUUUUCCUUGGAUAAAUAAUCUUGAAGGUGGUUAGUACACAUGUACCCAGCAUGUGAAUAAAACAACAUUUAUUUAGGGACUAAAUAAGUAUCCUACAGUCGAGAUAAUACAAAAUAUCAUUGGUCGUUUCUUAACAGAAGUAAAGAUUAUUUACCUGUUCAAGCUAGCCUGUCCACCAGUGAAAUCUGAAGUCGCUUGCCAUAGAGUAUGUUUUCUGGGUUGUGGAUUUGUCUCCUUGAAGAAAAGGGGCUGGCGAGCCAACUGAAUCACAGAAAACCAUAAACUACAAACUGAAGAUAACACUACAAUUUCUUACAAAACAAAAGAAGAACUAUAGUGCCAGUAAAACUAGAGUACCAGUAUAAUUGUUCUUUCAAACAUUUACGAUGUUUCAAUUCACAGGAUGAAGUAUUUUUGCUUUGGGAGGUCCUUUUAUAGGACUUCAUCAAUAACUUUUUACGUAGGAAAAAGAAGUAUUCAAUAUGGUGAGAUUUGACCUUAUACCUAUCUGUUUGGUGCUGCUAAUAAAAAAAAACUUAUACUAAGGCACUUAAGAAAUUAGUUUAGAGAGAGCCCCCAAAAGCAUGGCCUAGUGGUCAAUGAAGUGGGGAAGUCAUGAGGUCCUUUCAAAUCCCCGAGGAGACAAAAAACACUAGGUGAUUGCUUCCCAUAUGCCCAAAGGUUUGGGGCAGAGUUGUCCAAUAAUUGUGCUGGUAGGAGUUAGUAGAUUCCUGUAGAUUUAGUCGAGGUGCACCCGAGCUGGCCCUGGACACCACUGUCAUUAAAAAAAAUAGGUUGGAAACUUAUGCCUUACCACAAGAGUCAAACUGCCUGGACCAUCCUCUGGACAGCUCGCCUUCAGCCCCAUGAUAUCUGACCAUUGAAUCUCAAUUUUACUCUUGAGCCCACCUUCAAGAAUUUCCCAAACAAGCUUAUGCUUAGCAAAGUAACACUUUGCCACCAAAUCACCUUCAUAUCUAGAUGCAUACUAAAACGAAAUAGAAAAAUUAGCCAAAAGAAAAUUAUUCACAGAUAAUCUACUAACAAGGCACAAAGUUCAAGGCAAUUACUUCCCAAGACCCUAUCCUUAGAAGUGAUCCCGAAAAAUUUGACGCCUUCAGCUUGUCAGUUGCUACUGAAGUGGAAGCACCCUUUGUUCCCGUAUUGCUUACAGAAGUAGGGUUUUCAGGUGCAAUGGAGGAACCACUGUUUUGUGAAAGCCUCAUCGUGAUUAAAUCUAACAAAGAUGGACUCUUUCUCAAUCUCAGACCUAAAGGACUUGGCUCAUCAAGUGGAUUGUAUUCUGGGGGAGGAACAGGGAAUUCAUCAUUUCCAGCAUCCCACUGUUAAAAAAGCAGGAGAUGAAGAUAAGUAGCUGAAAAUUGGAGUCCCUCAGUGACAAGUCAAACACAAAAAAAAAACAAGAACAAAAUAAUAACCAGGAGACCAUCUUAGCAAAGUCUGAAAACAAGCUUAAAAGAUCAUGGAAACUUGGAUAACAACUUCAUAAAAAAGAUGAACACUCUUCUUUCAGCUGGUUACACCCCCCCCCCCCCCCCCCCUUUACNNNNNNNNNNNNNNNNNNNNNNNNNNNNNNNNNNNNNNNNNNNNNNNNNNNNNNNNNNNNNNNNNNNNNNNNNNNNNNNNNNNNNNNNNNNNNNNNNNNNNNNNNNNNNNNNNNNNNNNNNNNNNNNNNNNNNNNNNNNNNNNNNNNNNNNNNNNNNNNNNNNNNNNNNNNNNNNNNNNNNNNNNNNUGACCCCUCCCCCCCCCCCCCCCCCCAAGGUCUGUAGCCCCAUAGAGAUAAAUUCUGUUGCAUUUACUAUAAAGUAGCUAAGGUCUUAUUCUCAAUUCAAGUACUAGACAUCCUGAAAGAGUGGAGUAUGGUCAUUAAUAUGAGCCUUCUUUUUUAAGACAAGGGAAACCCGCAGCCGCUACCCUUUGGGUGCACACAAGGUAAAACCCCCGCUCCUAUGCAAUAGCUCGCAAACCACAUAGGAGAGGUAACCCGCACUAGGCAAGCCCAGUGCGACGAGCUCAACCCAGAAGGCAAACCCCUUGCUUUCGCUGGCAAGGGGUUUCGAACUUGAGACCUCCAACAUGGAAGCCCCAAGCACAAACCACUGGGCCACCCCGAAGGGUGGUCAUCAUAUGAGCUUUCACCAUCCAACAAGCAAGAGCUUAUGUAUCUCAACAAGACAUUAAUAGCAGAACAGGUCCAGUAAUCCAAUUAUGUCGGUGCCGAUUUGACCACUUGCUUAUUUCAUUAACAGUUGCUUAACAUAUUGGAUAAUGGUGGAGACUCUUUCCCAAACCAAAAAGUCAUUGAUCAGGCAUAUUUAACAGUAAAGCAUGAAAUCAUAUUCUUCCCCAUCUGAAACAUAAAAACUCCAAAAAAUAAUGAGGGAAUAAUAGAUAAAUUCUUAACCAAAAACCUAUGAGCUACCCUCUAAAAUCCAUGCCUUCCAAAAUUCAAUCUCGAAGUCGCGUCUUUGCUGGAACUCAAAUAAAGUACUCACUCCAUUCACUUUUACUUGUCCACUAUACUAAAAAUAUAAUUUCACUUUUACUUGUCACUUCUAGUUAGCAUAUCAAGAGUGAAACAUAGCAUUAAUUAUUUAUUUUCCAAAUCAUUUCCCAAUACCUAAGACUACAAAUCAACUAAUACGGGUAUUAUAGUAAAAUAUCCAUAUCAAUCAUUGUUUCUCCUAGUGCAAAGUCCAAUCUAGACUAGUAAAAUUGAAUGGAGGGAGUACUUUCAAAUUGCUCUUUUCCAAAAGAUCUCCUUUUGACUUGGUGAAAUAUCAAAACAUGAUGGUCAAUAGAAGAGUCCCCUCUUUUUCCUUUUCUUUUUGUCUGUGAGGUUCAGACAAUGCAUAUAGUUAAGAAACGUGAAGCCACCACAAACAGUCACACAACUAUCCUGUUCACUAUUUCGUACAAGAAUCCAUCGCUAAAAGAAUGUAAAAAGUUCAUACUAAUAUGAACCAGCAAUAUCAUAUACCCAAAACCAAACAGACUCAUUCUACAUUCAACAGUUGAGCUUCAAAUCAAAUUACUACUAAUGGACCCAAGGGCCUGGCCAAGUCAUUGGGUUGAGAUUUGACAACAACCAAGUCUCCCAGCAAAGAUUAAAAAAAAACUAGGCUAUUUCUUCCAUCUGUCCUAACCUUACUGCAAGCUAACCCGAACACCACAGUUAUCAAUAUAGAGAAAAUCAAAUUACUGCUAAUUCGCCAUGCAGUCUAAACAGAUCAACCCAAAAACACCCAACAAAUUUUAUCGACUCUCAUAACUUCACAAAAACAAUCAUAGCCAUUUCCUCAUCUAAAAUCACUUUCCACAAUUCCAAGUCAAAAUAACAACAAUACACAAUAAAACCAAACACCAGUAAACAACAACACACCCAGUGUAAUCCCACAAGUGUAAUCCAGAGAGAAUAGAGUCUACGCAGACCUUAACCAGGCUCAAAAACAUCAUUAAGCUAAACUACAAAUACUUCCGAUCCAGUAAAAAAAAACCUGAUUAAAGCUUGAAGAAGCAGAAGAAGAUUUUGAUCGUUUAGUGAGGGGACCAUGUUCAUCUUCAAGAGGAUCCUCAACCUCAAAUUUCACCGUAAACGACGCCAUUCCCGACGACAUCAUCAACUCAACCAUUAAAAUCCCAAAAAAUCCAAAAUAAAUCCCAAGAAAACCCAAAAAAAAAAAAAGGAUUUUGCUAGAAAAUGAAAUUGAGAUUCAGAGAAUUCGAAUGGAGGCUAGGAUUUUUUGGAUUUGAAUUUGUAUUGUAAAAUUGAAGAAUCCAAAAACCCUAGGAUUCAGAGAAUUUGGGGAUUUUUCUUUUUCUUAUUGCGGCUAUAAAAAAUGGAUAAUAUAAAAAUGGCGAAAAUAUAUAUAAGCAAAGAAAGCGAAGUCCAAUAAUUGACUCACACCUGAGUAAAUGACUAUUAUGCCCUUUGGAGGAUUCGAUAUGCACUCGGAAUUGUAAAAUCGUGUCAUACUUUUCGGUUUUUACCGGUUAGCUAACUGUAUUUUUUUGUUUUUCACAAGUAGAGUUGGAAGAUACUAGAGUGUCAAUGUACGCAAUUUAUAUGCUUACCUUUGAGAAGAUAGAAAGAUAUUUUCUCAAUAGAUUUUUAGCCAAAUAAAUGAUGAAAAAGAGUCGACAAUAAUAAGAAAAUAAGUAGCGAAGCUAAAUAAUAAAUCAAUAAUGAUAAUAGAAAUCUAAAAAAAAGAAGAAUAAUAAAAUAAAAAGAUGUAACCUUAGUGGUUGACCACAUUAUAUUUAAUCGAAGAAUUAUAUUGUUUAGUUAGGUUAAAAUUUAAGUUUUAUGUAUUUAUGUCAUAUGUUGAUUUGUUUUUCUUAUUCCUUUACGUGUUUUAAAUACUUUUAGUAAGAAAUUUAGUUUAUCACGGAUGAAUUCAUAAUUUUAAAUAUACAAUACAUUAAAUAUUAAGAAUCUUCAUAUCUUCGAUAUCUGAGAAGACAUCAAUAAGAAUAUCAAAUGGGAUAGAAUAAUUAAUUAGAUUAACCCAAAAAUUUAUAUCGAGAUUAUUAUUUUUAUUGUAGUAUUAAACGACAAAAAUUAAAGUCAUUCAAAUAAUGGACAUUCUUGUAACUUCACCUUAUAUUAAAUGAGCACGGGCUCAACAGUGAUCUGUUUAUAUAGAUCGUUGAUUGAACAGUUGCACGCCCUGCAAAAGCGAUAACAACGUCAAAGGUAUCAUUAAACUAUAUGUAAAGUCAUUGCAAGAUCCAUCAUCUUCCUUGCUCUCCAUUGAAUCUCUGAAAUAGACGGAGAGAAAGAAUAGAGUAGACGAUCAGAUCUAAAAUCACUCUCACAUCUUGAAAGAAGUUUGAUAAUCUACAAAGAGGAAAAACGACUAUGCAAACAAAAAAAGACAUUGUUGGAAAAGAAAUUCAAUUAACAAAGUAAUCACUCCUAAAGGUUAACUAAAAAUUCUUCACGAAUCCAACCAUUCUGGCCUUAUUUUCACAUAAGCAACAUCAAAACUAUUUUCAAUUUUUUUCACAUCUGAAAUGAACUCGAAGCACGAAUAAUUAAGUACUGAAAAUUAAAUCUAUGACAAAAGUAAGUUAAAAGUGUUAUACAACAAAAAUAAAGAGAACUCAUCUCCUAAAUUAGGCCUACUAAAUUCAAAGUUAAAGCACAACACUCCUCCAAAAAACAGGUCAUUGCUAUACAACUACAUACAAUUUUCAUCAAGCAAACAACUGAAUGACGGCAUUAGCAUUCAUCAAUCAAGGAUCAUACAGUACUUAUCCAGAAAUCAUCUCAAUACUUGUUAAAAUUUAGCAAUUGUAUCGAGACAUAGCAAAGAUAGCAAUUGAUACACAGGAAAAUGUAAAAAAAUAUAGCAAACUGAUUAUAUAACAACAACGAUAAUUAGGAUUUGUUUAAUGCGGAACACAUGCCUACACAAUCGAAACUACAUACGGAGUGAAUAGUUAUAUUGCACCAAAAAGUACCUUCAAUGCAACAAAUAGUACAAAUUUUAACAGCUAUGUUCGUACACCCACUGUCAUUUCUAAAUAAGGCGAAUAUAUAUAUAUAUGCACGUGACAGGUGGGCAUAGAAAAUUGGGGUCCAUAUUCUUGGUUGGUGGACCACACGUGUCACUACUUUACACGUUUUCAAUUAUUAUUUUUUGUUAGUUUAGACAAAAAAGAAUCAAAUUUGUUAUGUUAAAUAUAUUUUCUAUAACGAUAUCUCAUUAUAAUAGCUAAAGAACGUGAGAAUAAAUAAUUUUUGUUAUAAAGAAAUUUGAGCAUAUUACUAUUUAAUAUUGAGUAACUUUACUUUUGUUAUUAUUUGGGUCUAAUUUUAUUUCUUCUUUAAGGAAAAAAAAUAUAUUUGUUUUUUAUUAUUAAUGAAAUUGUAACAUAAAAUAUGAUGUAUGUAUAGAAUUGAAAUUGUAAUAUUAAUUGAGAAACAUAAUCAUAGUUUCAUAUAAAUUAAGAAUACUUGUUAGGUUACGUUUUCCUCUCUUUUUAGCUUAUGAUAACUAGCCUUUUAUGGAAAAUAUUUGAAGUUAGAGUCAUAAAAUGAAAUAUAAUCUCAUAUUUAUAGGCUUAAAUAUCUUAAUCUAGUAGGUCUUCUCAUAACGGAUUUAUUAAUCUCAAACACUAAACUAUUAUCGGCUUAUACCAACCACAUAAAAUAAUAUAGGUUCAUCUGAAAUCCACAUAAAUAUAUUGUAUAUGUUUUGUCCAUCAACUAUUAACAUUUAACAUGUGUUUACUUAAAUGUAAUAAUAAAAUAAUAUAAUUUUUUUUCAAAUUUUCUAUUUAUUUUUAUGUCACUCUCCAUUUGAAUAAUGAAUUGACAGUUAGAUAGUGACUCCUUUUUUGCAAUUGUGAUAUGUUUUACAUUUAAUUAUUUUUCAUUUUUGUAAAAAGAAAAAGUAUGGACCCCAAAAAGAAUUAUAUGCACUUUCAAUUAAUGGGGCUUUAUAAUUAGAUUCUCCCAACAUUUUUAGACUUAAGUCAUCAGCGGCCCCUUAAAGUUAUUCGCAUAAUUUACUUAGACAGUUCAACUAAGACUAGUACCUAUUGAACACCUAAAUUGUUCAAAGGAAAAAGGGUCUGAUAUACCCCUCAACUUUGUCAUUUAGAGCUGAUAUACCCCUCGUUAUGAAAGUGGCUCAUAUAUACCCNNNNNNNNNNNNNNNNNNNNNNNNNNNNNNNNNNNNNNNNNNNNNNNNNNNNNNNNNNNNNNNNNNNNNNNNNNNNNNNNNNNNNNNNNNNNNNNNNNNNNNNNNNNNNNNNNNNNNNNNNNNNNNNNNNNNNNNNNNNNNNNNNNNNNNNNNNNNNNNNNNNNNNNNNNNNNNNNNNNNNNNNNNNNNNNNNNNNNNNNNNNNNNNNNNNNNNNNNNNNNNNNNNNNNNNNNNNNNNNNNNNNNNNNNNNNNNNNNNNNNNNNNNNNNNNNNNNNNNNNNNNNNNNNNNNNNNNNNNNNNNNNNNNNNNNNNNNNNNNNNNNNNNNNNNNNNNNNNNNNNNNNNNNNNNNNNNNNNNNNNNNNNNNNNNNNNNNNNNNNNNNNNNNNNNNNNNNNNNNNNNNNNNNNNNNNNNNNNNNNNNNNNNNNNNNNNNNNNNNNNNNNNNNNNNNNNNNNNNNNNNNNNNNNNNNNNNNNNNNNNNNNNNNNNNNNNNNNNNNNNNNNNNNNNNNNNNNNNNNNNNNNNNNNNNNNNNNNNNNNNNNNNNNNNNNNNNNNNNNNNNNNNNNNNNNNNNNNNNNNNNNNNNNNNNNNNNNNNNNNNNNNNNNNNNNNNNNNNNNNNNNNNNNNNNNNNNNNNNNNNNNNNNNNNNNNNNNNNNNNNNNNNNNNNNNNNNNNNNNNNNNNNNNNNNNNNNNNNNNNNNNNNNNNNNNNNNNNNNNNNNNNNNNNNNNNNNNNNNNNNNNNNNNNNNNNNNNNNNNNNNNNNNNNNNNNNNNNNNNNNNNNNNNNNNNNNNNNNNNNNNNNNNNNNNNNNNNNNNNNNNNNNNNNNNNNNNNNNNNNNNNNNNNNNNNNNNNNNNNNNNNNNNNNNNNNNNNNNNNNNNNNNNNNNNNNNNNNNNNNNNNNNNNNNNNNNNNNNNNNNNNNNNNNNNNNNNNNNNNNNNNNNNNNNNNNNNNNNNNNNNNNNNNNNNNNNNNNNNNNNNNNNNNNNNNNNNNNNNNNNNNNNNNNNNNNNNUUAUUUAUGUUUCACUAAUAUUCUUGUAAAACUUAUUAUAUGACCAAUUUUUUUCUUCAAAUACAAAAAUUAAAUUACAAUAUAGACAAAAAAAAACUGUUUUAAAUUAAAAUAUACCCACAAAAAAAAAUAGUUUUAAAUUUUUUCUUUACACUAAGGAAUGAAAGAAAAAAAUAAAAUAAGAAUAAGAAACUCAAAUAAUGAAAAUCAAAGAAGUCAAAAAAUAAUUUAUGUAUGAAAAAUAUUGAAAUAUACCUUGAACUUUGCUAGAAGAAUCCUAUAUACCCCUAAAUGAUUUUUAAAAAAAAAUUAUAAGUCAAAAAUAUAAGUUUAAAAUUAAUUUUUUCACUUCCGUUAAAUGAAGGGUAUAUGUGAGCUCAUUUUGUAAUGGUAGGGGUAUAUGUGAGCCGUUUGUAUAACGGUAAGGGUAUAUAUGAGCCACUUUCAUAACGAGGGGCAUAUCAGCUCCAAAUAGCAAAGUUGAGGGGUAUAUCAGACCCUUUUCCCUUGUUCAAAACAUAUACCUAUUAAUACAAAAUGCAUAUAUGACAAAAAAUGAGUUUUGCACUUCCCUGAAGCACGUGAAAAGAUUCAAAAUAGUGUCUUUUUUGAAUUUUUUUACACUUUUUUCUUCUUUUAUUGACACUUGGCAUUAUAAUUAACUUAAAAAUAUUUCUUCUUCUUUCAUUUACACUUUUUCUUCAAAAAAGAAAAGCACUCCACCCCCUACCUAUCAUCUUCUUCAUAAUUUAGUUAGCAAAACUUUCUUCAUUUUAGCUCCAACAUUGUUUUUCUUUCUUUUUCAUAAAAAAAAAAGAAUAUUAUUUCUUCCAAAUAUGAAGAUAAAUGAAAAUCAACUAUGAAGAUUCAGAUUUGAAAUAUGAUUUAUUUCAAAUCUCAUAAAAAUAAGGAACAAAUAUGAAGAAGAAGAAAGAAGAUAAAUGAUUUUUACGUAUAAAAAAAGUUAGCCGAUAUUUGUUUAUCACAAUUUUCGAACAAAGCUUUUUACUCAAAUUCAUAUAUAAACCCAUUAAAUUUAUCAAAAAUGAUAUUCAAAAAUUUGAAAGAAUUAAUUUUUGAGCUAUCAAUUUCAUUUUGUCAUCGAUGUAGAAAUGAAUAGCUGCCGGCAAAAUUUUCUUUCUUCUUCACUCUUAGUAUGAAAAUGUAUAUAUAUAUAUUUUUAUUUUUAUUUUUUAUUUUAUAUAUAUAUAUAUAUAUUUAAAAAAAAGUUAAUCUUCAAGUUAUUUGAAAAGAAUUACGUUUUGGGAAAAAGAUGAAGAUGAAAGAGGGUUGGGUAGAAUAGGUUGACAUUUUCAUUUUUUUCUUUUUCUUUAAAAAAAAUAUAGAUAUAAAAUGUGUUUGAAAUAAUUUUAAACAAUUUUUUUUUUUUAAUAAUUUUCGGGGCUCAGUGCUACAUGUUAUUUUUAAUUAGCCGUUUUGUCACGUCACCGCAAGUGUAUCACACAUUCUUCAUAUUUUUUGCUGAUUAUCAAAAAAAACCUAAUAGAAACAAUUUUGAAUAGGUAAAAGUGUUCGAGAGGUACUUAAGCCUUUAUUAAAUAUGAAAAAUUUGAUAUAUAUGAUACAUGUGUAGUAUACAUGGAAUCCACGCUCCAAAUAAUCCGGACUCUGGGCAGAUAAAAAGUUCCAUUCCAUUUUAACCACCAGAACGCCUCUUCUCUUAUCGUUGGUUUUGGUUCUUCUACUAUGUGUUUCUGUGCCCUAGAAAACGACGACGAUGACGACCACGACAGACGUCGAGAUGAGUAUUGAUAAGCAGAAGAAGGACAUUGAGAUCCUUAGGAAGAAAUUGAUGGACUGGAGCUUUUUUCCUUAUCUGUACCAACUUUUCAACAAGGAGGAGCCUAUCAAUUGGCGUAACCCUAUGUUCAUCGAUUACAUAGCUCGCCAAUCGCUACAAUCUUUUUACAGGGCAUGCAAGCGAUUCGAAAGGUUUGAAUAACUUGCCUUGUCAUGCAAUUUUAUUUUCUAGGUUUUAUAAUAAUAAUUGGGAUUGAAUGGUUGCCAAAUUGUAGCUUCGACUUCUCAAUUGAGCCAACGAUAGUUGGUAAGGUGAAGCAUUGCAGCUACUCCGAUUUGGACGGGAUUACUAAUUUCAAGAAUCCUGAAGUAAUUCAAAAGACUAUUUCAGGAAGACUGUUCCAGGGAACCAUUGUUGAAGGAUCUGAAAAACGAUCGGUUAUUGUAAAGACAUGGGAUUUUCACCUUCCUAUGAGAGAUGCUCUUCAAUGUCUAACUACAUUUUGUGUAUGUAUGUUUGCUAGAUAGUAUUUUGAUUUUUGUUGGUUCGUUGAAUGAUGUCAAAUUAAGCUUCUUUCUUUUGUUGUAGGAUGAGAUCGAGUUAUUCACCGAUGAAAGAGUAAAUAUGCAUCCAAAUUUGGUCAAGUUGUAUAGGUACUGUUGUGAUACGAGGCUUGCACUUGUCUUUGAUGAAGAAUUCACUGGACUAGUUUUGUCGGAUGUGCUUCUCUCUGGUACUUAUAUUACUAUCUCGAGUAUUAUGUUGAAUGAUUAUUCAUCAGUGUGCACAUUGCUUUUGUUUUCUCUAUCAUUUGUAGAUGACUUUGGGUGGGUUGAGCGGAUGAAGGUCGCAACUCAACUUGCUGAUCUCUACUCAUGUUUGCAUGAGAACAAUAUUGCACUUGACCGUCUUAUUCCUGCAAACAUUAAGAUAGAUAAGGUGAGUUUGAACACUUGAUGGUCAUCUAUUUCCUUUAGAUAUCUCACAAGAUUGUCUUAGCACGCUUUUUGAAAUACGUUUUUACAUCUUAUUACAUUGAUCUUGCUUGCUGGAAAUAACUUUUUUUCGCUUGCAGGAAUUUAACAUUAAAGUAUUUGACUUUGGGUUCGUAACAAAUACUUUCAAUGUGGAUGAUAGCUUUCUUGAUGGUGCUAGAGCUCCAGAGAUUCUAAAAGGCAUGUUUGUUUGAACCUCAAUAUCUCUCUUCUUUUCAUGCUAUGAUUAAAUUUUUUCAGAUGUUGCCUCCUCUGUUGUUUGUGAUGAGAAGUUUAGACUUUCAAAUCGUGUCUCAGGCCUCUAUUUCUCUUUUUCUGUGUAGAAAGCUUGGUAAAAUAUUAGAAUUUCAGCUUUGAUGCUAUCUUUGGUUUCUUAGACUUCUUCUCCAAUCAAUAGCUUAUCAACGUGGUUACUCCUUUGAAAGUUUGCUACUCUCCAAAAGAAUUUGGUAUUCCUGUCCCCUUCUAUCUUCUAUGAGCCAUAAACAUCUGGACUUUUGCCUCCAAGAGAUCUCCUCUAUUUUAGCUAUUUCCCGCGUUUAAGGAGUAGUAAAUAGAGGAUAGGAGUAAGCUUGUUGGAUUGGGUCCUUGGUGUCGGAAAUCCUUCAUAACAACAUCUUUGGAUAAGGACUAGCGUGUGUCCCCAUAUAAACCAAGUUAGAAAAGCAUAACUGGUAAAAAGUUCUCUCUCAGGCACAACUCCCAAGAACCUCUCUCUCCUACUUCCUAGGAGAGAGGAAACCCCCUUUAGUGAAAUAAUUAACUAAUUAUUGAAAAUAAGACUAAUUGCAACACUAAUAAAAUUUUUGAUUAGUUUAAGAAAAAAUAAGAUAAGUAUUAAGUUAAAACAUUUUUUUUUUUUUGAGACAAAUUUUAAGAUAUUUAUAAAACCCCAAAGUCGUACACAAAACUUAUAUGUAUAUAAAUAUAGAAAUAUAUAAUUGCUUCUAAAAACAAAAACAGAAUCAAGCCUGAAAACAUUUUUGGAUUUUUUCAAAAAACAAUUAUUUCCAAUUGUUUAAAAUUUAAGAAGCUCAAAAAUUAAUCAAAUCGUGGAGGGCUAAAAUUGGGUGUCAAAAGCCAUGACCCUCGUAUUUUUAUGUUUUUGGCUUUAACAAAAAAAAUCUAGUGAAAAGUUGUCUGAAUUAAAAAUUAGGACUCAUAGGUUUAGCCUUGUGGAUAAUUUUCAUCAUAUUUGCUGUUUUAUAUGGCAUAUUAUUUCUCCUUCUUAUACAGUUGUGUUCUUAUCUUUUCUUAUACACAGGUGAGAGGACCAGGACCAUGAAAUCUGAUGUUUAUUAUUUUGGUAUUCUACUGCUGGAGCUGAUGGCCAAAAGGAAGUUUAGUUUCGCUCAUGUGUGUUGUUGUGUGCAAACAUCAAUUGCAACUGCGGUUAAGCGUGGUAAAAAAUAUUUGGUUCAUGAAUGCUUCACAGAAGUUGAUUAUCCAACUGCAUUAGCUAUCACACUUCUGGUAUUCCUCUGCACGAAUUUUGAUCCAGACAAGAGGCCCUCGAUGAAGGAUGUUAUAGACACUUUGAAUGCGAUGGGAAUGGGAGGGGUGAAACGAAAAAGAGAUGAAUACGAUGCAGAACAGUAAAAGUGUACUGUCUAAACACCGUUAAUGCUAGUGUUUUGAAAAAAGACUAAUAGUGUUGUGAUGAUGGAGCUUUGUAGAGAAGAAUGUAUUUGACUAAAUACCAUAUCAACUGUGGACCUGUUCUAAAUCUUUUAAGCUUAGACAUCCAACUUUUGUCUCUUUUUUUCUUUCUUUCUUUUGUGCUGCCUGCUUAUUCUAUCAUAAUGAUAAUGAUUAGUGUUAUUGCUAUCCUUAAUUGUUAUUAUCUUAACUUUGUUUUAAUUAUAUAACAUACUGAUAUUAUCACCUUUUUUUUCAAAACUGGCCCACUUGUAUGGAAUCUUUUUGCAAAAAUUAUUUAGAAUUUUAAUGUAUUCUUUAAGAAAAUUAUCUACGUUUCACUUUAUUUGAACUUUUUUCGAAGUUGAAAUUGUGUUUGGUUAUGUUUUUUCAAAAUAAUAUUUAGUUGUUUGAAGGUAUUUUUUCUAAAAAGUAAGUGAAAUAUAAUUCAUAUAAGGUUCUUUAUUUAUAUAAUUAGGGUAAAAUUGAAAAAAGAAUAAUAUAGUGAAAGUGAUAAUAAGGGCUAGGGUGCUUUAUAAUUUUUAAAUACAACUUCAAGUUGUAUUUGAGAUUUUCAUGAUCAAGCCCUCAUUUUCAAAAAAAGUGAAAUAUUCUCAUAACCAAAUGAAGGUAAAUUGCUAAUUAAUUUCUUUUAAUUUAUUUAAGUUUUGAUAGAUAAAAUUAGCGUGUCUCGUAAAAAAAAAAAACCUUUUAAAUCAAAUCGACUGCACAAACACAAACUUACAGGUCUAUGAUAGAAGGGUGGGGUCGGGAAGACAAUUAUGAGGAACUGAAAAGACUUGGACACAAGCCAAACUAGUCUAAUUUGUACACGAUGCAAAAUUUGCAAGUCAAGCAUUAUUGAUUGUCUCAUAAUGCACCAGUCAGUGUAUAGUCAUGACACUCCACGUGAUACGGUAUCUUUUUAUCUCUCUCUCUUUUCUGUUAAUUUCAGUGUAAAUCUCAUGUAUAUGGACAAAAUAAUUCUGGGUUUAUCUUUUUAAUCAAUAAUUCUGGGUUUAUACAAUCCUGGCAUACACCUGAUUCCCAUGUAUAGAUAGUCUAAUUCUUUUGGACUUGUUAUUGUCGUUGGUAUCUUCAUUUCAAGAAGUUCAUUUUAUUACCUUGAAACAGUCGGGGGCGGCUGGUUAGGCUUAAAAAAGAGUCCUUCGCCUUAGGCCCUCAAUUUUAGGGUCCCCCAUUUUUUAGUUAAUUAGGUAGGAUUAAAUUUUUUUAAAAAAUAUUAGAACUAAGACAAUAAAUGCAAAGGUCCCAUUUUUUAGUUUAUUAGGAAGGAUUAAAUUUUAAAAAAAUAAAAAUUAUUAGAAUUAAGACAAUAAAUGCAAAUGGCUUAAUGAAGUGAUAGUCUGAUAGAUAUGACUAUAACUUUUUAACUUUCCAAUAAAAAGUUGUGUACUUUUUUUAAAAAUGUAUAAGUUAUCUUCUUUUUUUUACCUUAUUUUUUUUUCUAAUUUUAUUUUUAUAUAUUCUAUCCUCCUCCCUUCUAUUUCUUCUCACUUUCUCUUUUCUAAUCUUACAUCUCUCUCUUAUUCAAAGCUUAAAAAUUUAUUUGUUCUGUUGAUAGUUUAUAUUUUAAAUUUGGAGAAAACUAUAUUGCAGCAAGCCCGAUUCAUUUUUCGGAAAUCAAGUCUUCAUAGCUUUUGAAUUCGGUAAUAUCAUUCUAAUUUCUAAUAUUAUUUUUGUUUUGUGUCUUAUGUUUAUUAUAUUUUUUAUUUGAUAUUGUAAAAUAGUGUUUAAAAUAUUUGUUAGAUUUUAAUAUGUCAACUAGAAAAUAUGAAUCCGGUCAUUCAAAACUUAAAAGAAAAAGAAAAGUCGAUAAUUUGAUAAAAUCUCAAAAAGGUGCUCUAGAUAAAUUUUUGGAAAAUAAUGUUAAAAUUAAAUCAAAAAAAGUAGGGGAAUGCUCAAGAACAAGUUACUAACUUAGUUGAAGUUGAGUUAGAUAAUGAUAUAAACCAAAAUGAAGAAGAAGGAGAGGAAAUUAGUGAAAAGUCGGAUGUAGAUUCCCAAGAAAAUCAAGAACUUAUAAAUGAAUUAAAUAAUCAUACUCCUAAAAAUAUCUAUGAUCCUAGUCAAUGGAAUAUUGUUGAUACAAAGUUAAGAGACCAAUUAGAAUUACCGACACAUGUUUUCCAACGGAUAAAUUUUUAAGGCACUUUUCUACUACAUAUUAUUUUCAAAAGUUGGCAAAUGGAGAAAGACAUGAAAGAAGAUGGCUAGUUUAUUCCAAAGAUUUGAAUAAGGUAUUUUGUUUUUGUUGUAAGUUAUUUAAUACGACCUUUAAUGCAAAGAUUAAUAAGUUAGCUAAUGAAGAUAGUAGAGAUUGGAAAAAUCUUACUACUAAGCUUAGAACCCAUGAAACAACUAGCCAACAUAUUAUUAAUAUGAGUUCAUGGAUUGAUUUAGAAUUUAAAUUGCGUAAUAAUAAAACAAUCGAUAAAAACAUUCAAGACCAAAUUAAUAGAGAUAGAGAACAUUGGAAAAAUGUAGUGUCAAGAAUUAUUCCUGUCAUAAAAACUCUUGGAAAAAAUAAUUUGGCGUUUAGGGGGGAAAAUGAAAAAAUCUAUCAAGAAAAUAACGGAAAUUUCUUGAGUCUUAUUGAAAUGAUUGCAGAAUUUGAUCCAAUUAUGCAAGAACAUAUUCGACGAAUCAAACAUGAUGAAAUUCAUAAUCAUUAUCUUGGACAUAAUAUACAAAAUGAAUUAAUAAAUUUAUUGGCAAGUGAAAUUAAGAACAAGAUUAUUGAAAAAGUUAUAAAAACAAAGUAUUUCUCUAUCAUACUUGAUUGCACGCCAGAUACAAGUCAUCAAGACCAAAUGUCUUUUAUAAUACGGAGUGUAGAUAUUUCGACAACUCCAAUAAAUGUAACCGAAUAUUUCUUAGAAUUCUUAAAAGUGGAUGAUACAAGUGGAAAAGGUCUUUUUGAAGUUAUUUUAGAUGAAAUAAAAUGUAUUGGACUUGAUAUUGAUAAUUUAAGAGGACAAGGAUAUGAUAAUGGGUCUAAUAUGAAGGGAAAAUAAUUUAUAAGGAUAUAAAUUUUAAUUAAAGACACAUAAAUAAAAAAUAAAUGAGGAAAGUAUUUGUGAUAAAAAAAACCGAAAUUAGUAGAAUAAAUAAGUUAAAAUAAAUAAUGUCAACACUAUUUUUGGCUCCUUUUCAAAUUAUAAAUUUUUUUUUUUAUUCUCCUUCUAAUUUGAUAUGAAUUCCAUAAAUAGACCGACUUUUUUUCUAAAUAAUUCUUUCUUAUUCUUCUCCUAAUUUAAUUUGAAUUCCAUAAAUAGAUAAUUCUUCUAAAUAAUUCUUCUUUGACAUUUUAACACUAAUCACCCUUCUUAUAAAUUUCUCAAUCAAAUAAUUUUUUUCUCAACAUGUAGGAGGAAUUAUAGUGUAACAUUCUUUCAAAAAGUCUUUUAUUUUGAGAAGAAUCAUUUGUUGUAUAACCUUUCUUCUUACACCAAUAUAUUCAAUCUUUCUCUUCUUCCUCUUUCUUUUUGGAUGGAAUAGAAUUAUGUAUGCCAACAGAUAUGUAGUAUCAAAUGUUGACAUUCACUUCUAACAAAAGUGUACACAUAAUUUUUUUUUAAUUUUUUAUUUUUGUAUAAACUGAUAAAUGUGAAGAAGUAGAAGAAACGAAAGAAGAAGUGAAAUCAUGGAGUCCAUUAUUGGUUAUGGAUGCUCAAAUCUUUUUUAAUUUAUAGGCACAAUCUAUAAGCAGUUAUAAGAAAUGAAAAGUUUUUUUGUUUUUUCAUCUUCCAUUUAGUUAAAUGUAUAAUAAUUUAAGGAAUUCUUUUAAGAAGAGGUGAUAAAUUGGGUAAGAUACUUAAAUACUUUUAGUUUUUAAAAAAUAUCAAUUUAAAAAUAGGAAACAAUUUUUUUUUAAAAAGAGAUAAAAGACAAAUAAAAAUGUUGUGUGAAAAUUAGAAUGCUGCCCUAAGGGGUGCCAUAUAUAAAUACAAAAUAGACACUAGCUUUUUAAUUUGUUGGAUUUGGGAAGAAUGGCAUAUCCCUUUGAGAUGUAUAAUGGACCACCUAGCAGGGCCGCCACAACUGCCAGUAGGGCCGCCAGGACCUGGGUAAGUUAAUCUUCUUCAUAAAACAUGGAUGUUUACAGUAUAUGUAUGUACAAUGGUAUUAUCGAUUUUAUAAUGAACAAGUAUAGAUACUUAAUAUGAACAACUGAAUGAUUUUACUUACUUGUCUAUUGGUUGUUACACACCAUUUCUCCCUUUUGUUCUUAACUAGUGAUUUCUCCCAUACCAAAAGACACAAUAUGCUAACUUGGAUCUCCUAGUUUUUCUAGUCUAGUUCCUUACCUUUUUAGUUUCCAGUAUUGUUCUCCUGACACACACACAAAGAAGGUUUGCUCCCCCCUCCCCCACUAGCAGGGCUGCCAGAACCCCGCCAGGACUUGGGUAAGUUAAUCUAUAACUUCUUCAUAAAACAUGGAUGUUUACAGUAAGGCUGGCAAUUGGACAGGACCGGAUCAACAAGACUGAUUUUACCGGAAUCGGUCUUCGUUACUGGAUUUAUUUAUCGAAACCGGGUCUUACAGGAAUCGGUUUUACCGAAAAUUCCCAAGGGUUCAUCCCGAUCCCUUAGUUACCGGAUAGGAACCGGUUUGGAUCGAAUCGAAACCGGUUCUUACCGGAUCAUUGUGUACCGUAAUUUUUUUUAUUAACUUUAAUUAUUAUAUAAUAUUAUAUUAUUAAUUAAGAAUAUUAUAUUAUUAAAAAAAAUCAAUUCAAAACUUUAAACGUUAAAGUAAAUUAAAGUUUCAAUUGAAUUUAAGUUUAAACUUUAAACUUAUAUUGAAUUUAAAGUUUAAAAUUUACUUUAAACAAGUUUAAACUUUAUAUUAAAUUUAAAGUUUAAACCUUAAAAGUCAAUGUUAUAUUUAAUUUAAACUAAUAUUAAAAUAGUUGAAAAUUAAAUUUGUAAAAUGACUUGGAUUAAAUAUAAGAGACUAUUUUAAAAGAAAAUCAAGGCAAAUAGCCGUAUAUUUAUUCUAUUAAAUAAAUUGUACAAUACAAAUAUUAGAAAGAGACAAAGAGUACAAUAGUACAUAAUGUAGGUAUUGAAUAUUAAUUAUUGUACUAACUACUAACAAUUGAAACUUUUUAAAAAUCAUUUCGUAACUUUUGUAUCAUUUCAAAAUAAACAUUUUUGGAACUUGUAUUUGUCGUUCUUCUUUCAUUGCUUCCAUGCCAUCAUCACAAUUAUCACCAAAUAUUUCAUCUAUUUCGUCUUCUAUUUGUCUACUUAAUUAUGGUAGUCCGGUAUUUCUUCUUUCGGCAUUGACCCAAUCUUGAAACAACACCGAUAUUUUCAAACUAUCAUUUGCUAAUUAAUAUCGAUGUUCUCCAAUCAUAAAUCUCGCCGCACUAAAGGCUUGCUCUGAAGCGACCGAUGAUGCUUGAAUCGCUAGCACAUCUCGAACAACCCUAGCAAGGGUCGGAAAUUGAUUUUCACGAUUCUUCCACCAUACUAAUAUUUGAACUUGAAGUUGUCCUUCUUCAUGCCUAAUCUUUUCCCGUGCCUAAUUGAAAUAUAAAUCAAAAUCAUUAUUAGUAGAGGAUUCAAGCUCAAGAUAAUUAUCCAUCCAAUCAUCUGUAUCAUCACUUCUAGGCCUACAAGAUGGAGGUUCAACUACUGGAAUAUUUUUUUUCAUAGCUUUAUAUAUAUUAUAUAACUCUCUAGCUUUUGUAUAUAUGCUACUUUUACAAUCUUCAACACUAGGAGUUUCAUCAUCUCUAAUUUCUAAAUUUGCAUAAAUCUUUUCAACCAUUCUUUCAACACCUUUUAAUUUGUAAUUUGGGUUGAAAGUAGUAGCAGUCAAAUAAAUUUGAGGAAUAGGGAAAAAAUAUUUUUUGAAUUUUUCAAUCAUAAAAGCAAGGGAAUCUUCAAAUCGAUCUUUUCCUUUAUAUUUUGCAAAUUCAGAUGAAAUAGCACAAAUAUUUACUAAAACAGAAGAAAUAGUUGGAUAAUAUUGACCAGAAGCAGCAUUUGUUGCUUUAUAAAAAACACUUAAAAAUUCAAUAAGUUCUUUUGUAUUUUCCCAAUCUUCAUAGCCAAUUCUUAAAAUUCGGGUCCGCAUUAUGAACAUUAAAAACUAAUUGUACCGGCUCUUGAUAAAUAUAAGCAACUUCAAGCAUUUCAAAUAAAAAAUUUCAUCUAGUGCAUACGUCUUUUGGAACUUUUAUAUAUGCAAGUCCACAUUCUUUACAACGAUUUUUAAAUUCUGUAAUUCUAGCUUUUACUUUAGCUUUAAAAAUUCAAUUACAAGCAAGUCUAAUUUUUUCACAAGAAAUUCCAAGUUGAGAAAUACCAUUUUUUACUAUCAAAUUAUACACAUGUGCGGCACACUUAAUAUGAAAAGAAUCAUUAUCAAUUGGACAAAGUCUACAUAUUAAAUAAUCAAUUGCUUUUAAGUUAUUAGAAGCACUAUCUAAAGUGACACUCAUUAUUUUAUCACAUAUUUCAUAAAAUUGUAAAAUAGAGCUUAUUUUUGUUGCUAUAUAAGAACCGAUUUUAGUUUCUUCAACAUAUAUAUACCCUAAUAUUCGUUUUUGCAUGUUCCAUUCAUUGUCAAUCCAAUGGAUAGUAAUUGUAAAAUAAUCAUUACCAUUAGGACUACGUCCCAUAUCAGAAGUAAUAGAUAAUCUACCAUCAUAAUAAACAACGAAGAAAAUGACAAUAUUCUUUUUGAUAUUUAAAAAGAUCACUUUUAAUUGUACUUCUUGGAAUACCUUCAUAAUUUGGGUUAUACAAUUCCCGAAUAUAAUGAACAAAACCAGGAUGUGAAGGAAAUGAAAAAGGCAAACCACAAACAACAACCAUUUAGCUAAUUCUUUACGAUUUUUUUAUUUACUAUAUGUGUGGUGUGUGCUUCGGCCAGCCGAGUUAGUCAUAUUUAAUACACUUUGAACCAUAUUAGAACCUCCAACUCCCCAUAGAAUUUUUCAGGUAUGGGGUAUUCCAUUUCUAUUAGCCCUUUCUAUAUCAUCUAGGCGAGCAAAUUCUUUAUUACACUUACUCAAAUGUGUUCUUAGUCGUCCCAUUCCCCCUUGUGUACCCGUAGUUACAUGUUUCAUGGUCAAUUUACAUUUCGUGCAAGUAACAGUAGUUUUUUCCUCAUUUUGUAUCAAAAAUUUUCAUACUAAAGAUCUUUUAACAUGUACAACGGUCUUUGAAAAAGUAGGUAAAGAGGGAACUUCAUCUUGUUUCGGUAAUUCGGUAGCCGGACUAGUAGGGUAGGGGUCUUAUCAUUUUCCUCAUUUAUUUCUACUUCCUCAUCUAAUUCUUCCUCAAAAUUAGUAAAACAUCUAUUUAAAGUUCAUGAUCUACUUCAUUUUCGUAAUUAAAUUCAAUAGGUCCUCGUGACAUAAAAGAAGUUUCAUCAACAUGAGUAUAAUCAUUAGUAUUAACUCUAAAUCUAGGCAAAUGUUUAGAACUAGAACUACUUCCUCCUCCCCUAUUAUUUUUUCCUUUCGACAUUGGUCUUUUACCACUAUUUCUUUCCGAAUUCAUGUUCAAGUUUAAAAUAAUUAAAUAUUAUGAAAAACAAGCAAGAUAAUAUAACAAAAAAAUAAAAUAACUUAAUUAAUAAAUAAAUAAAUAAUUUAAGUUGGAACGAAUGUACCGAAAGUCUACGUAAAAGUAGACGUAUAACCAAAGCCAAAAUUGAGAGAUGCCAAUUGAAACUUCCGAUUUACUUCAAAUAAAUCUCCAAAAUCCGAACUCCAAGUCAAUAUCACAAAAUAAUUAUUAUUAAUUUAUGAGAGAUUGAAAAUUAAGAGAUUUUAUAAGAUGUUAAUGAAAUAGUUUGUGAAUUUAUGAUUUAAAUGAAAAAUAUGGGUAUAUUUAUAGUGUUAAGGGGUUAGAGAGGGGUGGGGGCCGUUUUGGCCCCCAGCCCAACGGCUAUAAAUUAACGUUCACCUUUAAAAAAAAAAAUUAAAUGGGAAGUGACUGUUGAACUGGAUCAACCGGAUUAAAAACUCGGGUUUCAUUUCGGUAUAGAUUUCGGUACCCUAUAAGACCGGUUCCUUACCGGUUCAACCGGUCCCGGACUUUCGGUACCAGAACCGAACCGGACCGAUCACUUUCAUAAUGAACAAGUAUAGAUACUUAAUAUGAACAACUGAAUGAUUUUACUUACUUGUCUACUGGUUGUUACACACCAUUUCUUUCCUUUGUUCUUAACUAGUGAUUUCUCCCAUACCAGAAGACAUAAUAUGCUAACUUGGAUCUCCUAGUUUUUCUAGUCUAGUUCCCUUACCUUUUUAAUUUCUAGUAUUGUUUUCCUGACACACACACACAAAGAAGGUUUGCUCCCCCCCACCAGCAGGGCCGCCAGAACCCCACCAGGACCUGGGUAAGUUAAUAUGUAGCUUCUUCAUUAAACAUGAAUGUUUACAGUAUGUGUACGUACACUGGUAUUAUCUCUUCUUCUUUCUUCUUUUCAAGAAAGGGAUAGAUUUUCAGAGCAACUUAAAAGUACAUCCCUACGAUAAAAGAAGAAUUCACGUGCGUGCGGGUCCACACAAACUACGCUCAUGUAUUAUAUUUGUACUAGGUAACCUUUUCAAUAAUCGACUGUUAUAAGAAAAAAAAAAAAGUAAAUUCAAGAAUUGUAAAUAUGUAAUUAAUGAUUAAAAAUAUCUUGCUAUCUAAUCAUUUUUAUCUUUUACAUAAUUUAUCAUAUUAUAAGUUUAAUGAUAUAAUUGUCUUGUUAAAAUUGAGUGAUGUUUUUAUGUAGUGAUUAAACAUCACUUUUUUCUAUUUUUUUUAUACAUGAAAAAUAUGGAAUCUGAUAAUUUUAUGAUAAGAAUAACUCCUUGUGUAAAAAAAAUUAUGUGAAAGCUUUCAAUAAUCAAUAUUAGUUAUAAAUAAGUUAAGACAGUUAAAAAAUGUACACCGCAAUAACAUAAAUAAUUCUUUUUAGAGACAAUCUACUCGUGUGAGGUCAAAUGUUCACCACUUUUCGUUAUUAUUACUUUGUUACUUUAUAGAAGGUGAAAAAUAAAUUUGAAACAACAACAAAAUAAUAUUGAUGACCCUAAUAGAAACUCAUUCUUCAUUAAACUGCUGAAGACCCUUCUAGAUGUUUCAUCAAUGCAACUUGACAACUUUUUCAGAAAUAAUUAUGUAUAAUUGUUGCAUUAUGAAAGUACACAUAAAUAAAAAUGCUGGAUUCGAGACUCAUGUUAAAGAAAUAUUCUCGAACAUUAAAAAAUUAAAAAUGAGUCUAACCUCAACAAUGACUUGGGACAUGAAGGAUAACAAAUCUAUGUUAAUAGACAUAUCUUUUGUAGCUUAAGAUAUUACUUUUAUUUAGAGUAUGUUUUGUUUCAUAAUCUUCAAAUUAUGCUUGCCGAAAAUAGUCAUAACUCACACCAAAAAAAUUUAGAAGAGUUGAAUGAGAAGGAAAAAAAGAAAAACAUUAAAAGGACGAAAAGCAUUGUCCAACUGAGAUCAUAUACAUACCAAACAAAAUAUAAUUAAUACAAUUUUAAGGAGACAACAAAACAGUGAGAAAAAACAUACAUUAAAGGGAGUAAACUAUGAGAUAUCCAAUUAUGAUAACUAAUCAUUAUAACCAGAAAAAGUUCCUAUGUUUUGAAAUAAGAUGCCUCAAAAAAUAGACUAACACUUCAAUCAACUUUCAAUCCUUAAAGUACUCACAACAUCCACUGAUAAAAUUUAGUAAAAAUAAAUAACAACAACAUAAAAAACCAAAAAAUAUGGGCAUGCAAAGUUAUUAACUCUCAGAGGAUUUUCUAAAGAACACAAAAUCACAUCCUUGUAUGUGAAGGAAUAACGUUUUGAUGAAGAAAAUAGAGAUUUGUAAGGGAUUUUUUUAUUGUACCUUCAACAAGAAUACUUGCUUGAAUAUUCAAUUAACAUUUGUUAUUUAAUUUGUACAAACAAAUACUUAUAACAAUAACUUUGCAUAAACAUAAACAACAAAGUUUAAAACAUAUACUCAAAAACAACAAUUAAUAAUAUAAGCAUAAAUUAAUGACCGUUAAAAAACAUACCAGGAUAUGCAACAAUAGAAUGAAACAACAUGAAAGAAAUCGAGUCCACUGAAUGCACACUGUAGUCCUCUAUUUAUAGUCAACAAAUGAUGGUGUGAAAAAAAUGAUUAUUGUGUCUUAUUGGAAAGGUCACAACAUUUCAUACAAGUCGCAACUCCUCAUAAAACUCACAAUUUUUCAUAAAAGUCGCAAUUUUUCAUAAAAGUUGCAACUUUUCAUAGAAGUCACCGUUUUUCAUAAAAGUCGCAACUUUUCAUGAAAGGAGAAGGCUAGUUUUAAAAAUAACAUAAAUUAAAAGAGAAUCAUGACUUGUGGUGGCGCCACGUAGGCGGGCAUAAGGUUCUCUUUAUAUAUAUAUAUAUGAUUAUUAAUGUAUGUACUUUCAUGUCAAAAGAGUAUUGAAUUAACGGCUUUUAAUACAUUUAUUAAAAAAAAAAAAAAAAAAAAAACUUUCGCAAAUAGUCACUAUAAUAAACUUAAUUAUACUCUAUAGCUAUAGUUUACAUAUUUACGGGUUGUAGCUACAGUUUAAGUUGUCUCAUUUGUAUAAUUCGCAUGUUUGUAUAGGCAUAAUUCAGUUGUUUUUGUAUAAACUCAAAAUAAUGAAUUUAUACAAUUACAAAUAUCAGAAGUGUAAACAAUUAUACAAAUUAUAUUAUAUAAAUUCUGAAUUAUAUAAAAAUUAUAUAAAUUAUAUUAUACAAAACCCGAAAAAUACAAACGUGCUAAUUAUUCAAAACAAAAAAAAUUGAGUCUAAUUAUAGCUAAAAGUAGGUCGCAAAUUGAAAUUAAGGCAAAUUAUAGCUAUGUUAACCAAUUAACUAGUACUUAUAUGUUUUCUUAUACACAUAAUUUUCCCUAAAAAAUUAUCGGAUUAUUGAUUCAAUAAUGCUUUGUUAAUAUUGGGUAAACCGAAUCCAUUAAGAUAGUAAUAAUUUACUACUUUACUUAUAUAUAAAUAUUUAGACAAGUCGUGUAAUUAUUUUAUGAGUAUUUUCUUAUUGGUUAAACCGUUAAAGAUCAAAGAUCGAUAAAAAAAUAUCUUAUUGGUUUAGCGUAUUUAAAAAUAAAAAACUGUAAAAAUCGAACCAACCGAUGCACAACCUAGCAUCUUCAACCCAUUCUCUAUUUUACUUCUCUAGAUUCUCUAUAUUUUGAAACAACCAAAAUUUCAUCCCAAUUCUCUAUUUUACACUCUAAAAAUAAUUUUUUUUCUCUAUCGUCAAUAUUGUAUUAUUAGUUUUAUUUCAUAGCAUAAAAAUAGAUUGGUUGAAUUAUCAUUUAAAUUCUGUACAUUCUUCAUAGUGAAAAAUAAUUACUUUUAAAUUACAUUAAAGUGACAAAAUUUUUAGAAAAAUAUCACUUCAGGAUGGAAGUAGUAUACUUGUCAAUAAUACAUUUUUAGACGUUUUUUAUUUGCUUACUUGUUUGACACGUGCAGUUUUCAUUUUUGUGAUGGCUGUUUUUUUAAUAGGGAAAAAGCAUAAAUUGCCCUCUAAAUUUGUACCCAAAAGUCACUUACACACUUUAACUGAUGAGACGACCUAUUACACACCUUAAGUACAUAAAAGUGUAUUUAUUUUUCAAACAGACAAGCAAUUGCAAAAAUUCAAUCAUAAUUACACGCAAAUACUAGGCAACCCAAACAUGCUCUGAGGCCAAAUCACACUAUAAUGCAAUGCAAAUGACUAAAUGAAGGGAAGCAAGAAGUCGGAAGAAACAUCGAACCGUCCGAAAUAAUGCCUUAGACUUAACAGCAAAAUGCAUUUAUACUUUAAAAUAAUUAUUAAAAAUGUCAAAAUGUCAAUAUAUUAAAAAAUAAUUUAUAGCCUAAUAUCAUUAUUUUCUUUCCUUUUAUUUCUCAAAUCAGUCCCACAUUAGACUAAUUUCUAUACCACUAUUCGGUAAAAAGGAAAAAAUAUUCACCCACUAUUUACUUACUCAUCUUUCUAGGGUUUUCCCCCAUAUAUCCAGAAUGUACUAUUAGAACAAUUUAUGUAUUUUUCCUCCUUAGUUAAAAAUAAAAGUGUAUCAUGUACUCAAUUGUAUCUACUAUUCAGUACAAAUCAGCAAUAAAUUAUUAUAACACAUAAAUUUCGUCGAUUGUAUCCCAAAUUAGUUAUUCAUUACUUAAUUAUAUUGGGCUAUAAUAUAUUUGUUGUAUAAAAAACACCAGCUACAAAAAUCAAAAGUGUAUCAUAUACUCAAUUGUAUCCAAUAUUCAGUACAAAUCAACAAUAAAUUAUUAUAACACAUACAUUUUGCCGAUUGUAUCCCAAAUUAGUUACUCAUUACAUAAUUGUAUUGGACUAUAAUAUAUUUGUUGUAUUCAAAAACACCAAGCUACAAAAAUAAAAAACACGCACUUUCAUUCAUUAUAAUCCUAGAAUGGCUACAAUAUUUCGUAAAAAGGUUAAAAUCUCAAUACAUACAAACAUUCAUCAUCAUCAAAAAAAAAAAAAAAUCUACCCAAUUUUCUAGUCGAGAUUUACGAAUAUCACCUAUAAACAAAUUAAAUAAUAAACCAUUAAAAAGAAUACUUAAAGAUUGAAUUCGAAAAAGAGUCGACUGAUUUGAAACUUGUUUUGGAAUUUUUACGAACAAUGGAGAAAGACUCUUCAAAGCACAAUGGAUAGAGACCCACUUUUGUAUUUCUCCUUUAAAUACGCAACUGAUGAAAAACUUGAAAGAUUUUUACCUUUUUAAAAAUAUUUUGUCCCAUGAUUUUCUCUAUUCUAUUGUUAAAUAUUUGUAUUCUUUCCAAUUAAACAGUUUUUAAAAAAUUACAUAACUCAACCCUUAACAAACUAAAAUAUUGAUAUUUUAAAUAAAUAUUAAAAAUAUGAUUAAGAAGUCCCAUAAGAAGCUAAAAUAUUGUUGUUUUGAAAAAUUUAUAUAUAUGGAGUCAAUAUAUAUAAAGAUAAAGAAUAUAUAAAGAGUCACAAUUAUUUAAAAGGCACUAUCGAAAACAUAACAUUUUAUUUUUACAAGAUAAGGUUAAAUUGUGUUUACCCUUCUCAAGCCCCACUAUAAGCCUAUAAGGAUUUAAGAAAACAAACUUAAUAGUUAUUAAUAAUCGAGAUAUUCCCGAAAAUUAGUGACACAUGUUUCGAAACUUGAAAGUUUCAAACUCAUGAUGGACACCUAAAUAAACAAUUAACAAGGAGGGGUCAAGUUAAUAAAUUUACACUAUCAAAGAAACUAGACUUCUUAUAUUGAUAAUCGAGAAAUCUCUGAGGGUCAGCGAUGCAUGAUCCGAAACUCAUGACGUGCACUUAAUGAGACAAAUAUGAAUCCUUAUCUUUAGAGUAAUCUUGCAUAAACAUAAAUCAUAAUCACAAUCUAUGAACGCAAAGAAUAGUCUAUCAAUGCAAGUAUCAGACACCGAAAAAGAAAAAAAAGGGAGGAGAAAUGACUACCAUACAAGGCAAGUUAAGAAAAUAGAAGCUCACUUGCACAAAAAACUUACAAAUUGAUCAUUAUAAGUUGAUGUUGAAGAGUUUAUAGUAAAACUUACAAGGGAAAAAAGAAACAGAAUUUACUGGUGCUCAACAAGUCUAAAUGAUAUGAAAAAUCAUUAGUACAAAGAACUUCAGAUGGAUUAAAGUUGGAGAACUGUAUCAAGCAAUGGUGUUUCUUCAUCCUCUACACAAAAAGAGAGAACCCCGUCGGGUUCUGGCAACUUGAUGAAGAGUAUGUUUCUAACUGCAGCUCGACCUACUUGGCUCGGUUUACCUUCAAGUAAGGCAAUGCACCGAUUACAUUGUUGUAAUCGCUGCGGUCAACUUGUACCUGUGUAACACAAACAUUAUAUGAUGAGUCAUCUAACUUUGAAGAAAGAGUAGUACAAAUCUUACGCCAAAAAUUAGAGAGUUCAUUCGCCAGAAAGUACACACACGUUCAUCCACGAGGUUUUUGGCUUCAAGUUAUAUCUGUUUUAUCUUCUAUUCCCUUAAACCAUCACUCAUUCUAUACUGCAAUAAGAAUAGCCUUUCAAUACUUAGACAUUGAUCUUAGGAAGGUAAGGUCUGAUAGUUGGUAGCAAAGUAGCAACAAACUUUUGUUUUUGGAUAAUCGUGGUGUUUGGGCUAGCUUGCCCACACCUUGACUAAUUCCACAGUGUACCGUUAAAGUAGCAAUAGACUUCUUGGUUUGCUGCAGGACAUUUUGGUGAAUCACAUAAUCAUAAUGCAGCUGGAAAGGAUUGACUGAAUUGACAAGGGUAAUAACUUUUUCAGAUGGGCAAGCAAAUUUGUAGCUAACAAGUGACAAGGCAUGAGCGAGAUUCGGCCGGUGGUAUCAUAAAUAUGAGCAGAUAAGUGGUGCAAAUUUCGAUGAAACUGUGAAGGAAAAGGCAAUGCAUAGGUAGGGUAGUGAGAGAACCUGCGGAUAUGGAUGAAUCGAACACCAUUUGAGAACAUCUUUAUCGAAAACAAAUGGUUUUAUUAGAGACAUAUGGAAAGUAAAGGUAAAAGGGUGCCAACAUGGGAUUCUUUGCCAUUUCUAGAAAGUGACAUGCAACAAAAUUACACAAUCCCAAAAUGCACGGUGGAAGAAAAUACAAUCAUUUACAUUGCAUCAAAGAUGCCAAAAAUUAGAGCUAGACUCGGUAUGACUUGGCCGUUGGGCUGUUAUAAGUAAUUAACUUGUACUUGACAGCACGCUUACAGACCUGCUGAAUAAAUUAUUGGCCAAUCAUGGAAUCAUCAUAUGAACUGUUCAGAACUAUCUUAAAAACAAGUAUCUUACAAAUGCGUAAAUGACAUUCUAACUCUCCUAAUUAGUACUAAACCAUACGUAGUUCCUCAAUUUGUUAAGAAGAAAAAGUUGCUGCUCCUACGGGCUACGACAAUGACAUUUUUAUUUUACAAAUCCACAAAAAUAGUUGAAACAGGUCCAAAUAAAGCAAAAUGGAUUGUGAAGAUCAUAUAGGCGACCCCAACUAGAUUGGAAUUUUGAGCAUAGUUGUUGCUGUUAUUGUAUCCACAAAAAUUAGUGAACAAAUCAUGUCAGCUUAUGGCUAGCCAAAUACCUAGGAUUCUGCAUCACUAUCAGAAAGCAAACCUUAUUUUGAUACAUAGGCAUAGUCUCGAACUCAAUUCAGCAGUCAUUUACAGAAGUGGUACUAUUUACUGCUACCAACGCUAAUACUCUUCAUCACAGUUAUUGUAUCCACUUUGAGAGAGCUACAAGAAGCACUGUGAUAGGAGUUCGAGUUGAAGAAAAUUUAGUGGCACGAUUGGUAAUGGAAGAGCUUGGGGUUAGCUAUAUGGAAUUGGAAGUGUGCGGCCCUUUGAGUUAGCGAUCAGUAGUAUUUUCCUUCGGUAUGUGGAUGUGAAUGGCACUUCAACCUCUUGGUUGUUGAUAAGGACCAUUGGCUGGCACGAAGUUAACACAAGUAAGUGAAGGUAACCUUUUUGGCAUUUCUACACUUUUUUAUGACUCUGUAAUUCCUCAAAUAUAGAGUAGAGAUUGUUCUUUGUGAGUUCCGAUUACUUGAUAUGCAAAAGUUGCACAACUUUGUUGGCAAACUGCACGUAAACUAGAACUCUUGCAAAAUGCAUUGUCCUUAAAACAAUGUUCUGAAGAUCAUCGCCUGAUUUCUACUUCAACGAAUGUAUUAAAAGUUGCAUUCCCUAUGACAUAUGACAUCAUGGGACAUAAAAAGGAUAAGUUACAAUUCUAAAAUAUAUUCAGGCAUUCAGAGAAGGUUUGAUAAAAAACUGAUAUUCCAGACUGAUAACAAGCAAAGAAUUUAAAUAAAGUUUUCACAAUAGAAUGUAUGAGUUCUGAGAGAAAGAAGUUAAACCGUUUUCGAGAGCCUAUUUUUUCUUUUGGUAUUCUUCUUCCUAAGCAAAUGCUGCUUCCCAGCUCUCCUCCUCAUUAUCUUCCCACUACCAGACACCUUAAACCUCUUUGCUGAAGCCUGAAAAUUCCAAGAUUAUCACAAAUUCAAACACCUAAUUCACAAUCCCCACAAAAACCUCCACACUUUAAUAUCCAAACACACACACACACACAAAAAUGCAAACUCUACUUUGUGCUUGUGGGUUUUCAUUUUUACAGUUUAGGCAAAAGACAUAGAAAAAGAGAGCGGCCGAGCAUCUAAAUCCCCUUUACAAGUCAUUUUCUCUCCACAGAAAAUCUCCACAUAUGCAUGCACACACAUCAAAUAUAAUGAGAACCGAACCGACCAAAAAACCAAUACUUGUAAACCGAUAAUACAUAAAACCGAACCUACUGAUGCACACCCCUAUUCUUCAUUCUGUCUCCUUUGGGACACGUUCAAACACUUUCUUUUUUUUCCUUCCAAAAUUGGGGGAAAUGCAUUUGGGAAUUAAUACGUGGGAAUCUAACCCUUACCAACAACGUGAAAAUUCAGAUAGUCAACCAACUUAGCUACUAAGAUUCUCCGUAAAUUCAAACACCCAAUUACAAUUCCCAUAGGAACCUCCACACAUACCAAAACCACACACACACUAUAGUGAGCAAAAAAGAAUCGAACUUUACUUUGUGGGUCUUCAUUUUGUACCCUUUGGCACACAUCCUAACACCCUAAUCACAAUUCCCACAUAAAACCUCCACAACAAACCUAACUCAAACACACACACAAAGAACAAAAACAG